rnacentral:lncRNA from 1 species
UCUUAUUACCUUAAUAUGUGAUCACUUUGAAUUAUACAUUAUUUGGUACUGUUUUUAUUAACGUAUGCGAGUAUGUUGGAAUUUUUAUGAGAUACUACAAUUAUGAUAAUGGGUUAUAUGAAAAAAAAUCUUGGCAAAAACAAUUGAAAAACAAAUAUUGUCAUAUGAAUCUUACCAAAAAAAAUUUGUGUCAUUUGAAUCUCAAUUUCCAUUAAAAUUAUCAAAUUUUUUUUUAUAUUUUUAUAUUUAUAAAUAGUCUGAUAUGAUGUUAUCUGAAACAUCAUCAAACACAGUAUAACUUAGUCAAAUUAUUUAUCUGGAACAGCACCAAACGCCUUAUAAUAUUAUAGAUAAAUAGUCAGUACUCUCCGGAAUAGAUUAAUACUAUCCGACGGAAAUUAGUCAGUACAGUCCGACUUACCAAACGAGCCCAUAAUGUAUUGAACAAUUGGGAGAUUCACCCUAAUAUAGGGGAUUAAAUUAUAAAAAAAUUCUAUACAAAAUGGACUUUAGAAACACACCCAAAGCUCAUGUACAACAUAACAAAGAGACUUUUAAUUUCUUAUAAAUUACAAAAUUGCCAUUAAUUUCAUAAACAAGACCAAUCCAAAAAAUUCAUUUAAAAAAACCCAAAACACUUGAUAGGACAUGAAAAUAAUUUAAUCAUCAAAAUUAAAUUCAACAAGGUCAGCUGUCAUUAUUUAGAUUUUUUUUGAGUUUGUUUAUAGAAAUGAAAUGAUGUAGGGUUUAUCUAUAUCAUUUAUUUUUCAGUACAUUAAGUCAUCAUCAAAGCACUUGAUCUCUAACAUCUGUAAAACCUUUAUCAUUUAAAUGAAAAGGUCAAACAAGCUUUUCUGUUCACAACAAAGUCAAACUAAUUAAUUGGCCACACGAUUAGAUAAUUGAAAGUUACUUUUUCUUUUCUCCGUAACUAGAAGUCACUUUAUAAAGAGACACCACUUUCACUCAUAUGAGGUGAGGAUGAACAAAUGUGUAUUCUAAGCAAAAACAAAGUCGGCCAAAACAAAAAAUGCAAAAACUUAAAGAAAAAAAAAGUGAGGCUAGGGAAAAAAGGGAAUUGACUUAUAGAUUAGAGAUCUCAAGUUUGAAUUUUUAUGGCAUUAUAAUUGUGGAGUCAUUUUACAGUGAGAGUUUUAUAUAUGACCUUUAGGUGAUGUUCUAUAUCUUAAUUGUUGUAUCAUACUAAUCAAUUUGAUCAAAUGACUAACUAAAUUGAUCUAAUGAUUAAGAGAUAUGACCUCACCUAAAGAUCAUAUAUAAGACCCUAACUAUAGAAUUCUUGCAUAAUUACGUGUGUGUGAGAAAUCUUCAUAACUAACGUUGUUACUUAAAAAAAAAAAUCAUGAAGCCCAUUCACAAAUGGGUGCAUGUAUGCGCUUUAAAUAAACCAAACUCUUUUUUUUUUUUUUUAUUUUUAAAUUUUGCUUUUAAUUUUAAUAAAUCAAACUUUUAAAAAAUUAUUCUUAAUAUCUCACUCCAAUAAUAAAAAGCAUUUUCCGGUUGGGAAACAGCACCAACUACUUGGGAAAUCGUCAAACUAUAAUGUCGUUCCUUCCUUAAUUAAUGGGUGUGGAAGAUUUCGUCCCAAAAAAAAAAAGGGGUGUUGAAGAUCACUCAAACGACGCCGUCACAGCAAAAUAUUCUAACAAGUCGGGAGAAUACGGAAAAUCUCUGCGAAAAUUCGAAAGGGAAAAAACACACACACACACACACAAAAAGCAAGAGGGGAGAAAGCGUGCAACGGGGCUUAGAGAGGCAUCUAAAUCCUACUGUUCUUCUUCACGAGAAAAAGCUCAAAACCCAUCAAAUUUAUAUUAAACUAUCUCUACUUCUCUCUCUUGCUUUUCCAUUUUUUCAUUUGUUUUUGGGUUUUCGAAAUUAAUGGCUAUUAUGAGGCAUAAGGCUUGACAAUGCUAAAAGCACAAGGAAGAAGAGGAAGAGGAGGAGGAAUAUUUUGUUGAGUUGCCCAAUGCUUUCUUUUUGAGCUUCCAUACAAUGGCUGAUGAUCUCUGUUCUUUCAAGGUUUGCUGUUUCGUGCUUUUCCUUUUAGCUGUUCACUCACCAUUUUUUUUUCCCAUUUAAGACUGUUUUCUGUCUUUUCCUCUUUCUAGUUUUGGUAUUUCUAAAAUUAUAUUUGGGUAUCAGAUUCUGACCCUUUUUUUAAUUUGUGGAUUAUUUUUAUGGGUUGCAUGUGAAAUGCCCGAUCUGGGUGUUGAAAUAUUUUACAUUUUGAUUCCCUGAAUUCUCGGAUGCUUUUUGUCUAUGUAUUCAAGCUGAAGCAAACCCAGAUUUCCUUUUCAUUAGGUUUUGAUAGAGAGGGGUCUUAAUCGUACAGUUGUCAUAUUACUUAAUAACUAGAUGUGUUAAUAGCUUAAUCAAAUGAAUAUAUGAACCCUGGUCGUUUGUUUGGAUAAUUGCAAUGAAACCCACGUCAUUUAUUCUUCAAUUCGACUUGAAAGUUUAUGAACUUUUGGAUAGCUGAUCAGUUUGUCUUAUAAAGUUUGGACCUUUGUUAGGACUAAUUACCACUCUUAUUCACCCUUCAUUUUGCAUUGCCUAAUUCAUGGUUUACAGGAUAUAUUUCUUAUAAAGGCGCCCAAGAAAUCUCCGUUGGUGCUGAGGAUGAUUGUCUUGUUGUUUGCAAUGGUCUGUGGUGUCUAUAUUUGCUCAAUUUGUUUAAAGCAAGUCAGCAACCGCACCAACGUUGCCGGGUUUUUAAAUGUCCAGGUGAUUCAAAAGCCAUGCCCACGACCUGAUGUUGAGCCCGAGGAAGUUCCUUAUGUGCACUACCCAAAGCCCGUAACUUAUAGCCGGUAUGCUACUAAUUUACUUGUAGUUUCAAGUUUGGUUUUGUUUGAAAAAUGAAAUGAUAUAUUUUUCUUUGCAUCAAUAGGGCUGAAUGUGCAUGCAAUCCUGUGCGAUAUUUUGCAAUUUUGUCGAUGCAGAGGUCUGGAAGUGGGUGGUUUGAGACGCUAUUGAAUAAUCAUACUAACAUAAGCUCAAAUGGGGAGAUUUUCUCUGUUAAAGUUAGGAGAAGUAAUGCCUCAACAAUCGUUGAGACUUUGGACAGACUUUAUAAUCUAGAUUGGUUCAGUAGUGCCUCAAAGAAUGAGUGCACAGCUGCAGUUGGCUUAAAGUGGAUGCUUAAUCAGGUGAGUGCUUUUUCAUGCAUUUUUCGUUUUUUUUAAAUUUCUGUUAUUUAGCUAUCCGCUGGUUUUAUUGUGCGAGAGACAAUGACAUUGCAUUUCAGUACAUCUUAUUUUUCAGCAGAUUGUCAUAUCAUAUUAAGACAUGAAUCUUCUUCUUAGCUUGUUUCUUUUAGAUAGCCAGUUAUUAUUGGUAACAAUUACAUCAUUGGCUCAUUUUUCGUGUCAUCUACUGAUUUAUGAAUUACUGAGAUUAUAUUAUACUGUAUAGUUUCAAGUCCUGUCAAAAAGCUUGUCUUAUAGUUUCUGAGAUAAAUGCUUACCCUUGGAGAGUGAUGGAGGAUCUGUAGGAUUGGAUCGCGUAAUUCCUUUAUGAUCUUGUAGGGUGGUGGGACUGGUUCAGAGAUGUCUGGAAAUAGGCAGUGUAAUACAAUUGUUCUGGGGAAAGGCUAGGCCUGAAGUUUAUAUGUUAAACUGUAUACCCCAUCUGAGUUCAGAUGCUUCCAUAAAAAUUUAAACCUUGAAAAAAGAAUUAGUAAUAAUAAUAAUAUUCAAUGUUUUGUUUAGCAUUACAUAUAGAUGUAUGGCUGCUUCAUUUUGGGCAGCUAGUUAUUAUCAUGAUUUGCUUGUCCUCGAGGAAACAGAAUAACCUGUUCUGUCUUGGAAGCCUUCAAGUAAAGUAAUUUGGGGAUCCAAGAGCUAAAACAACUUAAUUUAGCAAAAAUCAUAUAGAUUCCAUCACAACUGAUGGAAUCUGUUCAUCAAAUUGUUCUGUGUGAAUGAGAGUUGCACGCUCUGUAAGUUAUGACAACGUUAUGCUUUGAAGUAUAGGACCAUCUCACUGCAACUAAUGAGUUAUUAACAAAGGGGUCGAGUUGACUGAACUUUCAAACUCACUUGGUGUGACCCUUACCUGGAUGUCUUGGUCAGAAAGGAAUUCAUUGUAAACUCGAAUUUGGGUUAAAUUAGAAUGUCCAUCCAGUACCUUAAUUUGGGUCCGUCCAUCUAAAUUUUCACCCAGAUUUAUUUCUCAAGACAGUUGGUCUUAGAUUCAUUUGCUAUCUUUGCUUUCCUGUUGGAUUCCUUGUUCUUGGUGGCAUUUGGCCAGGUAGGCAAUAGUUUGAUAACCUUAUGAGGAUUUUCUGUAGUGCAUUUUGGCAUUUGGUCUUAAAUUCUUAAAAUGUUAUUCUGGUGUGCUUUUUUUUUGUUUCAUGCAUGGAACAGCCACUGAACCAUUUUUUGCAAUAAUUUGUGCAGGGCUUGAUGCAGCAGCAUGAAGAAAUAGUGGAGUACUUCAAAACUCGAGGUGUUGCUGCUAUCUUUCUCUUUCGAAGAAAUCUGUUGCGCAGGAUGAUCUCUGUGCUUGCAAAUUCUUAUGAUCGAGAUGCUAAGCCGCUGAACGGGACCCAUAAGUCUCAUGUGCAUUCUCCUCAUGAGGUCUCUCCCUCUCUCAUAUGCAAGAUAUUUACAUGGAAGUCGAUUGGUUGUUUACCUUAAAACACUAAAAACUAGUAAUUGUUUGAUUUGCAAACUUAUUAAAUGUCAUGGUUGCAGGCAGAGAUACUUGCAAAAUACAAGCCUACAAUCAAUGCAACUUUACUGAUACCUAACCUGAAGCAAGUAGAGGAUACAACUACAAAAGCGUUGGAGUAUUUCAAGAGCACCCGGCAUAUUAUCCUAUACUAUGAGGAUAUUGUUAAAAACCGAACUGUAAGAGAAACUAUAUGAGCACUGAACUGAUCAGUAUAUUUGUUUUGAAAAAUAAAAAAAAGCACCAACCUCUGAAAUUUUCAAUUUUGUGUGUUUGCAGAAAUUGCUAGAUGUUCAAGAUUUUCUUAAGGUUCCACAAAGGGAUUUAAAGAGUCGUCAGGUGAAGAUACACAAAGGCACCUUGUCUAAUCAGAUUGAGAAUUGGGGUGAUGUUGAAAAGACACUUACAGGAACACAGUAUGAAAACUUCCUCCAUGCAGAUUAUCGACGAAGGUAAAAAGCACCGGGGCGAUGUACAUACCAUGCUUUGUUCUUUAACAUUUUUUUUUUCUUCUCUUUUCCUUAACCUCAGAAGCCAACAGGAGGUUACAGGUCACCUCCCUGUUGAAAUUUUGGCGGCAGCUUCUGAAUUUCAAUUAGCUUCCUUGUUAUUACUCAAAUUUUGUUUCUUGGCCACUCUCAAUUAAUAUUCAAUUGAUUCUUUCAUCUCUCUUGCUCUACAAGAAACUUUUGUUGUGGUAUUUAAACUAAAUUAAUAGAUAAAGUUGAUGUUUCACCAUGCAAUUCUUUAAUCUUUGAACAAAUUUCAAAUGCAACUUGUUAUUAGCCAUCAAUUAGAUUCUAAUCUCUUACUAAUUUAAGGGUUAAAUUGAGUAGGUUUUUUUUCUUCUUUGAUACGAGUGUGAACAUUUAAAGAGAGAGGAAAUUGCGGUUUACUUGUUUUGUCUGGUGAGCUCUCUAGUCUAGAACAUACGGGAUCUUUGACCCGCAUGUACAGGCUGGUCAAAGAUUUACAAUCCACAGCGGAACGCGUACGGCGUGCUUCCAUCAAUCUACAUCGGCUGCGCUAUUAAGGACCGUUGGAUAGAACUCACGUAUUUUAUGGGACCCACGAUGGGUAUUUUCCUACUUUAGCUAAAAUAGGAAUAAAACUCUCUUGUAAUUGCUAUUCCGAUCAAUAACACAAUGAUACAUGAGAUUUGAUAAAUAAGGGUUUCCUAAAAUAGAGACACAGUUCAGAAUCCCUCUACAUUCUCCAAAAUCUCACUUUUUAACUCCGCAAAACUUGAAUCUCUGCAUCUCAUGUUAUAUAAGGAAAACGGUCCACCCCAUUCUGUUUUGGGAAAGUACAAGAUCCAACCUUCCUUUUAAGUGAUGACAAUGAAUUUUUAUAAUUAUUAUGGGCAGAUAUUUGUUUUUCUGUAUUUAUUUAACCAAAAAAGAAAAAAAAAGAUAAUUCCUUUCGGUUGCCAAAAGUAGAAUUUGGAUUAUCAUAAAUAACCUAAAAUUAAUUAAAUUCGGUAAAAACAUUGAAUUUAAAAAAAAAAAUCACAAGUCCAGGUCAAUUAAUUAGCAUCAAGCCAACCCAUUGACUUACUGGAGUUACCUUAAUUAGCUUUGGUUAAUAAUAAUAAAAAAAAGACAAUAAUUGCAACAAGAAAAAAAGAAAAAAGAAAAGAAAAAGAAAGCAGCAAUACAAUAAUUUAGAAAAAAAAAUUUGUUAACAUGCAAUCCAGCUCACGGAAGCACCAGUCAGUCUGCAUCCAGUCCAUGUACAUCGGACGAGGCUUAGACCAAAACACUGCCGUGGGUCCUACACGUCACGGACGGCAAACGUGAGUUAACGGACGUAGCAAACGAGGUCUCAUCUCAUCUCAUUUAUAAAAAAAAAUUAAAAAUUAAAAAUAAAAAAUUAAAGAAAAAUCUAUCGCAACACCGCCUCCUUUAAAACCCCAUUUCGUCACUUCAAACCCUCCCUCUUUGCUCUGCGCAGCCCCCGUUGCUCUCUCUUUCUCUCUCUCUCUCUAAGCUUCAGACCACUCUCUCUGCUCUCUCUCUCUUGAAAUCCCAGAGGAGAAGUACAAAGAAGACGAAGUAGAGAGAGGUGCAGAGAGAAGAAGAGAGUAAAAAGCUCAGACCCCACCACAAGUCCAAUAUGGCCCAGCAAUCCAACGGCGGCGAUCUGGGCACACAGCAGCAGCAGCAGCAGCAACAACAGCAGCAGCAGCAACAGCAGCAGUGGAUGCAUCAGCAUCAGCAUCAGCAGCAAUGGAUGGCCAUGCAGUACCCAGCAGCCGCGAUGGCGAUGAUGCAGCAGCAGAUGAUGGUGUACCCGCAGCAUUACAUGCCUUACGCUGCUGCAGCUGCCCAUCCUCAUCAUCCUCAUCACAAUCCCUACCAGCAGCAGCCUCAGGGCGUGCCUUAUCAGCAGCAGCAGCAGCCGCCGAAGCAGCUGCAGCAGUCUCCCUCUCAGAAACAGGGGCCCACCGAUGAGAUCAGGACCAUCUGGGUGGGCGACCUUCACCACUGGAUGGACGAGACUUACCUUCAUGGAUGCUUUGCUCACACUGGGCAGGUCAGCUCUUUAAUGAACACGGAGUUGUAUUUGAACCCGUUUCGGUUUCGAUUUCGGUUUGUUUAGAGUUUUGAAAUUUUUAUGAAUAUGGAUUUAAAAUGUUAGUUGAUAUUGUGGGUUUUAGAGUUUAUUUGACGUGAUAACAGCUCUAUGAUUGAUUUAAGGUUAACAGUAUGGGAUUUACUCUAUAGUUGUAUGUUGGGUGAAGUCAUAGGCAUUCUAGCUUACCUUGGCAGUUUUUUCCUUUAUUCAGAAGUAAAGUACUGAUUGAAAGAGUAAGGUAAAUGCCAACUACCUACUUCUAAAAUUGUUCUUGGUAUAUCAAGAUGCCUUACCUGGAUAAGGGAAAUGAUUCAGGUUUUGGUUAGUUGAUUGAACUUGUUCAGUGAACAAAUUUGCCUCUUUAGUGGCUAAGUUGGGUCAACUCUGUUGAUUGUAGAUUGGCGGCUGGUUUCCAACCUCUAGCUAGGAACUAAUUUUUUCCCUACAGCAGCGUGUCUUCUAUGCAUAAUGUUGACAAUUUGUGAUUUUCAGCAAGUUUCUUGCUGCAUAUCACCUUUAACUUAGAAAAUUAAAUGCAUCCUCAUGUGGAUGGCCACCAUCUUGUUGAGGGUUUGAGUUAUUACUGUGUUUUUCCUAUAGAGAGUAAUAGCAGUUGAUCAACUUCCCAAUCUGUAGUAGUGUCAUCGCAAUGGCCAUUCAAUGCAAACCAUUCAUGUGAUGUUAAAAUCCUCUUCCAUGUUUUGAAAAUUUGUCUUUACUUUAGAUGGUUUAUAGGUGAGGUCAAUUAUUGCAUGGCCUAACCCCUUUGUUGAUAACUAUUUUGGACAUACAAUUAUCUGGUAGUUGUAAUUGAUUUACAGAAGAGUGAAUUGUCUUUUGCCAGCCUGUUAUCCUUUCCUGCUAAAGUGCAUCAAGUAAAUGAUACUGAAUAUUUGGCACUAGUAUGUUACCAAGUUGUGUAGUUAAAAGUAGUUAUCUCUUGUUCAAUUUGCAGAUCCUCUUGUUUAGUGUUGCCAAUAUGUGAUGAAAUGCUAUUGCAAUAUAUUGUCCUCACUUUUAUUUUUCUAGUUAGGUUAUUUUUUGGGUUGUUUGACGAUAUGGAGCCUAAUGAUUUCCAUGUCUUAAAAAUAAUAAGAGCAUCAAUAGUGAUUUAGAAAGGCAGUAGUUGAGGAACUAUUUGCAUGGGCCUGUUCUUCCGUAUUUGCUUUUAGCAACUAUGAGGAGGGUCAACAAAAGUUAUAAAGUGCAACUUAACACUGGACACCAAUGUACCCCUUAUGUGCAUACCCACACAUCUCAACCAAACUGGGCCUUGCAUGUGUAGAACCAAAAAGGCGAUACCACAACUUGAACUGGGUUCACAGUCCACAUAAACAUGUUACCAUAUUUAUUUCGCCAAUGUGAUGGACUCAACAAUGUACAUCAAACACAAUUUAAGACGACCCCCUAUCUUAAUAAAAAAAUUCUCUCUUGUAUGUAUUUUAUUGGAUAUAAACUUUAAAUUGCGCCUAACUAUGUGCUUUUGGUGUCACAAACAUUGCAGGUUUCCACAGUAAAGGUUAUACGCAAUAAGCAAACUGCUCAGUCUGAAGGAUAUGGAUUUGUCGAGUUCUUUUCACGUGAAGCAGCUGAAGAAGUUCUGCAGAGCUAUAAUGGUGCUGCAAUGCCGAAUACAGAGCAGCCUUUUCGUUUGAACUGGGCAACCUUCAGUGCUGGGGAUAGACGAGCAGACACUAGUUCUGAUCUAUCUAUCUUUGUAGGAGAUUUGGCUACAGAUGUGACUGAUACUAUGUUGCAGGAGACCUUUGGUAGUAGAUAUUCAUCUGUCAAGGGAGCGAAAGUUGUUCUAGAUGCAAAUACUGGUCGUUCAAAAGGUUAUGGUUUUGUUAGGUUUGGUGAUGAAAAUGAGAGGUCAAGGGCCAUCACUGAAAUGAAUGGUGCGUAUUGUUCGAGCAGGCCCAUGCGCAUAGGUGUUGCAACACCCAAAAAAUCACCUGCUUAUCAGCAACAGUAUUCUUCACAAGGUAUGAUAUCAUGCUCCUGAUUUUUUGUAUAAUUACUCACGUCCAUCAUAAGUCCACUCAUUUUUGUUCAACAAGCAAAUUUGCCUAUGCACAUUUGAUAAUUAAAGGUUAUUUUCUUAUGUAAUGUACUUGUCAUUUACACAAUUGUGAUUUCUCCGUUCCUUUCUUAAAAAUAUGAGCAUACAACAAACCAAGUCUUACUUUUUGGUCAACUCAAUUGUAUCUUCGACUACUGUGCCUGCUCCUCAUUUCCUUUAUUUAUUUUAUUUUAUUUUUUCAGUUUGUAUUUUUCUCUAUAAUUCAUUUAGUUAUAUAUCUACCUCCUCCUCCAGUUACAUGUUUUCCUUUUCUUACAUUGUAUUUUUAUUUUACAUCAAGAAAAAUUUAGGCUAGUUAGUAAUGCUUGCUUCUUGUCUUGCGAUGUAAGGUGUGAGUAUUAGGUGGUUUUUGAUGUUGUUUUCUAUUAUUUUUCCCCUGGAAACUUUCAUUUUCAAACAGCACAGGAAUCUCAUCAGCUUAUGGUCGUCCAUUAAUAUUUAUCCCUCUUCAACAUUACUCUUAACUGCUUUGGUGCAAGCAAUAUAUUAUGCAAUUGCUGAGCCAGUAAUGUGUAUAUUAAGAAUGGAGCAACUUCCCCAUUGCGAUCUUGAAAAGUUUUUAUGUUGGUUUUAUAUAUUUGGUAGUUUUUCAAAUAUUGGGAAAUUAUCUUCACUAAGUUGUGGUAUAGAAAUUUCUAAAAUUUUAAAAUUUAAAAUUAGUUGUCAGCUUAUAAAAUUGAGUGGUUCAAUUCAAAGUGAGAAGUAAAGCUAAUGCCAUCUCACGUGAGUUAGUUUUUCCUUUUUGUUUGAAAGAGUAAGUCUUCACCUAGCUAGUUGAAUUUUGACUCAAGUUGUCAUUUGGAUUCUAACUUCAGUUGUAAUUGAUGAUCAUGGAAUGGAUUUCGGUUCUUGGACACGUUUGGCCAUGCAGGUGGCUUUCAUGUAGUAAGCAUAUUACUAAGUGAGAGAAACCUGUUGAGAAAUCAGGAGCUAGAAUAAGAUUUAAAUUAAGAAACAGAGACAUAAAGUUCUAAAAUCUUUACUGCUAUAGGACACUUUUAGCCAAACAAAUACACGGUUAAAUUUAUCCCUAUCUGAAAGGAAAAGAAAAAAUCUGCCCUUAAAACCUGUCAUAAUAACUAACUACUAACAUUACUGUUGAAAAUGCAGUUGUCUAUUUUGACAUAUUCAUAAUUUUGAAGGCGAUUUUUUAGUAAAUGUAUUACUUUAUUCCCUUUAAUUAGCAUUGGUAUUAGCUGGUGGUGGACAUGCAUCAAAUGGCGCUGUUGCUCAAGGUUCCCAGUUUGAUAGUGAGACCAAUAACACAACUGUAAGUUCAACUCUUUUUUCUUUUUCCUGUUUCCAGUAUCUUUAACCCUAGAUAGCUCUUUAAUCUGUGACUUAUUGCAGAUAUUUGUUGGAGGGCUUGAUUCGGAUGUCAAUGAUGAAGACCUCAGGCAGCCUUUUUCUCAAUUUGGUGAAGUUGUCUCGGUGAAAAUACCAGUCGGAAAAGCAUGCGGUUUUGUUCAGUUUGCUAAUAGGUACUCUUGUUGUUUAACAUAUAUGGGUCUUGUCCUGUCAUGUAGAAAUAAAGCUGCAAUCAGGAAUGUUCCUGUCAUUACAGCUUAGGAGUAAUGGUACUCUCAGUAUCAAUGUUAAAAUCAUUCAUUAGAUAUUAAACUGUAUAUAAGAAGUAUAAUGAAAAAUUGUUGAAGACUGAAGGAGGUAGAUGGUACCACUAUAAUCUUAUUCUGUGGUGCCACGUAAUGGACUCCUACACAUUGUUUCGGUUUGUAGGAAGGAUGCUGAGAAUGCAAUGCAGAUGCUGAAUGGAACUGUUAUUGGAAAGCAAACAGUUCGUCUUUCUUGGGGCCGCAGUCAGGGGAACAAGCAGGUAAUACUUUGACAACUAUGUCAUGUUAAUUGUAUGCGGGUGUUGCAACAUUUAGAUAUCUAUCCCUGAAUUAUACCUGUAUUUUUCUUGUCAUUUGUUUGGUUUGAUUUCUUUUAUGCUGUACAACAUUAAAGUGCCACAAAUAUCCCCCUUCCCCCUUUUCUCGUGGAGUUGAAUGAAUUGUCCCUAGGGUAAAUUAUCUGCCACUUGAGCAUGUAGAAUCCCUGAACCUUGCUCGCCCUGCCCCAAACCCCCUCUGUUCGUCUGUCUGUCUCUCAGUUGGGUUUUUCUCAUCAUUAAUUACAUGUGAUUUUGCAGUGGAGAUCCGAUUCAAGUAACCAGUGGAAUGGGGCACAUUAUGGAGGACAGGGUUAUGGUGGUUACGGACAUGCUGCGCCACAGAGUCAGGACCUGAGCAUGCAUGCUGCAGCCGCCGUUCAUGGGGCUUCUUAACAGGGCUAUCAGAGUUGCCAACAGCAUGUAAACUGAACUUACAAGAGUGGCUUUUUAGAUAUAGUUUUCAGUGCCUUUAAUUUAAGUAGGAUUGAUUUAGCUGGUUAUUUAGCUGAAUCUGUAAUGUGCCGAAUUUUGUUACCGGAUUGAAUUGAUAUCUUGAAAACAAUGUGUGAGUAAUAUUUGAAAACUUGGUUUCUUUUUUUCUUUUUUAAAUUUUAUUGAAAACUUGUUUUCCAACAAGCUAUUUAUCAAAGUAAAGCUCUGCCUCAAAUAAUGGACUAUAUAGUUGUGUUAUUUUCUUCAGACUUCAAAAUAAUUUCUGGGUAUGAUUAAUUUUGUCUACAUAAAUGUGGGAAACAGGAUCGAAGACCUAGGAAAAUUUACACAGCAAAUUGGUCAAUUCCAUUUGAGCACGAAACAGUAGAUCUCUCUCUCUCUCUCUCUCUCUCUCUGUCUCUCUCUUUGGCAACCGAUAACAGAAUCUGUACACAAUUGAUAAACUUUAAAAUCAUAAACAAACUCAGAUUUCAGUACACACCCAAGAUUCAACCCAAAAUGAAGAAGAAAGGAAAUACAAGGGAAAUGAACCUUGUUUGAGCAAUAAUCAACCAAGAGGAAAGGAAGAUAGAGCUUCUUCAGAACUUAGAUCCAGUAAUUCAGAAAGGGGGAGUUGUGGUUGCUAGAGAGAGUGAUAAUUGCGGAAGAGAGGUGUACACUGUUCCUCAUGUUUUCCUUUCCAACUUUAAAGAGAGACUUUGUUUUCGUUUUCACGAAAUCGUUUACCGUUUUUGUUAUACGGCGUACCAAACACAAAUUGUUUCUUAGUGUAGCUUUGACGCAUUUCUGGUUCUGAAGUAAAAAAAUUGAGUUAUACCAAAAAAUAACCAAGGAGCUGGUAUUUAGUUUUCUCAUCACCAAGGGGGUUUAGCCACCUCUUGGAUCAUAAGCUCAAGUCAAGCUUCUCUGAACUCGUAUUUAGACUCUCAAUCUCAGAUUCAAGCCUACGGUCUCAGAAAUUACUCCAGCUACCAGUUUGCAGUUCAGACCCUCAACAAGAUGUUCAUGAAGAAAUGAGUUUUGGCUGCAACAAAGCUCAUAAUACUUGUAACAUCUCUUCAAAGUCCAAUGAUGGUAUCGUAAAAUGUACCACUCCUGGUCCAUUAAUUAUCAUGGCUUGUGCAUAUACUAUCAUCUGUAGUUGUCAAAGCAAAUGUUGUUGCAAUUUCUUUGAGAACACUGAUAUUAAUAAGAGGCACAUUUUAGCAUUUUCUCUCGACUCUUAUACCUAACCAAUGAAACUACAACAAGAAGUUGAGGCAUAACCCGAGCUAAAAUGCUCAUGUUCAGUCAUUUUGUUCAGCGAUCUCGUGCGUUUGAAAUGAAUACAACUCAAUCCUGAAGCACCCAAACAUAUAAGGAAGACGGCAGGCAAAAGGGAGGCUUUGAGAGGAUUUUGAUGAUGCCGAAUGAAGUAAACAUACUGAACUGUCGAGCAAAGACACCGAGAGAUGGCACCAAGUAAUCCAAAAAUGUCAAGAACAUCACCAAAUAGCCUUUGCUGGGGUCUUUGUCUCCCAGAUGCAAGUCAGCCAACAUCACACCAAAUACAUAUAUUAAUACUAAGUACCUCAAUACAAUGAUCUUUCCCUUAUUUUUCUAAUCUUUACAACAUCUCGAAAUACCCAAAGAUAAAAGAAACAUGAAAGGCAAAAUGGAUAGUUUGAUAGGAUUAUUAGCAUGUCGAUGGAGGUAAUCAUACUGAACCCCAGAGCAAAUGCUUUGAGCGAUGGCAAGAACUAGCCCACAAAUGUCAGGAAAAUUACCAAAAAGCCUGUUUGGUGGAUAUGGAUGGUAAUACCACCAUAUCCUUCCCCACCUCUUGAAUUCAACUCUUUCUCUGUAACCCUUGUGAAUGAGCUCACAGAUGCAAAUGAGUACGGCCGCAAUAGCCAACAACAUACCAUAUAGUGCAUAGUGGGGCUUACUUGGGGACGAAAGCUGAUCAAAAGAAGCUGAAAUAGUCUCUAGCCCAAGGCUAAUGAGGAAAAAGAUCCACUUCUCUGAAUAAGUAAACUGCAAAAGAAAUGAAGCGGCCAUUUAUUAUUCAAAGAUAUCUUAUCUAGCAAGAAAUAUAGCAAAUCAAAACAAUAAGAAUGAGUUUUAGAGCAAAACUUCUCCUCGUGCGACCGAUAACGCGAGGAGGUGGCGUGAGGAGAGAUAGAGAGAGGAGAAUAUGCAACCGAUGUAGGUAAAGUUUUUCUUUGAGUUUUGAUAUCACUACUUUUGUCCUGUGCUUUGGCUUGUUAUGGUCGUCUUCUUGUUUUUGUUUUGGAUUGUCAUAGUCAUCUACUUGUUUUUGUAAGCUAGACAUGAUGUCCUUGUUAACAUCCUUUGGCACCUACAAUAUGUGAAAAUUGGGAUAGAAAAUAUAAUUGUUCAAAUAUUGGGUCAUGUAAUUCUCACAUGCAUGCACCCAAAUAAGUAAGUGUUAGCUCAAAACCUCUGCUUUUUGUUUUUUAUUUUGCCAAUAGCUCAAAACCUUUGUUGAGGAAUGCGCAAUUUCUUUGAGAAGCAAGAAUAAAAAAAGAUCACGGGGGCAAUUUCAAAAAGAAAAAGAUUGAAAAAUCAAAGUUCAAUCUCAUAACCUAAGGGUCCGUUUAAUAACUAUUUUAAUUUUAGUUUUUUUUUUGGUGCUAAAAUAUAGAGGAAAAUGAGAGGGAGAAUGGAAGUGAGGAUGAGCUUGAGAGAGAGGAUGAGAGUGAGAAGUAACAAAAGUGAAAACAACAACUUGAAAGUGAAAGCAAAUUUCAAAUAGAUUUCAGUUUUUAAAUUUUAUUUUCACUUUUGUUACUCCUCCCUCCCAUCUUCUCCUCUCAUUUUCCCUCUCAAUCUCAUUUCCACUUUCAUUCUCACUUCCAUUCUCCCUCUUUUUUCUCUAUAUUCUAGCAUAAAAAAUAAAAAAUAAAAAAUAAAAUAAAAAUGAUUAUCAUACGGACCCUAAAUUUAUUGAAAGUCACAAUAAGAGAGACUUUAAAUAGAAAAAUUCUAAACUAACAAAUAAUCCAUUAGAAUCAUGCUACACUCUCAUAUAUAGACUCUAAUCAUGACCGUUAAGAAUUCAUUAAAGGCAAACCAAGACUGUUCAAACCGUCGAUAGACUAAACAUUAAAACACAAUAGUUUAGUUUAAUCCUUAUAAUUCAAACGUUUGAGUGCGAAAGAAACCAUAAAUUAAGAAAUGCAAAACAAAAAGCUGGUGACAAAUAUGCAUGGUUGACUUUGAGUAGUUUUGACCAGUACUAGGUAUACCUCUGGUGGCCUUAGCUUGUAGUAGGCAUUGUAGUCCACAGAAGGAGAUGGGCUAAGAAAUCGGGUGUGUGUGGGCAGCUCCUCAUCAUGGAUGCUAACCACAUGCGAUCCGCUGGAGCCCGAUCCACUGGAACCGGGUUGACCUUGAAGCUCAAGCUCCAUUGUUUGUGAAAUUUUCUUUUACAAAUACACAGAUACAAAUCAAACACAAAAAGAAAAGGCUAUAGGAAAGAAGAUUUGGGAUACUGAAGAAGGGAGAAGAAGUAGAUGAGUUACAGAGAGAUCCAGAAAUGCAGAACCGAAAUUCUGAUUGUGUGGUGAUUAAACCUUUUUAAUUAAUAUUUAUAUAGAGAAAGAGGACGCGUCCUUACUUCUCGUAUAUUAUUUCUUUUCAUAAUGGGAAAAAAAAAAUUGAUGGACGCGUCCUACCAGUUGAUGUGCAUGCAGUCAGCAACUUCACUGCGGUUUCUUUUGAACUUCCAUUCUUCCGAUAAAAUUGGAAUUAUAUCAAUAUCUUAAGUUUCCCUUACUGCUAAAUUUGAAGGUGACAAAUAAUUUUAAUGUUCCCAUUACUGCCGUAGUAUUGUAUAAUCACUCCCCAUAAUGACGUAGUAGUUGUCACUAUCAUAUACUAACUAGUUACUAGGUUAAUAUCGUGUGAAUAACUCAUUUGGACUAACUUCUCAAUGUAUUUCAUAAUUCGAAUAGUCAGUGUCGUAUUAACUUACUAAUCAGUUAGCACUCCGGCUCUCAUUAAAAACCUUGUAAUACCUCGUUAACAUGCACACGUGAUGUAUCAGUUACUCACAAAAAUAAACAAAGGUUAUUUUAUUACAAAAAUCCCGAAAUAUAUUAAUAAAACCUAAAAAACAAAAACAAAGACACCUCACACACAAACUAUUAAAACUUCUCCACAUAAUCAUCCACCUCAAUUCUCUCAUGCAACACCGUUCACCUUUUAACUCCUCAGAAACAUGGUGUGUAUUUGAACAAAUGGGAAAACUGCCACACGACUUGGGUAACCAAAUGGUUUGUGGGUUGGGUCCCGACUGACUCAAUCGAAUAUUUGAAGCUUCUUGUAGUAAAAAAUAUAUAAAAUAGAAAAUAACAAGAAACUGCAGGUUAGGGUUUUGAGACAUAUGAGACUUUGUCAAGAUGUGUUUUAAAAUUGAAAUGGAAAAAGGUCUCUUCUAUUCUUAGUUGACUCUUAGUUGUACUCUGUUUGUAGUUUGUCCGUGUACUGUGCGUGUGGAGCUGUGUGGUUUAUAAAACGAUGUGUUGAUAAAACAACCAAAAUUUCUAGAAGUUUAAGCUUUUAGAGUGGCUCCAGCGAAGGAGCCCAGCCCGAGGCAAGGGCAGAAAAAAAAAAAAUUUUCGCUCCAGCGUGCAGCCCAGGCCCGGGUUUGGUGUGGGACCCACCAACUCGGGCCAGCCCGAAGGCCAAACCAGCCCCAGGUCCAAAACGCGCGCGCUGACAUCAGCGCUGACGCCAGCGCCAACGGUACGCUGCCACGUGUCGCGCUCAGCGCCUUCCGAUCUGCUUCUCCUUUCUAAUCCAACGGCUGAGGCUUUUUUGGGUGAAAAAAAUAUGAAAAAAAAUUCUAAAAAAUUCUAAAAAAUUCUGAUAUUUUUUUCUAUAAAUACCUAUCAAUACCCUUCACUUUCAACACCAAUACUCUUACAUUUCAUUAUACUUCUACUAAUAUUCACUCUUUUUACACAACAUUUUCCUCUUUUUCAUCUAGCAUUUUGAUUUCAUAUUUUUAUGGCUUCUUCUAUCGAAACCGGAGGGGCUUGGAGCACAAUGGAAGAUGUUUCUUUGUGUGAGGCUUGGCUCCAAAUUUGUCAUUGUCCCGUGUCCGGCAAUGAAAUGAAAUUUUUUCAUAUGUGGAAAAAAAUUCAUGCCGAAUUUUGUGAAAAAAUUCCGGGGUCUACUCGUACGGAGAUGGCAUUAUCCAGUAGGUGGAAAAUUCUCGAUAAAGAGUUGGGAAAAUGGAGAAAUGCCCUAGCAAAAGCGAUGGACAACUAUAGAAGUGGGCAAAAUCGUACUAACGAGGUAAGUAUUUUAUAAUUUUUGUGUUAUUAAGUUUAAUCUCCUAAUAUAUAUAUUUUGUUAAUAUUGCUUGCAUUUUCAAUAUGUUGUAUAUAUUUUGUUAAUAUUGCUUGCAUUUUCAAUAUUUUGUUAAUAUUGCUUGCAUUUUAAAUAUGUUGUAUAUAUUUUGUUAAUAUUGCUUGCAUUUUCAAUAUUUUGUUAAUAUUGCUUGCAUUUUGAAUAUGUUGUUAAUAUUUCUUGUAUUUUCAAUAUUUUGUUAAUAUUGCUUGUAUUUUUAAUAUGUUGUUAAUAUUUCUUGCAUAUCCAAUAUAUUUUAAAUAUUUAUUGCAUUUCCAUUUUUUUGUUCAAUAGAUGAUUCAAGCACAAAUGUGGUUCGGUGCAACCGGGGGUGGCAACAAAAGUUUCACCCAUCAUGAAUGUUGGGAGGUGGUGAAAUUUUGCAAACGCUUCGUAAUUAUUCCAACGGGUCCGGAGGUUGUGUUAAACGAGACGCCACUUCGUGAUUCAAUGACAUCGGAUUCACCUCUUGAUUCUCCUAUGAGUCAAGACUCACCCAUCGAAAAGGAGCCGAGGCCCAUUGGCCGAAAGCCCGUGAAGGCAAAGAAGAAGGGUAAUUCAAGCAAUCAAAAUUCACAAUUUUUGGAGGAAAUUGCAAGGCAAAACGGCAUAAGAAUAGAAAUGGAGCAAAAACGCCAAGAGCACGAGUUGGCCCUUGAUGCUGAGUUUGCACGUGAAAGGGAGUAUUUGCGCAAAAAAGAUAUGGACAAGACAGAUCGGGAAACCAUGGCGAUGGAUACAAGUCAUAUGUCCCCUGAAACAAAACAAUUUUGGAAGCUAGAACGAAGGGAUGUUAUGAGAAGAAGACUUUUCCGGGAUGAUGGGCCUAGCAACACGGAUUGGUUAAAUGAUGGAAACCAUUAAAUUAGUUAGCAUAUCUUUUAUGUAUUUGUAUUUUAGUUGUUUUCUAUUAAAGUUGUUAUAAUUCAUGUAUUUUAUUUUAUUAGUAAUUCAUAAUGACUUGUAUUACAUUUCAUUAUUUAAUAAACAAAGCAUUCAAUAAAUUACCUUUUUAUUCAACAUAUUCCAUACUUCAAACAAAACAUAAUAAAAAUAAAAUUAAAAGUACAAACAAGGCACAAUAAUAAAAAUAAAAGUACAAACAAGGCACAAUAAAAAUAAAAACACAACCAAACCAUACUAAAUAAAACAUAAGCAAAGCAUCUAUUCUCCAUCAUUAAUCUUCAUUGCCUUUCACCGCCCAUAGAUGCUCCAUCAAGUGAAAUUGACGCAUUUCAUGAAUAUACGAAGAUUGCAUCUCCGUAUAUCGAUCUAUCAUUCGGGUCAUCAAAUGACCAUCCCUCACCAACGGUUCCGGCUCAAACGGUUCUCCAUUUGGCCCCAUGGGCCUUUCAUAAAUCCGUGUCAAAGCCGUGUUCAUUGGAUCCGGUUCGUAGACCUCUAAAGCAUCAUAAUCGUACUCAUCCUCCACAAUCAUAUUAUGGAGGAUGAUGCAAGUCAUCAUAAUGCUUCUGAGGAUCUCCUCAUCAAACAUGCGGGCCGCACCUCGAAUAAUCAACCACCUGGCUUGAAGGAUGCCAAAACACCUUUCGACAUCUUUCCUGUAUCCCUCUUGAUAUGUAGCAAAUAAUUUUUGCUUCUGGGAUCGGGGAUUUGGAAUGGUUUUGACAAAAGUCGUCCACCUCGGGUAGAUUCCAUCAGCUAGGUAGUAUCCUGUCUGGUAUACUGUAUUGUUGACUUCAUAGGUGACAUUGGGGCCCUGACCUCUCAAUACAUCGUUGAAGACGGGGGAUUGACCCAGCACGUUGAGGUCAUUUUGUGAUCCUGCAACUCCGAAGAAGGCAUGCCAAACCCAUGUGUCGAAACCAGCAACCGCUUCAAGGAUGAUACUUUUUUGGCCUUUUCGAUUUCCAUAAUCACCUUGCCAAGCAGUUGGGCAAUUCUUCCAUUGCCAAUGCAUGCAGUCGAUGCUACCAAUCAUUCCAGGGAAUCCUCGAGCUUCGGCUUUUUGCAGAAGCCGUUGGAGGUCCCUGGGAGUAGGUCUACGCAGGUAGUCCCUAGUGUACAGAGUUUCAACAGCUUGACAAAAUCUUACCAAAGCCUCCAACGUAGUGGACUUCCCCAUCGGGGCAAUCUCAUCCACCUGAUCAGCAGAUGCUCCAUACGCCAACAUUCGUAUAACAGCUGUAAGCUUUUGCUCCGGAAGAAGCCCCAAAACCCCAGCAGCAUCACACUUUUGAACAAAGUAUGCAUCAUAAUUGCAAAUAUCAUGCAUGACUUUAUUGAACAAAUGAGGUUGCAUUCUAAAUCGCCUUCGAAAAUCAACAUCAGAGUACAAAGAAGUUGGGAUAAAAUAAUCUUCCAAAAGAUUCUUACCCCUAGAAUGCCUAUGUCUUUCCACAUUCCGGCGGCGGCCGGCUUGUGAACUAUGGCGGCGACCUUGGUUCUCUUCUUCUUCCAAAGCCACUGUUAUGAGAACUUGCUCAUCGACUUGUCUCUGCAACUCAUUGACUUCAUCUGCUCUACGGUUUCUCUCUCUUCUUUCUCUCUCUUGUCUCUCCAAGCAUCUCCUAAAUUCUUCCAUUCAGAAUGAAUGAAGUAUGAAUUAUAAACUCUCAGAAAUGAAAAUAUAGAAAGAUGUGGUGUGAGAGGUAUGAGCUGAGACUCUGGUUUUAUAGAAAAAUUUGGCAAGAUAGACAUGCCACGUGGCUUGAUUUUAUUGGAUGAAAAUCAUAUCUGAAAUUUGAAAUUCAUCCGAAAUUUGAACCCUAAUUUGUAUGAAAUUCAAAAUUUGAAAUUCAUCCGAAAUUUGAACCCAAAUUUAUCUGAAAUUUGAACCCAAAUUUAUCUGAAAUUUGAAUUUUGAAAUUCAUCCGAAAUUUGAACCCAAAUUUAUCUGAAAUUUGAAUUUUGAAAUUCAUUCGAAAUUUGAAUCCAAAAAUUUAUCUGAAAUUUGAACUUUGAAAUUAAUCCGAAAUUUGAAUCCAAAUAUCUUAUCCGAAAAUUUUAUCUGAUUAUGAAUAGUCUUGACACGUAGGAAUCCGAAAAUCUUAUCUGAAAAUAUUACCCAAAUUAAUUAUUUUUAUUAAAAAAUAGGAGGAAAAAACAAAAAAGUAAAUAGUAAUUGCUAUGGCUAAGGGCAACGGGUGGAGAAACGAUUUACUAUUUGCAAGGGCAACCACUAUUCACGUAAAUAGUGCUUGCCCUAGCUCCACCCUUGCCAUGGCUAAGAGCAUCUCCACCCACAAGGGCUAAGUUUAAGGCAAGGGCAAGUAAGGGCUGCCACUAUUCACGUGAAUAGUGUCAACCUUUGCAUUUGUGGUUCCACCCAUGAGGGCAAAGUCUAAGGCAAUUACUAUUCAUUGUACUUUAUUUCCUAUUUUUUUAUACUUUAAACCAUUAAUUUUGAUAAGCUUUUUAGAUUAUAUUUUCGGUUGUCAUGUGUCACUAUUUAUUAUAAAAUUUUCACUUAAAAUUUAAGAUAACAUUUUUCGGAUAAAAUUUUCAAAUAAAAUUUUCGGAUAAAAUUUUCGGUUGCCACGUGUCCAUAUUUGUUAUAAAAUUCACAUCCCACUCAUCAUACAAUUGAAAUAUCUACUCACUCAUCAUACAAUUAUUUUUAAUUAUUAGGUAUUUAUAGGGAAAAUAUCCAGAAUUUUUUGGUAUUUUUUUAAAAAAAAUUUGAAUUUUUUUCGAUUUUUUUUGCAAUUUUUUAAGCCAAAAAAAGCAAGGCCGUCAGAUUUCUGGAAAAAAUUGCAUCGGAGGGUCCGGGACGCGCCACGUGGCAUAUUCCUGUUGGAGCCUGUCGGAAGUGACGUCACGCUGACGUCACCAAACUCGGGCUUCAGCCCAGGCAAGACUUGCCCUUGGGCUUGAUCGGGCUCGUGGGACCCACCACGAAACAGAGCUGCGGGCCUUGCGCUGGAGCCAUCUCGGGCUCGCCCAGGGGGCCUUUCCCCCGGUUUCCUAUGCGCGCUGGACGUGCUCUAAGGGCAAAUGGGUGGAGUUGCUCUUAAUAAUAAUAAAAAAACCGACCAACAAUGUUAUAUUAAAUUUCACAAAAUUAAUUAUUAAAAAAUGAAUUAACAGUGUAUAUAAAUCUUACGAUUCUAAAAGACUUUUGGUUAGUCACCAUUCUAGUUUCAGAUAAAUUUUCUAAAACUGUUUUGGCUAUUAAAAUAUGAGCCAGAAGAAGAUAUGGAAUCCAAACCCUCCUCAAGACCACAUCUCCUGCAUGCAGGUGUUGGGCAAUUUUUAUACAUGAUUUAUUAUGUCAUUCACUCAAUAUUUUGUAGUUUUUUUUCUUCAUUUUUGUAUUUCUAUUUUUCUAUUCAAACAACAAUAAUGGUGUAUUUACUAAUCGGAAAUUGGAAUUCUCAUCAGAAAUUGAAUUUCACUUAUGGAGGAUUUCUGCGUUCACUUCACAUCAAAGAAUUGAAAAGUAAGUGGGGCCCACACAAAAUUAGGAAUUGAAUUCCUGAUUUUGGAGGAAUUCAAUUCUUGGGUGGGAGGUGAUAUUCUAAUUUUUGGAAAAGUAACCCAGGAAUUCAUAUUUUUUACUCAUUAUAUCCUCACACAAUUUUUAAAAUUUCAAAUAUGCCAUCUACUUUAACCCAACAACAAGGACAUUUUAGUAAUUAGCACAACUUCUACCCUAAUUCCAUAUGAUUUAGUAAACAACUUCAAUACGAAUCCGGAAUCUAACUAUCCUCAAUCCAUAUGGUUUAGCAAACAACUUCAUUAAGAAUCUGGAAUCUAAUUCUCCUCAAUUCAAUUCCUCCUAAUCCAAUUACGAAUUAAUAAACAUGCCAUAAAGUUAACUAUGAUUUUCCACCUCUUCAAAGUCUCCAUUCAAAGAUGGUAUCGUAAUGUCUCGUAUUUUAAUUCUCAAAAUAAAUGGCCCAGAUCAAAAGUCCAUUAAUUAUCAUGGUGGAGCCGCUUGUGCAUAUUAUCAUCUGUAGUUCUCAUUCUCAAAGCAAAUGUUAUUGCAAUUCCUUUCAAAACACUGAUAUUAAUAAGAGGCACAUUUUAGAAUUUUGUCAGCAAACUCAGCAUGAGUUGCGUGGGGAAAUAGCUCUCUCAUCCAAUAAAAGAUUCAGAUUAUGCUCAAAGGGUUUACUAAAACCUAACCAAUGAAACUACAACAAGAAGUUGAGACAUAAUCUAGCUAAAUCCCUAUGGUCAUGCAUUUUGUUCAUCAGUCUUGUCCGUUUGAAUACAACUCAAUCUUGAAGCACCCAAACAUAUAAGGAAUAUGGCAGGCAAAAGGGAGGCUUUGAGAGGAUUUUGAUGAUGCCGAAUGAAGUAAACGUACUGAACUGUCGAGCAAAUACACUGAGAGAUGGCACCAAGUAAUCCAAAAAUGUCAAGAACAUCACCAAAUAGCCUUCGCUGGGGUCUUGGAUAAUAAAACCACCACAACGUCCUCCACCUCCUCAAUUCAACUCUUUCCUUUUUACCCUUGUAAAUGAGCUCCCAGAUGCAAGUCAGUACAGCAGAAAUAGCCAACAUUACACCAAAUACUGCAUACUGGGGAUUCCUUGGGGAGGAAACCUGAUCAAAAGCAAGUGACAAAAUCUCUAGGCACAGGGCAAUGAGUAAAAAGAUCCACUUUGCUGAAGUAGCCUACAAAUAAAUCAGUAAUACAAUGAACUAAAACUUAACAAGCAAGAACAAUGCAAAAGAAAAUGUAGGUUAACUAUGAUUAUGAGUUAUGACUAUUCGACAACCAUUAGGCUUGAAAAAUGAUGUAGAACAGAUGGGGAAAGCAAUUGAAGAGGAGUUGCAAAGACGCAUGCGCAAGGGUAAAUCAGGCAAAACACAUCACUUUGCUAUGAUGUAUCGGCUUUUUCGGGCAUCUGAGAUUGUUUAGCAGCUUGAAACCUGGCGUUAAACUUUUUACACUUUUUGGAAAUUUUGUUAUUUUUCUAUUUUAAUUCAUUGUUUAUUCCUAGAAUUUCUAGGAAUAUUUAAGUAGAUUUUACCUGUGACUAGGGUCUUUUUUUUAAAAUUCCAAUUUGUCAAAUAAACCUUAAGGUUUCCUCAUAUCUUCUUGGUGGAUUUCAGAGUUACAUGUUCUAGGCUAAAGUUUUAGCCAAUCUAUUGUCCUCGUCAUGCUAUGUCAAAAAACUUAAACUGUCACGAAAUAAGUCAACAAUAUAUAUCAAACUGACACCUCCCUCACGUGCAGCCCCAAUCCUACACAAUUAGACCCUUCGAACUAGAGCUUUAAUGUUAAUACCAUGUUAGAAAACGUAUAGGCUCCAAAAGCUAAGGAAGGACCAAAUGAUAAGAUUUUAAAAAAAAUUUACAACAUAAUUCCAAAAUAUAAACACUUGAAAAUAACCACGAGUGAAUGUACUUUCAAAAACUUGGAAACUCGAUGACAAAGAUUGCGGCUAAUAUAGGGAGGCGGUUUCAAAAAUAAAAUAAAAGAAAAAAAAUGUGUCGUAUAGUAAGUGGAAGACAUUUUACCUUAGCGCUCAAUGUCUUAUCCGGUACACGCAAAGUUACCAUAAUGUCCUCAGUUCUAUUUAUUCCCUAGUAUGAAAAAAAAAAUUGCAUUAAUAGAGCAAGUUAUUUGUCAAAUAAUAGUGAAAGUAUUUCAAAUUAUUCUAGAACUAUUUUCCUUUAAAAUUUCAAUAAGAAAAUUAUAUUCUACAUAUGGCAUACAUAUAUUUACUUACCGUAUUUUCCGAUAGAACAUGGUUAACAUUCUUGUAAAACCACGACCUGCUAUGUCGCCGACUUCUGAGCCUAGUUAAAGAAUCUUGGCAGGAAAAUAUUUCUCUACCCAUUUUUUGUAUCAAGUCAUUCAUCCAAAUAUGGUCUUCUUUAAUAAUUACCAAGGCCUUUUCUAUGAGUACUUGAAUACCGUACUCAGGGUUCUGGUGACAACUUUCUAGCAUUUUUAUCACAUAGUUCUUAUUUUUACCUUUUAAGAAACAUGCAAUGUCAAGGAAAACUUCUUUAACCAGAUCUUCUAGUGCAUCGUAACUUAUUUGGACAAUGUCUUGAAUCUCUAAGUCAACAACUCUUUUGUAAUCAUCCAAUGCAGCUUUCCAUUGAUCUAUGCUUCUACCACAUAGGAGUGAACCUAUAAUUGUGAGAGCUAAUGGAAGCCCCUUAGCAUAGUGCACUAUUGCAGUAGCGACUUUCGCAUAAUCAUCAGGAAGUUUAUUUCUUCGGAAGGCAUUCCAACUGAAGAGCUCAAAAGCUUCAUCAAAAUAUAAUUCCUUCACCUUGUAUAUUAGGUUAACUUGAUGAGCGGUUAACAAAUGUUUGUCUCUUGUUGUUAUGAUGAUUCUACUGCCCAAACCAAACCAAUCAGACCCUCCAACCAAUUUGUUUAAUUGGUCCAAUUGAUUCACGUUAUCAAGAAUUAAGAGGACUUUCUUGUGGCUCAAUAUUUUCUUUAUCACAUUGAUUCCUUUAUCAACAUGGGUCCAGUCCAAUUGUUUCUCUCCUAGGAUCUCAGAAAGAACAAUCUUUUGUAGUUUGACUAGGCCUCCAGGUGCCACUGAAUUUUCUCCUACACUUGCCAAAAAACAGCUACAUUCGAACUCAUGGGCAAUCGAAUUAUAAACAGCUUUAGCAAUUGUUGUCUUACCUAUUCCAUUCGGCCCCCAUAUUCCUAACAUGCGAACAUCAUUUACCCCAAUUCCUAAAAGCUCACUUAUAUCUUGUACGCGAGACUCUAUUCCAACUGGAUACUUUGCCACAUUGAAAUAAGUUCGGUUUAAUACUUGUGCUGAAAUUUCUUCAACAAUGUUAUGAACAAAUUUAGAAUUGUGCCUGCCAGUUAAAAGCAUAUGAAACAUUUAAUGAAAUGGAAUUUUGCUAGCUAGCUAUAUAUUUCGAUCUUAUAAUUCUGUCUAAAAAGGAAAAGGGAAUAUAAACUCUCUCAAUAAUUUCUCAAGAGGAAGAUGCUAUAUAUGUUUAACCAAACAAGCGACUUUAGUUUUAUUUUAUUCAUAUUACUUUCCUUAAGAAAAGUAAUAAUCCUAGCACACUAAGUUCACAAAUUUGAGAUCAAUGUGGCAGUAUUUCGUUUAUUUAUAUAUGAACUUAUUACAAUUUCCAUUUGUUUAUUAUAAGUAUGAUAUUCUCAUAUCAAAUGUUCUAUUAUUUGGCGACCAAAUUUAAUAUAAUUUUUUUUCUUGUGAUGCUAGUACGUGUGUUGGUGCCCAGGUAUGACAUGUAGGAUAGAUUAGGAGAAAAACUUAGUUGUUGCAAGGAUAAUAUUGUUUUCCUAUUUUCGACUAAUAAUGCUAUGCCAAGUGGAAGUGUUGUCACGCAUGUCAUAACGUUAUUGACCAGAAAUAACAAAAUACUAUCCUCGUUUCAUGGAAGUAUUUCUCCUUAGACUAGAUGAUUGUCAACCUAUGCUAGGGUACAACAACACCGAAGAAAUCUUGUUUAACUGCCGAAGAAAUCUUGUUUAACUGCUGAAAUUCCAAUUUUAUAAUCUCAUAUAUAUUCUCGUUCCCAUUUCGAUUCUUUUUACUUAUGAUUCAUUUUUAUCUUGAUUUCUUGUUAUGUAAUAAUGUGUGAGCAAAUUUGUUAAGUACUAAAAUGGAUGAAUUUUUUUAACAAAAUAAAGAAAUUAGAAACAAAUAAAUAAAUCGAAACGCUAGUAAGUGGUUCUUAGAAAUAUACCCGUCCAAGAAAUACCACCCCGGCAAAUUUGUUGCUUCUCUAAGAGCUGCCCUCCAUCUCAGCACCUUCUCCAUGUUAUCUCUGAAUUUGUUUUCAUGGUUAGCAAAUGCCUCACCAAAACUGCCUUGUUGGUUGCGCACAUCUAUGAGAUCCACCUUGUAAUAAACUGGCCAAACAAUUUUCUGCUUUGCUGCUCUACAUUGAAGGAUCUCAACCAGUUCAUCCAAGCACCAGACUGAAGAUGCAAAAUUCUCGGAGAAUACGAUGAUAGAAAUCCUUGACUCUCCAAUCGCUUUAAAAAGCGUUGGCAUUAAUAGUAGUUCUUCUUCUCUUCUGAUAAGCUCAUCGGCAAGGAAGGUUUUAAUUCCCCUUUGAAGCAAAUUUCUGUACAAAUUGUCUGUGAAAUUGUUGUGGGUAUCCGCGUCUCUAUAACAGAGAAAGACAUCAUAUGCCCAUGAAUGGUUGAAAGAAGAAACGGAAGAGGCUCCUAAUAAUUGAGUGGUCACUGAAUCCAUUUUGUUUGAGAAUGAUAUGUCAAAGACUUGAAAUAAUUUAUAUAGGGUUUAGGGUGUAUGCCACUUGCUGUAUAUUAAUUAUUUGCAAAGUUGUUUCCUGUUACCUUCACUUGCUGUGGAAGUCAACUUGAAUGAGAUCGCUUGUUAUUUCCUGCGGAUUUCGGUGCAACUUUGAAGGUGUUUACUAAUCCAGUCGUGUAUAUACUUGAUGAUGAAGAUGGAUAACCAACCGAAACAAGAUUUGACCUAUCAUCUGUCAAUUAAAGGUGCCUCGUAUUUCUUAACUCAUGAUACCAUGAAGAAAAUUGAGGUCUCACCUACCCCAAAAUUAACUGGCAAUGAAGGAAGUAGUUCAACACCUUAUAAGUCCUUAAUAAGUUUCUCAACUUUCUAAUAUGGGACAAUUUUUCACAUUCUCACAAAAGAAGCCACACAACCAAAUGCUCAAGCCAUUAAGUUUAACUUUUAGUUUCAGAGUGUGGGUUCGGUUGAGUGGCGGAUAUAGCCAUGUCUGCCUACCCGAAAAAUUUCAGAAAAAUAAAAUAUAUAUGCAGCUUCCUAAACCCAAGACCCUAGAGGCAUAUGCAUGAGAGAGAGAGAGAGAGUGAAGCCGACAUGCAACCGCUAAGGCUCAGGCUUUAUCACCCAGUUUUCAAGGUUAAUAUUCUUUUCUUCAUAGUUCUAGUAUGAUACUGGAUUGUUGUCAAAACAUCUACGGAAGAAAUUUUUUUUUCACUCAAAUGGUAAAGUUUAGUAUGUAAAUUUUACUUACUCGACUUUUGAAUUUUUUAGUAUGUAAAUUUUUCCUACUCAACUUUUGAAUCCUGAAACUGCCACUAUUCGUUUCGAUCAUAACUCAAUCGAAUAAUAUUUUAAACUUCUUAUUAAAAAAGGAAAAAAACGAAAAAGAACGUGCAAGUUAGGGUCCUGAGACUUUGUCUAAUUUGUUAUUUUAAAUUGAUUUGGAAAAAAGUCUCCUAUUCUUAGUUGACCCUUAGUUUAUACUCUGUAGUUUGUCCCAUGUACUGCGCGUGUGAAGUUGUGUGGUUGAAGCAGUCUGACCAUGAAACUUAAAGCAGUCUUAUCAUGAUACUUAAAGCAGUCUGACCAUAAAACAUUGUUUUGAAUGCAAGUGAUAGUUUAAAUCACAAAUGGAGGGAGUUUCUCACACACAAUACUACAGUGUUGUGGGAAUUUGAACCUGAUAUACCACUAGUUUGAGAGAAAUUCAAUUGCUUUUUCACCUCAGCCACACUUCCAUAAACACAAAUAUGCCCCCAGCACAAGCUCCUAGGAACGUUCACCACCUUUCCUGUAAUCGAAUGUAUAUUAAAGAUCAAUACACAACAAAGACUCAGUCAUUCCUCCAAGACCUCCUAUGUUUUAAUUCCUCUUCACGCCUAUUUUCCUAUACAAGUUACGCAGCACAAAUGUUGUGACGCGUUGGUUGGUGGUGUGCCCUAUUUUUCUUUUUGUUGCAGACUUUUAUGAAUAGAAUAUGUUGGGCCGUCAAAUUUAGAAAGAAGAACUUGGACCACGUCAGGAGUCUUUCGGUAAAAGAGGCCUUUCUUCGUAUGGAGGCCCAAAUCAGGAUCCUUUUUUGGCUUUUGCUUCGUCUGGAGUCGUUCCGUUAUUGGGGACUUCAACUAUGGAGGUCAUCUCAAUCCUGUUUUCUGUCUUGCACUUUUUAUUAUUGGCAAUUAGUUUGCGCGCACCCAAACACCCAAGAUAGAUGACGGGCAGAAUGUUUACUUUGAAAGGAUUCUCCAUGCCCUUAAGCAUGCACACAAACCGAGCUAUGGUGGAUAGCCACUGAGAGAUUACACAAAUUAUUAAUCCAAAAAUGUCAGGAAACAUUUCUAAACGCGCGCUUGAGCUUUCUCCAUUUUUACACUUGAGAAUGAGUUCGCAGAUGUUAAAGAAUAGAGCCACAGAAGCCAACCACAUACCAGUGAGUGCAAACUGUGGAUUUCCUGGGGAGAAAAACUGAUCACAAAUAGCUGCAAGGAUCUCCAGGAAGAAGCUAAUGAUUAAAAAUAUCCACUCUACUGUGUCGGCCUGCAAAAAAGAUAAUUAGCCACACAAUCAACAAAAUCUUCUCUGCUAAAGGAAAAAUAAGACAGUUGAAGAUUUUUUACCUCUAAUAAGAAGCUUUUAAUAGUAGUACUCCAACUUGUAUUUUCUACCACGCCUGCUUUCGGUUUGGGUUGCUAGUAUGAAAAGGCAAGUGCAUUAACAAAUUAUAUAUAUAAAAAGGUUUUGUUUGUAAAUUUGAAUACAUAUGUGUAUUAAAAGAUUAUAUAUAAUACUUACUGUAACAUCGUCAAUUUGGUUACGUAGCUUUUCCAAUAUUUUAGUAUCGGAGCUCGUUUCAUCUCGUCCAGGAAACCCUUCAGUGCCUUCAGUUGCAUUUACUCCCUAGAGUAACCGAAAUAAAAGCAAUUGCAUGCAUAAAUAAAUAAAUAAAUAAAAGGAAUUUUCUUGACAAAUUGAAUAAGAUAAUACAUAUGUGUACAUAUAUUAUACUCACUGUGACAGCCUCAGUGUUAGGAAUUCUUCCUUGAAGUGUUUGUAAUGCUAGAGUACUGGAGAAUGUCUGAUCUCCUUCAACCAACUUUUCAGUGUUUUCAACUUUGUUUAGUGCCUAUUUUUUCAAAAAAAUAAUUAUAUCAACAAAGUAAUAUAUAAAAAAAGUAAAAUGGUUUCCCUACUUCCUUCAAGGACAAACUAACAAACAAAAAAUAAAAAGGUUUAGGGUUUAGGGUAAAACAAUACAUAUGUGCAUAUAAAUAUUUAUAUACAUGUAUUCUACUUACAUCGUCAGUUCCCGGAGCUUUUCCUAGCAAGUCUUCUUCUUGAAUACUGGAGAAUGUCUUAUCUCCUUCAACCAAGUUUACAUUGUUUUCAUUAGGGGUGGGCACUCAAACCGGCGAACCGGAAAUCCAAGCCGAACCGCACCGAACCAAAUCGGAAAAAAACCGAGUUGACUAAAAAGUCAAAAACCGGUCAAAAACCGAACCGAACCGGUUUGGACCGGUUCCAGAUCCGGUUCCAUGUCUUCAAAACCGAACCGGGCCGAACCGAACCGGUGAAACUAAAAAUAUAUAUAAUUUCAAUAUAUAUUUAUAUUUAAUGCUAUAUUUUAAUUUCACUAAAAAAACCUAAUAUUUAUCCAAGUUCAUCUCAAAAUAUCUCUCUUUUCUCACUUUAGAUGUAUUUUUAUACGAGAUUGAAUAUUUUGUUAAUUUUCAAGUAGAAAGUAAUAUUUCAGUUGAGAAUUGUAUUAAAAAUAUUUGAAGAAUAAUUGUUUAUAAUCCGGUUCAAGCCGAACGGAACCGGAACCGGACGAAACCGGAGCGAAACCGGUUCAAACCGAACCGGACAGUUUUUGAAAUUUUUUUAAUUAAAACCGAACCGAACCAAACCGGAUGAAUAGUACCGGAUCGGUUCUAAUUUGAGGCAAAAACCGGUCCAAACCGAACCGUGCCCACCCCUAGUUUUCAUCUUCAUUUUGUUCCUAUUCAUGAAAAAACCAUUGAUUUAACAAAUUAUUAUAUAUAGAGCUUCAAUUUAGGGAUUCUUCAAAUAAGCAUAUUUGAGGGACACCCUUAUAGGUCUCACAACACAUUGUUUUUCAAUAAUUAAGCCGUCUAAUUUUUAGAUAUUCCCCCAAAGAUCAUCUCUGCAAAGAAUCACUUGAAUCCGAAACCAUUUGACUCCUCAAAUAACCUUUUAGGGUCCCUUACGAAUUUUUUUUCAACGAUCCAAACUAUCUAUUUUUUUAAGUCUAUAUUCAUAGAUCAUUCUUGCAAAAAAUUAGACAAAUCGAAAAUCGUUUCGACAUCCAAUUGUAUCCUACAAAAUCAAUGAACACAGUGCUUCAAGAAAGUACUAAAAUUUCAGUAACUCAAUUGAGUGGUCAAAUGAUAUUGGAUUCAAAUGAUUUUUUGUAGAGAUGAUCUUUGAAUGAUUAUCUAAAAAAUAGACGGUUUGGAUUAGUGAAAUAUAAUGCGGAGUGAGAUCGCUCAAUAGAAGCUCACUAUAAUUCCAGUAUGUAUUUGACUUACUGUAACAUCGUCAGUUCUAUUAAUAUGUCCUUGAAUCCUUUCUUCUUCUUGAGUAUUGGAGAAUGUCUCAACUCCAAGCAACUUUGCAGUAUUUUCAACUUCAUUUAGUCCCUAUUGUAUGAAAAAACAAUUGCAUUAACAAACUAAUACUUGAAAAGGAAAAAGCUUUUGCCAGUCAAAUUGAAUAAGACUAUAUGUGUGUGUGUGUGUUGUGUGUUCCACUCACUGUAACUUCGUUAUAAGUUUCAGAAAUUUUUCCUUGAAGUCUUUCUAUUUCUGGAGUACCGGAGAUUGUGUCAUUUUGUUCAAGCAUCAGUUCAUUUCUUUGAGCUUCAUUUAGUCCCUAUAGUAUGAUAAACAAUUGCAUUAAUAAGUUUAUACAGUCCCCUUCUAUUGAGGGAUCCCUCAAAUAAUUUUAUUUGAGGGACGCCCUUUAGGGUACCCUACAAUUCUUUUCCCAAUAAUCCAAACCAUCUAUUUUUUAGGUAUUCAUUCAUAGAUCAUCCUUACAAAAAAUUAGACAAAUCGAAAACCGUUUCGACAUCCAAUUGUGUCUUACAAAAUCAAUGAACACGGUGCUUUAAGAAAAGUACUAAAAUUUUAAUAACUCAAUUGAGUGGUCACAUGAUAUCGGAUUCAAGUGAUUUUUUUGUAGAGAUGAUCUUUGAAUGAGUAUCUACAAAAUAGACGGUUUGGAUUAGUGAAAUACAAUCCGGAGUGGGGCCUACAAGGGGUGUCCCUCAAAUAAGCUUAUUUGAGGGAUCCCUCAAUGGAAACUCUCUGUAAGUUUUUAUAUAUAUAUAUGAAUGUACGUUUAUAUAAAUUUGAAUAGAUAUAUAUAUAUAUAUAUAUAUAGUGCGUACCGUGCUUGCAAGUCAUGCACCCCAUGUUCUUCUUCAACAUUGGUGAGGACAUCUUCUUCGGGUCUUUUCACUUGAUGUUCUAGUUCCUUUUUUGUAAUUUUGAGGAUUUCAUGAAUAUUUGAGGCAGGAACUCUUUUGUAACUUUCUAAUAUGGAUUGCCAUUCAUCUAUAUUUUUCCCAUACAAAAGUGAACCCAUAGCUGUGAGGGCUAAUGGAUUCCCUUGAGCAUAGCCUACGAAACUAUUUGCGAGUUCUUGAUAAUCAUCCGGAAGUCCACUUGUUGGGAAGGCAUUAGAACUGAAGAGCUCCAAAGCUUCAUCAGAUUCUAACUCCUUCACUUGGUAGCGCAAAUGCUCAACCCUUGCUGAUAUUCCUGGACGUACCGACUGCCGCGAACAAGAGGAUCUUCUGCUUGACAUUGUUAAUUAACUGGAGCUUGAGGUGUGUCAGAAGAAGGAACUUGAAUUGACUGAGAAUACUAGAAUAGAAUGAGGGGAAAGAAAAAGACCCUGAAAGACAAAUGAGAGCUAGAUAGUAUGUCAGAGAAGUAAAGAGAGAAACUGAUGGGUUAUGAGAAUGAGAUAUAAUGAGAUAGAGAGAGAGGCAGUAACUCUACUUAUAUAAAAAAGGAGCAAAGUGUUUCUUGAGACAAGUUAUGGAGAGGGAUCAGAUAAGGGGAGGGAGGGCAGAAGGUAGAGAGGAAUGAGGAGGAGGGAGGGAGACAAGUGCAUGGGAGAAAGAAGUCGGCUAAAGGGUUGAUAUUAAUAAGGUUUGAGAGAGAGAGAGAGAGAGAGAGAGAGAGAGAGAGAGGAAAACGUGAUUGUUUAUCAACCGUCUUUUUCUUAAGAGUUCUAGUCGGAGAGAGAGAGAGAGAGGAAAAUGUGCUUGUUUAUCACCCUACUACGCGGGCCUCUGGUCGGUAAGGGAAAUGUGCUUGUUUAUCACCCUACUACGCGGGCCUCUUGUGUCAGUCCCAGCACGCAAGCCAAUGUUGUCCUUAUUACUUACUUGUUUGUCAUUUGAAAAUAAUACUAGCUAACAUUAAUCACUUAUUUCGUUUAUUAGGAGGAAUUUGAAUACUGAACUGCAUAAAUAAUUACUCUUAAUCACUUGAGUUAUAAUUUCGUUGCUAAGUAAAAUUAGAUUCAAUACAAGACACAUUUAAAUUAAGAAUAAUACUAGUCAUACAACAAUUUCAUAUCACAUGAUGUGGCAGUUAAUGUGUACAUAUCACAUAAUGUAAAAUACUAGUUUAUGUUUUUAUAAUUUUAUUUAUUAAAAUACACUUUAUUCAUUUAAUUGAUGUAGCAUAUGAUAUGAAUAUACCACAUCAUAUAAUAUAAAAAUAUAUGAUAUGAUAUAGAAAUAUAAGAUAAAAAUAUGAUAAGUGUAGCAUUACUCUGGAAUGUGUGGCGACUAUACGGAGAGUGGUGAGGAGAGAAAGUGAGAGGCUCCUUUAUCCUGGUUGUUUGAAAGAUCCAAGAUGGGUAUGUUUGAAAGCUCCUCUAUCUUUGUUGUUUGAAAGCUCCAAGUGUGACAUUGUUGAAUGUUGACCAGUUCCAUGUUUCGGUUUUCGACACGGCACAUGUGGUCUCGUCUCCAGUGGCGGAGCUAGGAUUCUUAGUAUGCAGGGGCCAAAAUUUCAAAAUCACUUCUACUAGAUUUUUCAUCUUCAACUGGGAGGGCCAUCACUAAUCUAAUUGCAGUAAUUGUAUUACUAUAUCAUAUAUUUUAUAAUAUAUUACAAAAGAUUAAUAAUUAAGUGGGGGGGCCAGGGCCAUGGCAGGCCUGGCUGUAGCUCCGCCCCUGCUCGUCUCUGUCAAAUUGAACCGGAUUCCUAGGCUACAAUUUAUCUAAUUAACUACACUACUCAUUCUAAUUCAUUCUUUAAUUAUUACACUUUAGCAUGCUUCUUAUCAAUUUGAACCCCCAUUAUUAAAAAAAAACAAAAAAAAACAAACGAACGAACAGAAAGUGAAAGGUUAAGUAUGCUUUUUACACACGUUUAAAAAUCUUUAUGUAAUUAGCAAAUAUUCAGAAUAUUAUUUAUUUUAAUUAGUUAUUAACCAUACUAGUAAUCAACAAUCAUGUAUAAAUACGUAAUUGUCGACAAUAUAAUAUUCAGUCUCUAUAGCAGAGAAAGACAUCAUAUGCCCAGGAAUGGUUGAAAGAAGUAAAGGAAGAGGAGGCUUCUAAUAAUUGAGUGGUCACUGAAUCCAUUUUGUUUGAUACUGUCAAAGACUUGAAAUAAUUUAUAUAGGGUUUAGGGUGUAUGCCACUUUCAUAUGCUGGUUCCUGCUACCUUCAACGUACUGUGAAAGUCAACGUGAAUGAGAUCGUGCUUGGUAUUUCCUGCGGAUUUCGGUGCAAUUUUGAAGGUGUUUACUAAUCCAGUCGUGUAUAUAGUUGAUGAUGAAGAUGACAAAGAUUCUACCAGUCAUCUGUUAAAGGAUCGUGGUAUAUAAGUCGUAAUACCAUAAAAAAAGUUGAGAUUACAUUCCAAAAUUAAUUGACAAUGAAGGAAGUAUAAGUCCUUACUAAAAUUUUCAACUUUCCAAUAUGAAACAUUUUUUCACAUUCUACCGAAAGAAGCCACACAACCAAAUGCUCAAGCCAUUUAUUUUAAAUUUUAGCUUAACGUGUGGUUGUCCUAACUCAAUCGAAUAAUAUUUAAACUUCUUAUUAAAAAAAUUAAAAAAGGAAGUGCAGGUUAGAGUCUUGAGACUUUGUCUAAAUUUGUUACUUUAAAUUGAAAUGGAAAAAGGUCUCCUGUUCUUAGUUGACCCUUAGUUUAUAUACUCUGUUUGUAGUUUGUCCCUGUACUAUGCGUGUGGAAUUGUGUGGUUGAAGCAGUAUAUCAUUAAAUUUCAAAGCAGUACUGAAUCCUACCAUGACUAGUCUAAUAAAAUUGAAUGACUCCAUGUUUAUGAUUCUUAUUGAACCCUACCAUGAAACCUUUAAACCAAUAAAAAAGUGACAAGUGGUUUUUUCGGAAAUUCUAUCUCUUGGUAUGAAGAGGCCCUUGAUUUUCUGUAACACCCCGACCCCAAAUUUAACCCUUAUUUACUUAUUUAAUUAUUUAAGGGUAUUUUGGUCAUAUUUUUAACCGGAAAGAGUUUGGAGCAGUGACUAGUAUUUUUGGAUAGGUCGUACUGAGAUGAGUUCAUAGACACGUAGUGGGCUCGAAUCGGAGUUGUAACGAGAGAGAUAUGGUCAAAAGAAACCCAGUGGCAAAAUCGUAAAUAUUUUGAAAUGGGAUUUUUUAUAAAAAUCAGAUUUUCUCUCUCUCUCUCUCUCUCCCUGCGCAGAAACAGCCCCCCCUGUUACUGUUCACCGCGGUGGUUUUUGGGCCACCACAGUCGCAUCCGGCCAUCGCUGGGGGUGGCACCGGUCCCAAAAGAACCGUGCCAUCUUCCUCUUCCCAUCCCGGCCAAUCUCAGCCACUGGAACCACCUGUGCUCGCCGGAAAAUGCAAAAAUCCGACCGUUUUUAACCCAAAAUUCAAGGAGCUCGUUCUCCCUCAUUUCUUCUCCAAAUUUGACGAGUAAGGUAUGGAUUUCUACCUAUUUUCCAUGCUCUAGCUGAUGGUUGGGUAGGAUUUCCUUAAUUUUGAGCCUAGGAUAGUCGAUCUUCGAUUUGAAAUUCUGCCGAUUUUGGGAGUUUGUUUUCGGCCACUUCCGGUCCGUUUUUGGGGUAGGUCCAAGAACAAAAGUGGCUCCAAAUAGGGUGUUAUACCUAGGGUAGGAAUUGGGAGCCGUGGUUUUGAGAUUUUCCGGCGAAGCGUUAUCGCUUUGGGCACCCACGCGCUGCCGGCUCGUGCGGCGGCGCGUGGGCACUGUGGAAAAAGUGACACUGUGUCUCGAUGAGAUCCUUAGGUUGUCACGAGUGCGUAGGAUUUCACGGAUCUCAAUUCGGACGUCGUUUGACUAUCGAACUGACGAUCGCAUAUUGUGCGUUAUCCGGGUUCGAUAGGUUGGGACCGUUGGAUGGACCCAAAUUUAAUAUAUGUUAAUCUAGAUAAUUCUAGGAUCGUGUAGGAAUUCACGGAUCGUGAAUCGGAGCCCCGAAUGUUCCGAAUAAUAAUUUUAAAGUUUAUAUUUUAUAUUAACCGUCAGAUCGUGCGAUCGUGAGCGUUCCGACCGUCCGAUCUGAACCAAACUUGCAGGACAAGUGUCCUGUACCUGGUAGAACCCGUAGGGACUUUCGGAUCGGAAAUUGGAGGUCGUGGGUUCCGCACGUCCGUUUGACCAAGGUUAGAGUAGUUUGACCCUUGGUUGACCGUGAGUCUCCCGGAGUAAUCUCACCUUUCCAAGGGAGAUUAUCGGGUGCUAGACUAUUGAGGAGGGUUACACAAUAUUAGAAUUAAUAUAUAUAAUUAUAAUUAUAAUAUGUUUGUACAAGAGUACAAAAGAGUCUAGACUGUCAGUUUGGAGUGCUAUACGCACUACCUUAGGUACCUUCCCGGCUUUUGAAUUCACUACAAGUACCACCAAGUGAAAGUUAGGUCCCACGUGGCGUAGGUUAUCCGGCGUGUGGACAGGCCCCAUACGUGGCGUUGGUUGUACCGGCGUAUGGGGAGAUUUGUAAUAUGAUGUUCAGGUCUCACGUGACGUAGGUUAUCCGGCGUUGAGACAGGCCCCAUACGUGGCGUUGGUUGUACCGGCGUAUGGGGAGAUUAUGUGAUAUUGUGUUGAGGUCGCACGUGGCGUAGGUUAUCCGGCGUGUCGACAGACCCCAUACGUGGCGUUGGUUGUACCGGAGUAUGGGGAGAUUUGUGAUAUGAUGUUGAGGUCCCGCAUGGCGUAGGUUAUCCGGCGUUGGGACAGGCCCCAUACGUGGCGUUGGGACAGGCCCCAUACGUGGCGUUGGUUGUACCGGCGUAUGGGGAGAUAUGUGAUAUGAUGUGCAGGUCUCGCGUGGCGUAGGUUAUCCGGCGUUGAGACAGACCCCAUACGUGGCGUUGGUUGUACCGGCGUAUGGGGAGAUAUUAUGAUAGUAUGGCAUGGUCGCACGUGGCGUAGGUUAUCCGGCGUGUUGACAGGCCCCAUACGUGGCGUUGGUUGUACCGGCGUAUGGGGAAAUUAUAUGAAAUACAAAGAAAUGAAAUCAGGUAUCGCCCAAGUGUGGAAUUGGGUUUUAUGGAAGAACUACGUGUGGCUUGAUCCCUCAAAGAGGGUACGUAGGCAGCCUAAGGUUAUUAGGUGCAGCCGCAGACUAAAUGUUAGUCUUAUAGAGAUUGGUUCGGACCUUGUUGUUGGUCCUGAAAUUGAGGUGAAAUUGUGAUUGUGUUAGGAGGCUAAAACCUUGCAUGUUGAAAUUUAACAGUCCUAGUUUAUAUUUUGAAUUUAUUGUUUACCUUGCUUAAGGCGUGAAUUGAUUGGCUAGCAUGUUUGGUAGUUGGUUGAGAUUUAUUGGAAGGCCGAAUGCCAUUUAUGAGAAUUUGCAUGAAAUUAUAUUGUGCAUGCUGCCAGUUGGGAAUAUUAAAUGCGUUUUAUGCAGGUUGAAAUUUUGGGAAAUGUCCAAUUUAUGGGGGAGACUCUGCCGAAAUUUCGGCAGGAAGUCUCGGUCUUUAGUAAGUGGGCCUGGCAUCGGGAUGAUGUCGGGAAUUCCAAAGGGUUUGCCUCGGGUUUUGAAAAAUUCGGGGCGGGUCCUUUCAUUUUCUUAUUGAUGUUUGAGGAUUGUAACAAGUAGUUUUUUUUCUGGUAUGAUUCUAGGGGGACGGGGUACUCUAAACGCUAAACAUGUAUAGUCCCCUUUUUUGUACUUGUCUCACUUCCUCUAAUGAAUAAAAUCAUAUCGCUUAUCUCUAAAAAAACCAAUAAAAAAGUGAUAAACGAGGAUCUAAUUUAGCACCUUUUAUAAAGAAUUUUUCUCAUCUAAUGUGAAAAAAAAAAAAAAAUCAUUAUUUUUGAAAAUUUAAACUGCUAAAGACAAUAUUAGCGAAUGUGACAAUAAUGUAUAUCAACCAUCCAAGUCUAAAGUUAUUUUGUUAGAUGCUAUUCUAAUUUCAGAUAAAUGUUUUAACAGUUUAAAAAAUAAAUUUGUUAUUCAACUGCUUAAGACAUGAGCCAAAAGCAAAUAUGUAAAAUCCAAGCUACCCCCAAUUAUCACACAUUCAUAUGUUCCAGUGCAAGUUCCUUCAUAUUUCAAUCCAAAUCCCAAACCUCCUCUCAAAAUCCUAUCUGUGCACUCUCUCAGAAUAAUUAAGAAUGCCCAUAGCUAUCCGUGUAUAUAUAUAUAAUUAUAUUCUAUGCGGACAUCCGGACGUUAUUAUCGUGCGGACGUCAUGUAUUUUGUACUACUCCUCUCUGCUUUCAUGCAUAUUUACAAUAGUAUCUGCACGAUAAUAACGUGCAGACAUCCGGAUAAGAGAAUAACUAUAUAUAGAUUAAUAAUGUGUGUCAUAUGUCAAAAAAAUAUUCGCUCAUCGUGACCCUAUAUAUAUACUUAUAUAUCUCAAAGUGACAGAUGCCAUACAAGUCUCACAGCACAAAUGCUGUCAAGCAUUAGUAGUUCGUGGCGGGCUGUGAAAGAGGUCUUUCUUCAAAUGGAUGUCGAAAUCAAGGCCUUGAUGGCCUUUUGCUUUUCUGGAGUUGAUCCUUUACAGGGGAUAAGAACUAAGGAGAUGAGCUGCUGAAUGCUGGUUUUGUUGGUGCAGUUAGUUUGACAGCACCCCAACACCCAAGAAAGAGGACCGGCAAAAUGUUUACUUUGAAAGGAUUCUGCUUAUUCAUAACUAUGCACACAAAGCGAGCUAUGGAGGACAGCCACUGAGAGAAUGCACAAAUUAAUCCAAAAACGUGAGGGAAAAUAUCGCCUGAACUUUCUCCGGGACUCUCAGAUUCGACGAUUUUUUCUAUUUUAAACUUGAGAAUGAGUUCGCAGACGCAAGUGACUAGAGCCACAGAAGCCAACGACAUACCAAUUAGUGCAUACUGGGGCUUUCUUCGGGAGGACAACUGAUCACAAAUAGCUGAAGAUAUCUCCAGGACGAAGCUAAUGAUUAAAAAUAUCCACUGUACUGAAACGGCCUACAAAAAUGAUAUAUAAUUAGCAACACGAUCAACAACAUCUACUGUGCUGAAAAAAAAAAUAAAAAAUCUCCAAGGCAUAUGCAAAGAAGGACGAAAUGAGAAAGCUUUACAUUCUAUAAAAGAAAGUAGAAGAUUUACCAAAAGAAGGCAAAUAUGUUGAAUAUAUAUCUUCUUACCUUUGAUAAGAAGUUUUUAGCAGUUUUGACAAACAAAAAUAAGCUUUUAGUAGUAGUACCCCACCAUGUCUCCGCUGAUAAUAAGGGCACCAUGCCCUAGUAUGAAGAAACAAUUGCAUUAACAUAUAGUAACAUAACAUAAUUAAGAUUUUUCUUGUCAAUUCAAUAAGAUAAUACAUAUGUGCAUAUAAUUUCAUCCUUGCAAACCAUCUAUCUUUUAAGUGUUCAUUCAAAGAUCAUUUCUACAAAAAUUUAGACAAGUUGAAAAUCAUAAGACAUCUAAGUGUGAUUAACAAAAUCACCAACACCGUAUUUAAAGAAAACACUAAAAUGACAACUAUUUAAUUGAAUGGUUAAAUAAUUUCAUAUAUGAGUGCUUGUUUGAACUGAUGAUCUUUGAGCGAAUACCUAACACAAAUGGGUGAGAUCAUUAAAAUACAAUGCGAAGUGUGCCCUACAAAAAUGUUUCUUAUUUGAGAGAUCCAUCAACUGAAACUCUCUGCAUAUAUAUAUAUAUUAUACUCACAUCGUUGACAUCCCCAAUUUGUAGAGCGAUCCUUUCUUUCUUAAUGUCGGAGUCAUAAUUUAGUCCCUAUAAUAUGAAGAAAAAAAAAUUGCAUUAACAAAUUACUAUAAGAAAUAGAAAAGUUAUUCUUACCCAAUUGAAUAAAAUAAUACCUUGAGUGUCUAUAUAUAUAUAUACUAACCGUAGCAUCUUCCAUUAUGGGAUUUGUUCUUUGACCACUUGAUAGAGAAUCGAAUAAUGUAUCAUGUUGUGCAAAAGAGUUUUCUGAGCUUCUACUUUCAUCCAAUCCCUAUAUAGCACGAAAAAAAAUUGCAUUAACAAAUUAAUAUAGAAAAAAAAGGAAUUAUUCUAGUCAAAAUGAACAAGACAAUGUAUAUUACUCACUAUAUCAUUCUCACUGUUUGAAAUUAUCCUCUGAGGACUCCUUUCUACUUCUUGAACACUCGAUAAUGUUUCAUGUCGUCCAAACGAGCUUUCCGUGCUUCCACCUCCAUUCAAUACCUAUUGAUGAAAGUAAAUUGCAUUAACAAAUUAAUAUAAAAUAUGAGAAAGUUUUGCUUCUCAAAUUGACAAAGACAAUACCUAUCUUUAUAUAUAUAUAUAUAUAUAUAUAUAUAUAUAUAUUAUAAUCUCGUUCACCUAAGAACUUAAAAAUAAAGUCUAGUGAGCACCUAUUUAAUAAAUGCUCUUGGAUUAAUCCAAUGACACAUAUAAUUAGUAGUAAACCCUCAUUCAUUCUCCAUAUUUUACCCAAAUAAACCCUAAUCAUUCUAAUAUUAAAAAAACAAAAGGAGAAAAAGAAAAUUAGGGAAUGUGUUGGGGAAGAGAAAGGGGAGAGAGAAAAAAUGUUUUGGUGAUAGAAAUUUACCUUUUCUAGAAAAUAGAGAGAAGAGAGAGUAAAGCAUUUUUAAUUUAAUUUUCAUGUAAGAUUUAAUCUCAUUCAUUAAAAGUAGAGCAAUCUAAUGACUUAAAAAUUGUGUCAAAAUUUGCGUAUAAAAAUAUGAUGUCACGGAUCUGCCCAUAUAUAUAGUGCUGCUAUUUUUCCACUCACCUGUUCUAUUUUCCCAUUCACAAUUAUUCCUAAAACACCCUUAAAUUAUUAAAAUAAACUAAUAAUAAAAUAACAUUUAAAAAAAUAAAAACCCUCUCUCCUCCCUUCCUAACGCACCCCCUCAGCAACACUAGCUGUGCCACACCCACCCCCCUCCCAAACCUCUUCACCCUCGUCCACCAUAUAAGAUGAGUGGGGAAAUAAGAUACGUGUGUGGAAAUAGCAGCACUAUAUAUAUAUAUAUUAUAGUAUGCUUUUAUUGAGACAUUCUUAAAUUUUUUUUGAGGGACACCAUUAGGGUCUUCUACAAUUUUUUUUUUUUCAACGAUCCAAAUCUUCUAUUUUCCAAGUCUUCAUUCAUAGAUCAUCCUUGCAAAAAAUCAAGAAAAUAAUUUUUAUUUUUAUUUUAGGGACACCCUUUAGGGUCUCUUAAGAUUUUUUUUAACGAUCCAAACUGUUUAUUUUUCAAGUCUUCAUUCAUAGAUCAUCCUUGUAAAAAAUUAAGAAAAUUAAAAAUCAUUAAGGCAUCUAAUUGAAACCAACAAAAUAGAACAUGAUGCUUUAAGAAAAGAAGUAUAAUAAUAACCAUCUAAUUGAGUGGUCAAAUGAUUUCGGAUUCAAGUGAUUUUUUUGUAGAGAUGAUCUUUGAGGGCAUAUCUAAAAACUAGACGGUUCAGAUCAUUGAAAUACAAUUUGUGGUGAGCCAUACAAGGGAUCAAAUAAACUUAUUUGAGGAAUCCCUCAACUGAAUAUAGAACAUUGUACUUACUGUAUCAUCCUCUGUUUUUGAAAUUAUCCUUUGAUCCUUUUCUUCUUCUUGAGUAGUGGAUACUGCUUCAUGUUGUCCGGUUGCGUUUUCAUUGCUUCCCGCUUCAUUCAAUACCUAUAGAGGAGAAAAAUAACUGCAUUGGCUAUGAAAAAGUUUUGCUUGUCAAAUUGAACAAGACAAUACAUAUUCUACAGUCUACUCACUGUGUCAUAAGUUUUCGAAAUUAUCCUUGGAUCCCUUUCCACUUCUUGAGUACUGGAUAAUGUCUCAUUUCUUCUGGUCGAGUUUUCUGUGCGUUCAGCUUCAUUCAAUACCUAUAGAUGAAAAAAUAAAUUGCAUUAACAAAUUAACAUAAAAAACGAAAGUAAUUUCCUUGUAAAAUUGAACAGAUAGUACAUAUGUGCAUAUAUAUUAUAUACAUAUUCUACCCACUGUAUCAUAUGUUUUUGAAAUUAUUCUUCGAUCACUUUCUAUUUCUUGAGUACUGGAUGAUGUCUCAUGUCGUCCAAUCGAGUUUUCCAUGCUUUCAAGUUCAUUCAAUAUCUGUUGAUGAAAAAGAAAUUGCAUUAAUUACAAAAUAAAAAAGAAGUUUUCUUGUCUAAUUGAGAAAUACAAUAUAUAUAUAUAUAUAUAUAUAUACACACACACGCAUAUUGUACUCACUGCAACAUUGUCAGUUUCUAGAAUUUUUCUUUGAUGCCUUCCUACUUCCGGAGUAGCAAGCAAACUUUCAGUGCUUUCCGUUUCAUUGUGUCCCUGUAGUAUGGAAAACACUAAUUGAUGAAUAAAUAAGAAUAAGAAAUUAAAAAGAUUUCCCUGUAAAUGUGUGCGUGUGUAUAUAUAUAUAUAUGUAUGUAUGUGUCAUUGCUUACUGUGGUUUCUGUGAGAAAAUAGUUAAUAUUGUCGUGAAAAUCAUUUCCAAGUAUAUCUUUAUCCAUUUCGUUCAGAAAGGAAUACACCCAAGCAUCUUUGUCUUCUUCAAUAUCCUCGAGGCCAUUUUCUUGUUUUAGUGCAUUUUUGGUUAUUUCCAGGACUUCAUGAAUAGUUGAGGCAGAAGCUGUUCUGUAACUGUUUAAUACAGAUUGCCAUUGAGCUAUACUUUUCCCACAUACGAGUAAACCCAUAGCUGUAAGAGCUAAUGGAUUCCCUCGAGCAUAGUCUAAGAAACUAGUUGCGAGUUUCCGGUAAUCAGGAUCAUCCGGCAGCCUACUUCUUGGGAAGGCAUUAGAACUGAAGACCUCCAAAGCUUCACCAAACUCUAAUUUCUUGACCUUGUAUGCUAGGUCUACUCGAUAAUUAACGAGUACAUGCUCAAACCUUGUUGUUAUGAUAAUUCUACUGCCAGAAGCAAACCAAUUAAAUUCUCCGACUAAUUUUUCUAAUUGGUUAUUUUGACUCACAUCAUCAAGCACUACGAGAACCCUCUUUCGGCGCAUCAUGUUCUUCAUCACUCGGAUUCUUCCAACAAUACUGUUCACCCCCAAUCUUACGUCUCCUAGAAUGCUUCUAAGAAGAUUAUGUUGUAGUUGGAGCAGGCCUUCCGAUGUCUUUGAAUUCUCUCUAACAUUUUCCAAAAAGCAGCAAGCUUCAAACUUAUGGGCCACUGAAUUAUAUACAGCUUUAGCAAUUGUUGUCUUACCCAUUCCACCAUCACCCGAUAUACCUACCAUGCGAACAUCAGGGUCUCCAAUGCCUAAAAGAUCGUGCAUAUCUUGUACGCGAGACUCUAUUUCAAUUGGAUAGUUGGCCUCAUAUUUCAAAUAAGUACGGUUUAAUAAUUGUGAAAUAUGUUCAUAGACGCGAUGAAUCAAUUGGGAUACAUGCCUGCCAAACAUAUUCAUAACACGUUAGUCAAAUCAAAGUUUGCCGCAUAUGUUUAAAUAAGGCAAAGAACAUAUAAACCGGCAAAAAAGAGAGUAGAGGAUUUGCUAGAUUAACAAGCCACUUUUACUUUGAGUAAUUAUUGUGUGGUACUGUGAAAACAGUAGCUUGAUAUAACUUUCACGUUAUAACGUCAGUUGAGAUUAAACAGAAAAAGAAGAUAACCCUUGCUCCCAAAAAAAAAAAGCAAGAUAACCCUCAAAUGACUAAAUGUGGUUAGAAAAAUACCCGAAGAGAUGGAACCCAGGCAAAACAACUGCUUCCCUAAGAGCUGCCCUCCAUCUCAAUACCUUCUCUGUAUCAUCAUUGAACUUGCGUUCAUGGUUAAAUAAUGCAUCACCAAAAUUGUCAGUUUGCUUUCUGACAUCUGAGGGGUCCACUUUGUAAAAAAUUGGCAAAACAAUUUGUUGCUGUGUUUUUUUACAUUCAAGGAUCUUAACGAGUUCAUCCAAGCACCACGGUGAAGAUGCAUAGUUCUCAGAGAAUAUAAUGAUAGAAAUCUUUGACUUUUCAAUUUCCUUGAGAAACGUUGGUGAUGUUCCAUCCCCUGUUCUAAGGUCAUCAUCCAUCAAGGUUUUAAUUCCCAUCUGUUGCAAAUUGCUGCACAAGCGGUUUGUAAAACUGUAGUAUGUAUCCGCAGGUCUAGAACUGAGAAAGACAUCAUACUUCCAAGUAUUAGUGGUAGCCUACAGAAGAAAUUGGUGAAAUAUUCAAUUAAAAUUUGAAGAUAUCCAGCAAGAAAUGUGCAAAAGAAUUCAAUCAAUCUAAAUGAAACUUGUACUAUAGCGUAGAUUCAAGUCCUGUAAGUCAUGUUUCCAAAUAAAACCCCAAAAAACUCUUACCGCACUCUCUCCUAGCUUCAAAGAAAAAACUCAAUAGGAGGCAUGAAGAAGAAGCAUCACUUUCCAUUUAGGCCAAAUGCGGUGAUGGUUUUGACAGUAACGCUUCUUCAAUUUGUAGCAGUAGUGUUCAUUUAGGCUCAUGAAAUUUGAGCUAUUUUGAGUUUUGUGGGCCUUAUUUGAGAUUAUGCUUAAACUCAACUAUGCUGACUACUAGUAGUUGGUAAGUCUUGUAAGUCAUGUUUCCAAUCUAUAGAUUUCAGAUUUUGUAAACUUUACGAGGCAAAAAUUGGGAAAAGAAAAGAAAGGAACAAAUGACAUACAAACUUGAAAGAAAUUUAUAAUAGAAUCCCACAAACAAAAGCUUUUCAAAUAACAAUGUACGAAAGUAAUAUAAAAAACUAUGACAUGUCAAAGUUAUGUCAAUGUGGGACUCUUCGUCAGUUUGAUUCUAAUCAGAUAUUAAUGUGUAUAAUGAGGGCCCUCUUUUGUUUGGCUCAAAUUGGUUUAAAGUAUCUGCCCUGCAUAGUGAGUUCAUGUGUUUGAAUUCCCGGCUUUCAAUAUUUUUUGUAUAAAAAUAAAUAAAUAAAUAAACAUGCCAUUCUGUGGAAAAUACAAGAUAGCAAACUAAAAUUAAUCCUAUGUUGUCAACUAAAAUCGAUGAAAAAUAUUGUCAUAUACAUAUUCAAGCCAAUCUAUCUACCAAUCUCAACUCGUUAGGAAGAUAAUAUCCCCAAAAUGAUUUGCAAUAAAUUUAUAAAAAGUUGAAGACUUUUCACCUUUGAGAAACUUGUAGCAUCUGGUUGACGUAUGAUGUCUUCAAUUUCCUCCGUCUCCUAGAAUGAAAAGUUGAUUACUCAACUAAGCAAGGUCUUUAUCAAAUAAAAAUAAAGGUAUUCCAGAUAAAUCUAUUUUAAUGCUGGAAUUAAUAUAUACAUAUAUAUAUAUAUAUAUAUUCGUCCCAUUUUAUGGAGGAAUUCUUCAAAUUAUUUUAUUUGAAAGGUACCUUACUAAUUUUUUAUAAACGAUCCAAACCGUCUAUUUUUUUUGAGUUUUCAUUCAUAAAUCAUCCUUGCAACCCAAAAAAAAAAAAAAAGAAAAAAAAAAAAAAAGACAAAUAGAAAAUCAUGGCAUCUAAUUGAGACUAACAAAAUCAAUGAACACGGUGCUUCAAGAAAGUACUUAAAUUUUAAUAAUUUAAUUGAAUGGUCAAAUGAUAUUAGAUUGAAGUGAUUUUUUUUUGUAGAGAUGAUCUUUGAAUGAGUAUUUACAAUAGACGGUUUGAAAUUUUAGUACUUUCUUGAAGCACAAUGUUCAUUGAUUUUGUAGGACACAAUUCGAUGUCGAAACGGUUUUCGAUUUGUCUAAUUUGUUGUAAGGAUGAUCUAUGAAUGAAGACCUAAAAAAUAGAUGGUUUGGAUCAUUGGAAAGAAAUUGUAGAGUACCCUAAAGGGUGUCCCUCAAUAGAAUAUAUAUAUAUAUAUAACUUACUCUGUUUUCUCUCAAAUAGGUACGGCUUAGUUGUACUGAAACCUCUUCAGCCAUCUUGUGCACAAAUUUAGGUUCAUCCCUGCCAGUUUAAAAGCAAAUGAUGAAACAUUUCAUAAAAUGGAAUUGAGUUGAUCUAAGAAACCUAUUUUGUAUAAAUUGUACUUGAUUGCCCGUUAAGACAGCAUAGUAUCAUGUAUGGGAGAUGAACUUAUGGUAUGAAAAAUAUACACGUAAUAUUUGUUAUGUAAAGCUUUUCUUUUCCUAAAUAAGUGACGAUUGUGGAAAAAUCUCUGAACCUUCAAUGGGCGUUAUGGAAGGCAUUGACCAAUGGCCACACCGCUUAAGAGGGCAAUAUUCUUUAUUUUUUAUUAGUUAAGUUAACUUCCGUUAGAUUUAGGGGUUGUUACUGAAAUAAAUCAAAUCUUUGUUACCUCAUUAGAUUUGCUAGAAAAUAAUGUGGAAACAUCACAAAUGGGCUAGAAAAUAUACCCGCGCAAGAAAGACCACCAACACAAAUUUGCUGCUUUCACAAGAGCUCUCCUCCAUCUCAACACCUUCUCCAUAUCAUCCUUGAAUUUGGUUUCAUGGCUAGCAAAUGCCUCACCAAAACUACCCUCUUGGUUUCUCACAUGGGAGGGCAUCACCUUGUAGAAAAUUGGUACAACAAUUUGUUGCUUUGAUUCUUUACAUUCAAGGAUCUUAACGAGUCCCUCCAAGCACCAUACGGAAGAUGCAUAGUUUUCGGAGAAAACAAUGAUAGAAAUCCUUGAUCGUUCAAUUGCUUGGAGAAAGUCUUGUGAUAUUUCUUCAUCUCCACUUCUAACCUCAUCAUCUAUGUAAGUUAUAAUUUCCUUCUGAAGCAACUCGCUGUACAAAUGCUCAGUAAAACCGUUGCGUGUAUCUUCAGCUCUAAAAUUGAGAAAGACUUCAUAUGUAAGUGGAUGGGUGAAAUAAGAAGAGGAAGAAGAGGCUCCUGAAUUUUUUCUGGUCAAAGAAGAGGCUCCUGAAUGAGAGGUGAUUGACUGCAUAUCCGCUAGCUGGAUAUGUAAAAGAGUUGGGGAGAAUGGUUAAUCUCUCUUGUUAUUAUAUAUAUGUUAGGCAACUUGCUCAAGUAUCGUCAUUUUUUUUUGAAGCAGUUUCCUGUCACCUUCGACGCCGGAAAGUCAAACCAACGCGAUUUGCUAAGAGCAUAAUUUCCUGGCACUUCAAAGGCGGGCAAAAUUUGGGGUUUACCCUGUGAAAGAGUUGAAAAAGACAUAAGACUGGGGGUCGUUUCUCUGUCUCUUUCUUUUUGGCUUGAUUGUUAUGGGUGGCACAAGCCAGUGCGUGUCACCAUUGAAUUGGUUCCUAAAUUCUAACAUAAUAAUUUGAAAUAAUUAGUGAAAUGAUGCCCUGCUCCCCAGUCUCCGAUAAUUUGAAAUAAUUAGUAAGGCAUUAUUCAUCAAGUUUUUUUUCUUCUGUGAUGUUAUCAGUCUACUCAUAUUAUAACGAUGUUCAUUACUACAAAAAACACUUUGCGCGACAAAAUAAGUUUGUUGCACAAAGUACAAUUUUGUCACGCAAAACUCGUGAAUAAAGGAUUUGCGCGACGAACCUUAUGGUCGCACAAAUCUACCUCGUCGCACAAAACUUUGCGCGACGAAAAGUAUUGGUCGCGCAAAGUUUUGCGUGACGAAAAAUAUUGGUCGCGCAAAGACAAAAAAAUUUUAUUAAAAAAAAAAUCCCGCAUCCCAUUUUUGGUACUUGCCCAAAUUUUUAAAGUUUUGCGCGAUCAAUAAUAACGUCACCCAAAUAUUUGCGCGACGAAAUAUUUUUUGUGUUUUAAAAUUUUUUAAUUAAAAUAAACUAAUUUAAUAGUUUGCUCGACGAAAUAUUUUGUCGUGUUAGGCUUUUGAUUUUUUUUAAAAUAUUAAUUUAAUUUAAUUAAUUUAUUCAAAUUUUGACUUUUUAAAUUUAAUUUAAUUGUAUAUUUUUUUAAUUACUUUAAUUUAAAUUGACAUAUUCAAAAUAAACUUACAUAUGAAAAAUGGUGAUUAAAUUAUCCAAUAAAUAAAUAAAUAUAUAAUAUUCAAAAUGUACACAUAAAUUAACAAAGUACAAUAAUAAAAUUCUAAUACAAAUCUAUUGUAGUGGUAGUGGCGGAGGAUAUGUUUUGAUAGCGUCCUAAUCCUCAACUUUAGCCGUCAAAGUCUCGACGGUUCCCUACCCAAAAAAAAAAAACAAAUAUGGUCAAAUAACAAAAAAGAAAAAAAAUUGGCAUAAUCUCCCCUAAAAUUGUUAUACCACAAAUCCAAUCCAAACUCCAAUCCUCACCCUAUACUCAACCUCAAACCCCACACUAACUCAACACUAACUCCAAAAACACAUAUUGAUGGAAAAAAUUUAAAAUUUAGAGAGAAUAUACCUUUUGGCAAGAUUGAGAGUGAGUGAGAAUGAGAGGGAUAAGUGAGUGUGAGAGAAUUAGAGAAGAUAGUGAGAGAGAGAUGAGAGAGUGAGUGAGAGUGAGAGAUAGUAAAAAGAGAGAUGAGAGAGUGAGUGAGAGUGAGAGAUAAUGAGAGAGUGAGUGAGAGUGAGAGAUAGUGAAAAGAGAUAUGAGAGUGAGUGAGAGUGAGAGAUAGUGAAGAGAGAGAUGAGAGAUUAAGUGAGAGGAGUGAGUGUGAGAGAAAGGGUGGGAUUUGGAGAGAGGGAAAGAGAGAGAGAGGAGAAGUAAGAGUAGAGAAAGACAUUGACAAAAUGGUGGAGGAGUUAUUUUGGUUUUAAAAACCGUAUCACUUUGCGCGACGAAAAAUAUAUAUUGGUCGCACAAAGUUUUGCGUGAUGAAAAACAUUGGAUUAUUGGUUGCGCAAAGUUUGCGUGACGAAAAAUACUGGUCGUACAACGUUUUGCCCGACGAAAAGUAUUGGUUGUGCAAAGUCUAAAAAAAAAAUUUAAAUUUUUUUUUCCCACAUCUCAUUUUUGGUACCCGCCAAAAUUUUAAAGUUUUGCACGGCAAAAAAUAUUGGUAGAGCAAAGUCUAAAAAAAAUUAAAAUUUUUUUUUUCCCACGUCUCACUUUUGGCACCCGCCCAAAUUUUUAAAGUUUUGCGCAACGAAAAAUAUUGGUUGCGCAAAGUCUAAAAAAAAUUUUAAAAUAAAAAUUUCCCACUUCUUAUUUUUGGUACCCGCCCCAAAUUUUAAAGUUUUGCGCAACAAAAAAUAUUCGAACAUUGGUCGCGCAAAGUUUUGCGUGACGAAAAAAAUUGUUAUGAAUAAUAAAAAUUAAAAAAUAUUUUAUUUUACAAUUUAAAAUAUAAAUAAGGUUAAAGCUACUUAAUAAAUAUGUAUACUAUUCAAUUUCUUAAGUUUUAUACGUACAAAAUAAAUAAAUUUAAAGCUACUUAAUAAGUAUAUAUAUUAUACACACACACACACACCAUUCAACAAUUCAACCGUCAAACUUGUUUCUAUGUAUUUCAAGAUCGUAUACCCCAAAAAAUCGCAAAAAAACAAACAUUCAAAUAUCUAGUAACGGGACAAAACUUUGCGAUUGUUAUAAAUAAAAAAUCACGAUUUAACGGUUAUUUUAACUCCGAUUUUGAUGAUUUUUUACAGCUACACUUAUUGACCCUAUAUGAAUACAAUGACUAAAUUUGAUCUUCAGUUUAAAAUAUUUACACUAGUAGAUACCACAAAAUCUUAUGUUAUAUUUAACAAAAGUAUAAAUAAACUCUUAAUUGUUAGUGAAUAUAUUAUUUUAAUGGCAUACGCAUUCAACAAAACUAGUUUCAACGAUCCAACCGUCAAACUUGUUUGUUUAUACUUUGAGAUCAUAUACGCCAAAAAUCGAAAAAGAUAAACAUUCAGAGAUCGAGUAAUGGGAUAAAACUUUUGACGGUUAUAAAUGAAAAAUCACGAUUUAACGGUUAUUUUAACUCUGAUUUUGAUGAUUUUUUACAGCUACACUCCUUGACCCUAUAUGAAUACAAUGACUGAAUUUGAUCUUCAAUUUAAAAUAUUUAUACUAAUGGAUACCACAAAAUCUUAUGUUAUAUUUAACGAAAGUAUAAAUAAACUUUUAGUUGUUAGUGAAUAUAUUAUUUUGAUGGCAUACGCAUUCUACGAAACUAGUUUCAACGAUCCAACCGUCAAACUUGUUUCAACGAUCCAACCGUCAAACUUGUUUAAACUUGUUUGUUUAUACUUCGAGAUCAUAUACGCCAAAAAUCGAAAAAAACAAACAUUCGGAGAUCAAGUAACGGGACAUAACUUUUCGACGGUUAUAAAUGAAAAAUCACGAUUUAACGGUUACUUUAACUCCGAUUUUGAUGAUUUUUUACAGCUACACUCCUUGACCCUAUAUGAAUACAAUGACUAAAUUUGAUCUUCAAUUUAAAAUAUUUACACUAGUGGAUACCACAAAAUUUUAUGUUAUAUUUAAUGAAAGUAUAAAUAAACUCUUAAUUGUUAGUGAAUAUAUUGUUUUGAUGGCAUACGCAUUCAACGAAACUAGUUUCAAUGAUCCAACCGUCAAACUUGUUUGUUUAUGCUUUAAGAUCAUAUACGCCAAAAAUUGGAAAAGAGAAAUAUUCAGAGAUCAAGUAAUGAGACAAAACUUUUGACGGUUAUAAAUGAAAAAUCACGAUUUAACGGUUAUUUUAACUCCAAUUUUGAUGAUUUUUUUUUUUACAGCUACACUCCUUGACCCUAUAUGAAUACAAUGAACUAAUUCGAUCAUAAUUUAAAAUAUAUAUUUUCUAACAAAAACCCAAUCUGAACUACAAUUUUUCUAACAAAAAUCCGAUCCGAACUAAAAUAAUAAAUUUAAAGCUACUUAAUAAAUAUAUAUAUAUACCGUUUAAGUGUUACGCAUACAAAAUAAAAAAUAAAAAAAAUGGUUUAGGCUAUGAAAUGUUUGGAUUACGUCAUGCAAAGAUUUAAAUUUUUAAAGUUUUUUUUUUUUUUUUUUGGUAAAGACUUUGCGCGACGAAACACACUUUGUACCUAAAGACUUUGUGCAACGACGUCUCGCAAAGUCAUUUUGCACUACAAAAAACAAUUCAUCGCGCAAAGUUUGGUCGCGCAAAACUUUGAGAGACGAAGUAUUGUCGUCGCGCAAAAGUUUGUUGCGCAAAGUCACUUUGUGAGAUGAAUUGUUUUUCAUCGUGCAAAAUUUGGUCGCGCAAGGGUGUUUUUUUACUAGUGGUUAUAGAUAAUUUUGGGUCACCACUGCCAGUAUAAAAGUAUUUCAAACAUGAAAGGAAAUGGAAUGCAACUGAGACAUAUAUGUUUGAAAGAAGCAAACAUAAAAAAAAAUAUAUAUAUAUAUAUAUAUAUAUAAAAUCAUUACAUCCUUUCAAACUAGUAUAUUAAGUUUUUUCGCACAAAAAAAUAAAUAUUCACCCUCACCCUGUUAGGGUUCUUACUGUGGUUGGGCAAAUUGGAAUGUAUUAUUAGCACCACAAUUUCAAGAAGGCAGAGGGGAGUAAACAUCCUCUCCUGAUUAAAUGGAAGCCGCCCCCUUGUGGUUGGUUCAAGUUAAACUUUGACAGUUCUGUUUGUAAUAAUAUAGAUGCUACGGGUUUUGUUAUUCGAGAUUUCGAUGGUCAUGUUUUAUAUAGGCUUGUGCUAAGAACAUUGGAGAUAAUUUCAUUAAUGUGGCUGAAAGUAUAGAUCAAUGGCCCAAGCUGCAAAGCGCAUCCUGGACCACGCCAGUGACGACACUUGCCCGCGACGCGUCAUCGGCUCGCUCCAAGUCGCGGCGCCUACCUGGCUCCAACACAGCGAGUUAAAAAAAUAAAGAAAAAAGUAGAAGAAGGUGCAGCGGAAAUAGCUGCCAGCAGCCACCGCCACCGCCACCGGCAACCGCAGCAACAGCCACCGCCAGAAGCUGUAGCGAUAGCAGCCGUUGUCAAACGCUGCUGCUCGUGAAUGGGAGAGCGUUGUGCAAAGACAGAAUUUCAAGUUCGGUGCUGCUGAUGGUCCUGAUAGUGCUCUAUGGUGCUUCAGAGCUCAGGGAUUUAUUUGGUUUGCUAUUCAUCGUUAAUUAGGUGGAGUAUAAUAUGAGGUUUCUAAUGGCAUAUUACUUAUAAGCAUAGUAUUGACUUACAUAUGUAUACAUGUGUGUGUUUAUAUAUAUAAUUAAGGCAUAAUACGUAUUGGCUUUGCUUUGCUUCUAAUAACUAUGAAUAAACUACACAUAUAUGCGUGUGAAAGGUUUUUCAUGUGGUUGUUGCAAAACAGAUUCGUCUAGGGUUAACAAUUUUAGAAUGAUUCCAACCCAACCAGAAAUGAAUAGAUUACUUGACUCAAACUUAACUGAAAGUUUAACUAGUAUUACACGAAGAUAAUGAUUUUCUUUCAAUUUUUAAAUGUGCAUUACAUAAUAUUUUUAUUAGAGUUUUUCUAUUUAAACCCCACACUUCUCUUUGUUCAUCCCAACUUCUAAUUCAAAUUUUCACAAUUUCUAAGAAAACCCCAUUAUCUUCCCAAACUACCCAUAAAUAAAUACCCAACGCAAAAAAUAAAAUAAAAACACUCAUCAACCUCACACCCCACACCCUGCUAUCUUGCCUCUCUCUCACCACUCUAAGUUCACCUCAACCUCACAUUAAAAAGAUAAAAACACUAUUGUCAAAUGUUUAGCAGUAUUAUUUUAUUAAUUAUUAUUAAGUUGGAUGACAUCUAUGAGAGCACCGCCAACAAAUACAUCCCAGCAAAUUUGUAGCUAGGUCAAGUGCUUAGAAGCAGUUACCCUACACUUAAGGUCCUAUAUUCGAAUCUCUCCUUCCUCAAUAUCGCUUGUUGAAAAAAAAAAAAGACAAAAAGCAAAUUAUUAUUAUUAUUUUUUUUUGGGGUGAGUUUAAAACCAUGUUAACCAGUAAUCACAAUGUUGUCAGCCAAUAAUACAGAUUAAAGUAUAACUUGAGUGCAAACUACAAUCAGCCAUCCCUUUGUCAUUUACCGGUAUUAUAAAAGAAGAGAAACACACACUAUUUGAAUAGAGCAUCCUCUCCUUUGGUAUGAGAGAAACUUUGCACUGCAAGACAUUGCCAAAAGAAGAUUACAAAGACACACAGGCCCUCAACUUCUCCACCUUUGCGUGCCCUGUUCUUUAGUUCCAACAAGGCCCAUGCCUUCCAACCCAAAACCUCCAAACCAAAAGGCGGGCAUUAGUCAACCCCUUACAACUACGCGAUUCAGUGGCUGAUCAUAAUGUGGUCUCUUACAAUGCAAUGAUUGAAGGUUACUAAAGACAGGAUAAGAUGUCUGAAGCGUUGGAUCUUUUCAAUGAGAUGAGGCGGAGCCCCGAGCACCCACUCCCUCUUGCGUAUGAAGACCCAUGGGAAGCACUCCAAUGGGCUGCGGCCCAUUCGAAUUGUAAUGGACCAUAAACCUGGCUCAACGAUCAUGUUGACUUUGACCGUGUUUUCGUGGCAGGGACAGCGCUGAGGCCAACCUCAUGCACCACGUGGUGCAUCGGGCCUGAGUCCAUGGGUAAAGAUAGUUGGGAUGAUUUUGUUUCACCCGUAGUUUGGGAACGAAAAGCCCAAUAAGCUGCUCAAGGUUAUUUUUCCAGUGUGUAGUGGGCUGAACGACCUGAGAGUGAACCCGGGCAAGGAUCUGAAAUUGGAGGACAUUGGGUGUGGGAAGGUGUUGGUUUUUGUGGCUGAGAAGGACGUUUUGAGGGACAGGGCUUGGGCUUACUAUGAGGCAUUGAAAAUAGUGUGUGGGUGGAGUGAGGUGGUUGAGAUUGUGGAGAGUGAAGGGCAGUGAAAGUUUUCCUCUGGGACUCCAUUAAAGAGCUCAAUCAAGCUUAGCAAUCACAGAAGAUAGAAGAGAGAGUUCGAGAGAGAGAUUUGAUACUGAAGGAAUGUUUUUCCUUAUUUCUCAAAGGAACAGUACCAGCUUAUAUAUCCAUACAUGUAGAUCAGUUUAGCUUAAUUAACACUAACCAGCUGAUUAACUUAACAGAUUGCUAACUAACCAGUAAUCGUAACUAACAUGCCAGCUCACAAUAUACAACUAACAGUACAUGGGCAAAAGAGCUUUAAUCAGGUGGUCUGAGGUGUAGGCUAACAUCCCCCCGCAAGCUAAUGCUAGGAGAACUAAGCAUUAGGUUGUCACGAAGAUAAGAGAAUUGAGAAGUGUGUAAGCCCUUAGUAAAGAUAUCCGCAAGUUGAUUGCUGCUUGGAAUAUGAGAAACCACCAUAUCACCACGAGUGACGCGUUCACGAAUAAAGUGAAAGUCAAUUUAAAUGUGCUUCGUGCGUGCAUGAAAGACAGGGUUACUAGCAAGAGCAAGAGCUGAAAUGUUAUCACACCAAAGAAUAGGGGGUCGAUCAAGAAACAAAUGGAGAUCACAGAGAAGUUGUCGAAGCCAUGACAUCUCAGCUGCAGUGAUUGCAAGAGCUCGAUAUUCUGCUUCUGUCGAAGAACGAGAGACGGUACUUUGUUUCUUGGCACACCAAGAGAUGGGAUUAUUGCCCAGAAAAACAACAUAUCCAGUCGUGGAGCGCCUAUCAUUCACAUCACCAGCCCAGUCAGCAUCAGAAUAGGCCUGAAGAUGAACAUCCCUAGAAGUGAAAUGAAUCCCAUGAGUGAGGGUACCAGCAAGAUAACGUAGAACACGUUUCACAGCAGCAAAAUGAGGCUCAAUAGGAGUGUGCAUAAACUGGCAGAGAGUGUUUACUGCAAAAGAAAUAUAAGGUCUGCUAAAAGUGAGAUAUUGAAGCCCUCCCACCAGACUCCGAUAAAGCGUAGGAUCUGAGAGAGGAACACCAUCAAACUUGAGUAAUUUUGUAGUAGGUAAGCAAGGAGUAGGACAGGGCUUGCAGUGUGUCAUGCCAGCUUUAGCUAGAAGAUCAGUAGCAUAUUUAGAUUGAUUCACAUGAAUACCAGCAGAAGUAUAUUGCACCUGAAGGCCCAAAAAAUAGGUUAAUUUCCCAAGGUCUUUCAUAUCAAACUCAUGACCAAGAGCUGUAAUAGUUUGCUGAAUCAGAAGCAAAUUGUUCCCAGUCAAGAGAAUAUCAUCUACGUAUAAAGGAAGGAUGAGAAGAUCACUGCCAGAUGCUCGAACAAACAAGGAUGUAUCUGCUAAGGACUGAACAAACCCCAGUGUGAGAAGAUGAGUGGUGAAUCUUUCAUUCCAAGCCCGUGGAGCCUGUUUGAGGCCAUAUAAAGAUUUCAACAAGCGACAAACAUGGUAUGGCUGUUUGGAAUCAGUAAAACCAGGUGGCUGUUGCAUGUAAACUUCUUCAUGAAGAAGGCCAUGAAGAAAAGCAUUCUUAACAUCCAGUUGCUUAAUAGUCCAAUGAAAUUGGGCAGCUAAAGCAAGUACCAAGCGAACAGUAGAAUGCUUGACAACAGGGCUGAAUGUUUCAUCAUAGUCUAAACCAGCCUCCUGAUGAAAUCCCUUAGCAACAAGUCGAGCCUUGUGGCGAGAAACGGAUCCAUCAGCAUUCUUUUUCAACUUAAAUACCCAUUUACAGCCAAUGACAUUCAUAGAAGGUUGAUAAGGAACUAGAGUCCAAGUCUUCUGUUUCUCAAGAGCCUGAAACUCUUCAACCAUGGCCUGAGUCCAUUCAGGAGUCUUUGCUGCCAGAGAAUAAGUAUGAGGCUCUAUCAAAUAAGAAGGAGCACAUGAUGUCUUGGCAGCUAAGAAACCCUUACGAGGUUUAAGUAUACCAGACUUGGAACGAGUCUGCAUAGGGUGAACAUUAGUAGAUGGCCCAGAGAGAUCAACACCAAGAUCCACUAAAGAUGAUGGUGAUGCAGUAGAUGAAGAUGUUGGAGACUGUGAAGAGUGUGCUUCAAUAGAACCAGAAGAUUGAGAAGAUUGGGCACCCUGAAGCUGAUCCUGUACAUGCUCAAUAGAACCAUUAGUAACAACUAUAAGAGAAGAGCCAAUAGCUUCCCUGGUAUGUGGUACUGGACUGUGUAGAGAAACAGAAAAAGCAGGGGACACUUGUGAGUCAUCAAGUCGAGACGGAGACUGAGAUACUACAGGUCUAGAUGAAAGAACAGACCGAGAUGAAGGUAAAGCAGUUGGUGGAGGAUGAAAAGAAGUGGUUCUGAAAGGAAAAGAAUCCUCAUCAAAAAUAACAUGUCUAGAUAUAUAAAUGCGAUCAGUAUGAGGUUGAAGACAUAGAUACCCCUUGUAAUCUAAAGCAUACCCCAAAAACACACACUGUUCAGACCUAGGUUGCACCUUAAAUUGGUUGUAAUGAUGUAAAAGAGGAUAACAGGCACACCCAAAGACCUUCAAGGGUGUAAGAUUUGGUUCCCUAUGAAAAAGCUUAGAGAAUGAAGAUUCCAUAUUGAGAGCUCUGCAAGGCAUUCUAUUAAUCAGAUAGUUGGAGGUAGCUAAAGCAUGAAACAAAUACUUAGAAGGAAGAGCAGCAGUAGUUAAGAGAGUAAUGGCAGUCUCCACUAAAUGUCGAUGCUUUCUCUCUGCCCUACCAUUUUGUUCAGGGGUAUAUGGACAUGAUUUGUGGUGGACAAUACCCUUGGAACUAAGAUAGGUCUGGAACUCCAUGGUCACAUAUUCACCCCCACCAUCACUCUGAAAAUUCUUAAUAGUUGCAGCAAAUUGAGUCUCAACAUAAGAAACAAAAUGAACAAAAGAAGAGAAGCAAUCUGACUUCUUUAUUAAUGGAAACAACCAACAAAAUUUGGUACACUCAUCAAGAAAUAUGACAUAGUAUUUAUGACCAUGAAGAGAUGGAUAAGGAGUAGGACCCCAAACAUCGGAGUGUAUCACCUCAAAAGGAAUUUGAGAUACAAUAUGAGUAGAAGAAAAAGGUUGUUUACACAUCUUGCCUUGCAAGCAGUAACUACAAACGUGAGAAGAAGUUGAGGAUAUAGGUAUAUGAAUCUUAGCUAACAUAGAGCUAGUUAUUUCAUUCGAUGGAUGUCCUAAUCGAUAAUGCCAAAGGGUAUGACUAACUUUCUGGCCGUGAAAAGCAGCCAUAGGUGGUAAGGUAGGAAGAGUCCUUGUGGGGAGAGGAUAAAGGCCAUUAAGACACUUUCCGUGAUACAGAAGUCUCCCCUUCAAAUCCUGUAUUUGGAACCAAAAGGCAUUAUAGAGAAGUUGGCAAUUAUUGUCAAGACAAAAACGAUGCACAGAUAAGAGAUUAGUAGCAAGAUGUGGAACAUGUAAAACCUCAGGCAAAGUAAAGACUUGAUGACCAGACACAAAGGAAGAACUACCAAUAUGAGCUAUGUCCAGUCCAGUACCAUUACCUAUGGUGACAUUAUCCUUGGUGGUUGACGGUGUAACAUUAGAAAGAAGUUGCAGAUCAGAUGUCAUGUGAUUGGUUGCCCCACUAUCUGUCAACCAAAUAUUAGGAUCAGUGAAUUGACCAGUAGAAGUUGUUGUAAGUGUAGUAAGAGCUGGUGAAGGAGGCGAGCCUUGAUAGGAAUAAUUGUGGCGAUGUGGAUAAUUUGGAGCAGUAUGCCCAAAUUGUAAGCACAGUUGACAAGUCUCAUGACAUGGUAAAGAAGAAACAGAGCUAGGUGGAGCGGUGGGUGAAGGAGAUAAGAUACCAGGACUAGGAUUUGGUGGAACAAAGUACUGAGUCGAAUUGGUACCAGAACCAUGACUCCAUGAACUAUUACCAUUAGGCCACUGACCACCAUUGUUCAUUGGACCAGAAUGACCAUUGUUCCACUGGCCAGAACUAUUGUUCCACUGACCACCAUUGUUCCACUGACCAGAAUUAGGUGGACCAUUCCAAGAACCAUUAUUACCACCAGCAUGCCAAGAACCUCCUCGACCACCAGUAUUCCAAGUGCGGCCACGGGACCAAGAACCACGACCACGAUGAUUCGGCCGACGAUUCCAGUGAGAUUGCCAAUUAGGAGAGCCAUUAACACCUUGCUAAUUAGGAUGACCACCUCCACGAUCUGUGGAAUAAGAAGCCGAGUUAUCACCGUGAGCAACAUGAGGUGAUGAUGGAGAAUUUCCCUUCUGAGCAACCAUUGCAGUCAUGAUUGAGGGAGGAAAUGACUUAGAAGCUGCAUCUAAAUCGCUUUCUUCUUCAAGAAGAAGAUCACGCAACUCUACUAGAGUAACACGCACUGGUCUGGCACGAAUAUGUGAUUUGAAAUGAUUAUACUCUACUGGAAGACCUUUGAGAAUAAUCAAAAUCAUAUCAGAAUCAGAUAUAGGAUGACCAGCUGCUGACAAUUGUUGACGAGCCGCACGAAUUUUCUUCCAGUAAACAUCAACAGAAUCAGGACCUUUCUGCAUUCCAUGUAGAGUGUUCUUAAGGUGCAUGACUUUGAGCUCAGAGAUCGAAGAGUAACAAUUUUUCAAUGUGCUCCAUGCCUCUGCAGCAGAUCGACAAUUGAUCAUUUCAGAAAAUGCAUCAUCAGACAAACUUGCAGCAAUCAAAUUCAAGACCGCAGUGUCCAUUGCUUCCCAUUCAAAAGAACUCUCCUCGUCAGACUCAACCGGAGCAAUAGCCGUACCAUCAAGAGCAUGGUAUCAAGAGCCAUGUGUUCCGGAGGAAGUCCCAGAGGAAAACUUUCAUGGUAUCAGAGCAUCCUCUCUGAUUAUCAUUGAUUGAUUUUCUUUUCUCUUUCUCUUUUCUUCCGCUGCUCAGUUCUUCGAUCCUUACUCUGCUUCGUUUCUCUCUGCGAUUUUCUAGUUUUCUUCUCGACUUCGAUCUGGUCUCUUCGCUUCGAUUUCGUCUUUGUUUCUUGCAAUUGCUUCCUCUGUACCUGCUUUCUCAAGUUCCAUUUCAAUUUCUGUGAACCCUAACUUUUGGGGACAAUGGUGAAAAGUUCUGUAACUCCGGUUGACUUACUUCGCAAUGCCUGCAAUUACAUCACGUUGAAACUUGAUGAGACUAAUUAUGUUCAAUGGAGUUAUCAGGUUGAGAAAUUUCUCAAGGUCCAUCGUCUCUCUGAUUUUCUUGAUGGUACGGCUAUUGCUCUGGUUGAGUCUGACGAGGAGAGUUCUUUUGAAUGGGAAGCAAUGGACACUGCGGUCUUGAAUUUGAUUGCUGCAAGUUUGUCUGAUGAUGCAUUUUCUGAAAUGAUCAAUUGUCGAUCUGCUGCAGAGGCAUGGAGCACAUUGAAAAAUUGUUACUCUUCGAUCUCUGAGCUCAAAGUCAUGCACCUUAAGAACACUCUACAUGGAAUGCAGAAAGGUCCUGAUUCUGUUGAUGUUUACUGGAAGAAAAUUCGUGCGGCUCGUCAACAAUUGUCAGCAGCUGGUCAUCCUAUAUCUGAUUCUGAUAUGAUUUUGAUUAUUCUCAAAGGUCUUCCAGUAGAGUAUAAUCAUUUCAAAUCACAUAUUCGUGCCAGACCAGUGCGUGUUACUCUAGUAGAGUUGCGUGAUCUUCUUCUUGAAGAAGAAAGCGAUUUAGAUGCAGCUUCUAAGUCAUUUCCUCCCUCAAUCAUGACUGCAAUGGUUGCUCAGAAGGGAAAUUCUCCAUCAUCACCUCAUGUUGCUCACGGUGAUAACUCGGCUUCUUAUUCCACAGAUCGUGGAGGUGGUCAUCCUAAUUGGCAAGGUGUUAAUGGCUCUCCUAAUUGGCAAUCUCACUGGAAUCGUCGGCCGAAUCAUCGUGGUCGUGGUUCUUGGUCCCGUGGCCGCACUUGGAAUACUGGUGGUCGAGGAGGUUCUUGGCAUGCUGGUGGUAAUAAUGGUUCUUGGAAUGGUCCACCUAAUUCUGGUCAGUGGAACAAUGGUGGUCAGUGGAACAAUAGUUCUGGCCAGUGGAACAAUGGUCAUUCUGGUCCAAUGAACAAUGGUGGUCAGUGGCCUAAUGGUAAUAGUUCAUAGAGUCAUGGUUCUGGUACCAAUUCGACUCAGUACUUUGUUCCACCAAAUCCAAGUCCUGGUAUCUUAUCUCCUUCACCCACCGCUCCACCUAGCUCUGUUUCUUCUUUACCAUGUCAUGAGACUUGUCAACUGUGCUUACAAUUUAGGCAUACUGCUCCAAAUUGUCCACAUUGCCACAAUUAUUCCUAUCAAGGCUCGCCUCCUUCACCAGCUCUUACUGCACUUACAACCACUUCUACAGGUCAAUUCACUGAUCCUAAUAUUUGGUUGACAGAUAGUGGGGCAACCAAUCACAUGACAUCUGAUCUGCAACUUCUUUCUAAUGUUACACCGUCAACCACCAAGGAUAAUGUCACCAUAGGUAAUGGUACUGGACUGGACAUAGCUCAUAUUGGUAGUUCUUCCUUUGUGUCUGGUCAUCAAGUCUUUACUUUGCCUGAGGUUUUACAUGUUCCACAUCUUGCUACUAAUCUCUUAUCUGUGCAUCGUUUUUGUCUUGACAAUAAUUGCCAACUUCUCUAUAAUGCCUUUUGGUUCCAAAUACAGGAUUUGAAGGGGAGACUUCUGUAUCACGGAAAGUGUCUUAAUGGCCUUUAUCCUCUCCCCACAAGGACUCUUCCUACCUUACCACCUAUGGCUGCUUUUCACGGCCAGAAAGUUAGUCAUACCCUUUGGCAUUAUCGAUUAGGACAUCCAUCGAAUGAAAUAACUAGCUCUAUGUUAGCUAAGAUUCAUAUACCUAUAUCCUCAACUUCUUCUCACGUUUGUAGUUACUGCUUGCAAGGCAAGAUGUGUAAACAACCUUUUUCUUCUACUCAUAUUGUAUCUCAAAUUCCUUUUGAGGUGAUACACUCCGAUGUUUGGGGUCCUACUCCUUAUCCAUCUCUUCAUGGUCAUAAAUACUAUGUCAUAUUUCUUGAUGAGUGUACCAAAUUUUGUUGGUUGUUUCCAUUAAUAAAGAAGUCAGAUUGCUUCUCUUCUUUUGUUCAUUUUGUUUCUUAUGUUGAGACUCAAUUUGCUGCAACUAUUAAGAAUUUUCAGAGUGAUGGUGGGGGUGAAUAUGUGACCAAGGAGUUCCAGACCUAUCUUAGUUCCAAGGGUAUUGUCCACCACAAAUCAUGUCCAUAUACCCCUGAACAAAAUGGUAGGGCAGAGAGAAAGCAUCGACAUUUAGUGGAGACUGCCAUUACUCUCUUAACUACUGCUGCUCUUCCUUCUAAGUAUUUGUUUCAUGCUUUAGCUACCUCCAACUAUCUGAUUAAUAGAAUGCCUUGCAGAGCUCUCAAUAUGGAAUCUUCAUUCUCUAAGCUUUUUCAUAGGGAACCAAAUCUUACACCCUUGAAGGUCUUUGGGUGUGCCUGUUAUCCUCUUUUACAUCAUUACAACCAAUUUAAGGUGCAACCUAGGUCUGAACAGUGUGUGUUUUUGGGGUAUGCUUUAGAUUACAAGGGGUAUCUAUGUCUUCAACCUCAUACUGAUCGCAUUUAUAUAUCUAGACAUGUUAUUUUUGAUGAGGAUUCUUUUCCUUUCAGAACCACUUCUUUUCAUCCUCCACCAACUGCUUUACCUUCAUCUCGGUCUGUUCUUUCAUCUAGACCUGUAGUAUCUCUGUCUCCGUCUCGACUUGAUGACUCACAAGUGUCCCCUGCUUUUUCUGUUUCUCUACACAGUCCAGUACCACAUACCAGGGAAGCUAUUGGCUAAUGGACCAUGUGUUCCAUUUGUUCAACCCAAGUUGUGACAAGGCUGUGGAGAUGGUCAAAAAGGUGGUUUCUUUCGUAAAUCAGGACUAGGUUGGGCUUAGGCUUGGGUGUGUUUUGAAAUUUCAAUUUCAUCUUAAGAUUUGUCAUUGUAAUAGAAUAUGAGCAUAUUUGCAGAGCUGAAUUAGUAGCGCCUUGAGUUUUAUUUGCUGGGAAAACAUCAAUUUCACAAUUUUGAGUCGUAUAUAUUUUAUUUUUUUGGCUAAACUGCAUGCAUGUCAAAAUUUUGCUGGGCAUGACAAACACAAUCUUCUAAGCUGCAAAGUUACAAAGACAUUACAAGUUCGUAGUCUAGCUCAAGAGCCAACAGCAAUGGAUUCCAAUUCCUUCUCACUGGUCUCCUCUCUUGUUCUGCCCCUUGCAUUCCGAAUUAAUUUUGAAACAACCAAACACAGAAGAAAAAGGACAGGCAAAAUGUUUACUUUGAAAGGAUUGUCCUUAUGCCGAAGCACGCACACAAACUGAACCAUGGAGUACGCCCACUGAGUGAUUGCAUAAAUUAAUCCACAAAUCUCAGGGAAAGUACCAAAAAGGGUGCCUGAACAUGGACAAUAAAACCACCACAGCAAUAUUCCGCACUUGCCAAAUUGAACAUUUCCUCUUCUGCCUUUGUGAAUGAAUUCCCAAAUGCAAGUGGCUAGAGCCAUAAUAGCCAGCCCCAUACCAAAGAGUGCAUAGAGGGGCUUUCUUGGGGAGGAAAGUUGAUCACAUAUAGCUGAAAAGAUCUCUAGCAUCAGGCUAACGAUUAAAAACAUCCACUCCGCUGAAAAUACCUACAAAAGAAAUUAGUAGUUCAAUUAAAGUUUAAGAGAUAUAUCUUGCAAGAAAAAAUUUUAAGCAACUGAUCGAGAGGUGCUUAGAAAGUUGUAGAGUUUGCACCUUACUUAAGAAGCUUUUAGCACUAGACCAUAUCCCAUCUGGUUGCUCAGGCAAACUUUCUUGGUGUUGAAUUCCAAUUGUUCCCUGGUAUGAAAAAGCUAGCAACUAAGCUAUUAACAAAUUCAAGUUCCUUAUCAAAUAAAAUGAUAGUGCUUUCAGGUAACUGCAAGGCAAACUCAUUUGUUUCUUGGCAACAUAUAUGCAUUUGUAUAUAUAUUCUACUUACAAUGUAAACAUCCUCACGAACAUCCUGUCGAGCAGUUUCUAUAUGCAUUUCUUCUUGCAAGUCAUGCAUUUGAACAUGUUCUUCUUCAUUCGGAUCAAUCCUCACGAGGGCAGUUUCCAUGGAUAUUUCCGGAUGUUCUAGAGCAUUUUUGGUUAUUUUGAGGAUUUCAUCAGUAUCCAGGGAAGGAGCUCUUCUGUAACAAUCCAAUGCAGCUCGCCACUCAUCUACACUUCUACCACAUAGAAGCGAACCAGUAACCGUGAGAGCUAAUGGGAUCCCCUUAGCAUAAUCUACUAGACUUACUGCAAGGUUCUUAUAAUCAUCUGGAAGUCCUUUUUCCGGGAAGGCGUUAUAGCUGAAGAGUUCAGAAGCUUCAUAAGUAUCUAGUUCCUUGACCUCAUACACUAAGUCAACUUGAUGAGACGUUAGCAAAUGCUUAUGUCUUGUUGUUAUGAUAAUUCUACUACCCAAACCAAGCCAAUCAGACCUUCCAGCUAAUUUGUUUAAUUGGUCCAAUUGAUCCACAUCAUCAAGCAUCAAGAGAACCCUUUUAUGACUCAACCUUUGCUUUAUUACAUUGAUACCUUUAUCAACGCUUGUCAACUCCAAUUCUUUUCCCCCUAGAAUCUCAUAAAGAAGAGUCUUCUGUAGUUGGAGCAGGCCUCUAGGUGCCGCUGAGUUUUCUCUAACAUUUUCCAGAAAACAACUACCUUCAAACUGAUGGACAAUUGAGUUAUAAACUGCUUUGGCAAUUGUUGUCUUACCUAUUCCCCUAAUCCCCCAUAUACCUACCAUGCGAACAUCAUUUACCCCAGCACCUAAAAGCUCACCCAUAUCUUGCAAACGAGACUCUAUACCAACUGGGUACUUUGCCACAUGCAAAUAUGUACGAUUUAAUACUUGCAAUGAAAUCUCUUCAACGAUGUCAUUGAUAAAUUUGGACUCGCUCCUGUCAGAAUAAAAUAUUUUAAAAAACAUGAAAAGAAAUGGAAUUUAAUUGAUAUGUAUAUUUAAAAGAGCCGAACAACAUGCAAUAUAUCUAUUAAUGUAGUAGUUUGAAGUAAGUGCUCCUCCAUGCAAGGUCCUGGUUUCGAGUUCUAGCGUCUAUAUAGUGUGUGUGAGUUUAGAAUAUUAUCCAAGGGUGGAAUCAGGAAUUUUUCAAUAGGUAAGCUAGCUAAAGUUAUUAGCUUAAAAUCUAAUGACAAUUUUUUUUUUUUGGCACUAACAAUUUCUAUAGUUUUUAUAUAAAUAAAAGUAUACAUUAAAUCAUAUAAAUCACGCUAGUUAUAAACACAAGAAAAAAAAAAGGAAUUAGAGCCAUAUUAUUCACGAAAUGGUGAAUUUUAUUUAGAAAAAUCCUUCUCUUUUGGAGAUACAUUAAUGGAAAAGGAUUAAAAUUGAUGUUUGGGACAAACUUUGAGACCAAAUACAAAUGUAGAUCUUUGACUAGCCCUAUUGGUGUGGUAGGAUAUGCAAUUAUAUAUGUAUUUUAUUUAUUUAUAGUUCAAAAUAUUAGGCUAUAUAUGUUUAAUUUUUUUUUCCCCCAAAACCUUCCCCAGGCUACAGCCCCUAAGCUAGUUCUGCCCCUUAUAUUAUCACCUCUCUCAACAGAAAAUGUCCUAAAAAAAAGUCAAACAACACAUAAACACACACAAAAAAGGCAAACAAUACAAUACGCAUUAAUUUUGAAGUUUGCUUUUUCUUACGGAAGUAUAGGUUAACCAUAUUAUUUUCUUUUUAUCAAAGAGAAACUUUAUUAGAUAAAUACAAUCAAAGACAUCAACAUGAUAUAAAAUUAAGGCUUAAUAGGGUUCAUAUAAGUUUGGUAUCCUAAAUUUGUACCCUUAAUGCAUGUCUAUCCCGCAUUCUCAAUUUUAACACUCACGUACGUACCUUUAGUUUGUAAAAUUUUUACAAUGUACCUCUGAAAUUAGCAUUAAUUGCUGUCAAAAUUGCCAUUAAAUGAUGAUGUGGCAUAUUUGGGACUCACUUUUUUUUUUUAUAAAAUGAUGUGGCAUUUAAUAUUAAUAAUAAAUAUUAAUAUCAAGUAUUUAAAAAGUUAAAAAUUAAAAAAAAAAAGAUAACCGGCCUCAAAUAUAGCUAUAGUAAUUAGGUGGUUAGAAAUAUACCCAUCCUUCAAAGUCCACCCGUGCAAAUUUGCUGCUUCCGUAAGAACUGCCCUCCAUCUCAUCACCUUCUCCAUGUCAUUAAUGAAUAUGCGUUCAUGGUCGACAAAUGCUUCACCAAAAGUGCCCAAUUGCUUUCUCACAUGCGAGGGUUUCACUUUGUAAAAAAUUGGCAUAACCAUCUGUUGUUUUGAACUUUUACAAUCAAGGAUCUUGACGAGUUCAUCCAAGCACCAGGACGAGGAUCCAAAGUUUUCGGAGAAUACGAUGAUAGAAAUCUUCGACCCUUCAAUUUCGUUCCAAAGUGCUGGUGACAUUUCUUCCCCUCUCUUAUAGUCAGUAUCCAUGAAGGUUUUAAUUCCCUUCUGUUGCAAAUUGCUGUACAAGUGGUCUGUAAAAUUGUAGCGUGUAUCUGCAGCUCUAUAACUGAUAAAGACAUCAUUUCUCCAAGAAUUGGUGGAAGAGGAAGAGGAAGAGGAUACUGAUUCACUGGUGAUUAAAGCCAUAAUGUUUGAUGGGGUGUCGGAUAAGGUAAAACAGGGGAAAAGAGUUGGGAAUCGUGGUCAGGUCAAAGAUUUUCUCAAGUUAUAUAUAUAGGCGGCCUCUUGCUGGGCACCAUAGAUACUUGAGUUGAGAAGCAGUUUCCUGCUACCUUCAACGUGCCUGAAUUUCAACCCAAGUAAUACGACAAAGUUUCCUACCUACUACCUUCUCGGUGAAAGUUUCCUACUACCUUCGGUCUACCUUUUAGCUGGACCGAAGCGUAAGAGUAUUUUAUCAAUUAAGUUUAGAAAAUAAAUUAUGGUAUCCACUAUAAAUUUUAUUUUAACAAUUUUGAGUUAUUUAUUUUUGAAGUUUUCAUUCACAGAUAAUUUUUGUAAAAAAUUAGACAAAUUGAAAAGUAUCAUGACAUCUAAUUAUAACUAAAAUAAAUGAAUAUGGUGAUCCAAAAUAACACUAAAAUGAAAACAUUUCAUUGAGAGGUCAAAAGUUCGAAGAAACACAAUACAAAGUGUAUCACAAAGGUAUCCUCAAACAAGCAUGUAUAUAUAUAGGUUUGAAAGCACAAAAAAAUGCAUACUAAGACAAAGCCUAGGUUUAAAUAUGUAUAUGAUAUACAUAUAGAUUGUUACGAAUCAUAUUUGCAAUGAAGGUUCCUGCUGCAUUCAACGCACAAGUCGCAUGAAUCUGAAAUCGACCUAAAUGAGAAAUAGUUUUCGUUUACUUUCGGUGUGAAAGGUUAUUGAAGGCUUUUUAUCGCAAAAUGUGAAGCUUCGAAACUAUCAAGUUAUGUUCUUUAUAAUUUUUUUUUUCUUCAUUCGUGGUCCUUCAAAUUAAAAUGGAUGCUCACAACUAGUUCACAUGCCAUCAACUUCCAUUAAAAAUUUUGUUAACUUGAUGACUGGGCCCAAAUGUGUGACUCACGAGUUUAGAUCUUAUGUCCCCAUUUUGUCUUUCCCUUCUUCGUUCCUUAUCUAAUUUUUUGACACAUGUCCUUUCACUUAACUCUAACAUAACAGUGUUAAAUUUUAAUAAAAUUAAAAAUAAUAAAAAUUAAGAGUGCUGCUAUUUCCAUCCACCUGUCAUAUUUUCCCACCCACCUUAUCUUUCAACUUUUAAAGACAAAUCUAACCCUAUUGUAAAAUGACUUAAAAGGACUUAAGAAAAAAGAAAGAGGAAAAAAAAAAGAAGGCAGACUUCUCAGUUCUCAAGUAACCCUAUCAUUUGACAGAGAGAAAAAAAAAAAAAACACAAGAAUACGACUCCUUGCUCAUGAGAAGGUGAAGAAGGCGAGUACUGUUGUUUUUCCCUUAUCUGUUUAGCUUUGUACUCUUUGGCAUUCUCAUGUCUUAAGAAUGGGCGUUUUAUAUUUUUUUUUAUUGCAAAGUUCAAUAGAUUUCUGGUCCUUGGAUAACUCUGGAGAAAAGUUUAUUUACAAUAGUAGAAAGCUAAGAGCAUAAAUGUGAUUAUAUUCACAGAAUCCAUAUUUACAAAAAUAAAAAUAAAAAUUACAGCAAAAAACUAUUUUAGUUCAGUAAACAUGAGAGACAGCGAUGGAGUGUGAGAGAUGGAAAAUAAGAUAGAGCAAAAAUGAGAGAGAGAUGUGUGGACUGUGAGAGAGAGAGAGAAGACACGAGUAGAAAGAAUAAAGGAGAGAGAAAAUGAGGUAAUAAUUAAAAAGGUAUUUUAAGAAUAUUUGUGGGUGUAAAAAUAAGAUUGUGUUUUUUAAAUUUUAUAUGGUGGGUGGGAAGAUAAUGUGAGUGGGAAAAUAGGACAGGUGGGUGGAAAUAGCAGCACUCAAAAUUAAUAAUUGAAGAAAACCAAAAGACCCAACAGCCACCAAAACUCCCAUUUUCAAAGAUGAGAAAGAGCGAGAGAUAGAAAAGGUGAGACAUAGAGAUAGAGAAGGGGCCAACCAAAUGGAAACCGCGAAGGCAGUGAAAAUUGCAAGAGUCAACUCAGUUCUCAAAGCAAACAAAAACCAUUUGUUAGUACGAAAAUCGUAUUGGCAUUUCCUAGACUGUAGUAUAGGAUGAAAAUUAGUUUGUGAGGAAUUGCUACUAGAAGUUUUGGCACUACUCUUUCAAUCCCAUACCUCCGAGGCAUACCCUGACCAUAUGAGAAACUUGACAACAGGUAAAUCAUGACAUAUCAUGCAUUCAUGAUAGGAGUUAUAGUUGAAGUUUUGUUUUGAGUCUUUGUAAUUGAAAUUAAAAUAUGAGUCGGUUGGUGACAUCAGUAAGAGUCCUUAAUGAAUUAGACUUUGUAUUUUUAGUGAAUCAGAAUUUAGUUCAAAGAGUUUUAGUUCAAUUGGUCUUAGAGUCAUAAUUGUUUUGGAAGUGUAGUCUCACAAGUUUCUCUCCUGUGAGAAACUUGCUGUGAAUAAAAGGAGGCUUUGCCCUCUUGUGAGGGCCAGCUUUUCCAAUGUCCAAAACCUUUGAUGCAUAUUGAAUAUAUUUUGGGAAAAGCUGCUACACUUAGUUCACUCGGAAAGUCAUCAAGUGCUUCGGUUGCUUGGUGAUUGAUCGAAUUCAUUCAUCAUUCAUAUUGCAUACAUAUGCAUGUCGGUGUCUCAUAUGGUUAAGGACACCAAGACACUCUGUGUGUUUAUCCUCCGGUGAGCUUGAAGCAAUCGUGACCAGUAUUGCAUUCAACAAAAGGAGUGUCAAAGAUCAUCCCGUGACAGAAGUUGAGUUACGAAGAAGUCGGUAAACAUUGUCUAGAUUGUGUCUAGGACAAGUGUGUGUGCGUAUUUCUUGUAAUCUCAAUUCUAUAGUGGAUUCGUUCUGGACUAAGGAGUCCCGUGGAUUUUUCCCAGAGGUGGGAUUUUACCACGUAAAAUAAAUAUCUGCGUGUUCUUUUAUUUUAAGCUUUGCACAUCUCAGGAUUGAUAACUCAUAUCAAUCCUGCUUCAAAGGUUGAUCAUUAUUUAUUGCAAAAAAAUCCGAAAUAGCUUGUUUAACCUUCUCCAAGCAUUUAUAGAUAUCCUACAGGUAUUUUCACCAUUUCAACAAUAUUUCAUAACGCACAGCAACAUUAAUGGUUCCUUAUACAACUCUUGCUGGUCUUCCAGAGCUCAGAGACCGUUUCGUGGUUGCCAAUAAUUUCGAGAAUGGGCCAGCCACGACAAUCCCCAAAAUCUCAUCCCAAUUAAUGCUAACCCCUUCAUUGAUCUCUUUUUGAAUGUCUUCGAACCGUCUGAAUAGACAGGAAGGACAUAUGUCAAAAAGUUAUAUAAGGAAACAGAUAUCUUUGCCACAUGAAACUAAUCUACUCUGUUAUGUGACAAAUUUGUGUUUAAUAUAUAAUUAACCAAACUUGAUAUUACAACACCUCAUUUAAUUUAUAUUCUUAAUUUCUUUUGGUUCAGUAGACAUGAAUUUAACAAGAAAGUAGUCAUCAUUAUGAUAAUUGUAUUUUAAUCAAUUGAAAGUUAUAGCUUUCCACCAUACUUUUAGGAAGAAUUGAAAGUUCAAUAUUGACAAGGGAUAAGAACUGAGGAGUAGCAGUAGAGUAUAACUGUGUGUUUUUCUAUGUUGUCACAUGCACUCUUACAUUCAUUUCUCAUUUUCUUUUUGUUUCAAUAAUUGUAAAAUUUCGUGUGGCAAGAUCCUAAACAUGCUUCACCAAUUUCAUAAUUGUUCAUUUUCCAACCUCACACCCAUGCCAAUCUUUUGUAGUUCAUAUAUAUGACUGUAUCUGCAGAUAUCUUAUAGGGAAAAGACCCACAAGAAUUUAUUCUGAGAGGCUGGAAUAUCAAAAUGUGCUCUAGUUCAAGAGCCCAACUUGUAUGAGCCACCAUUUAUAAAAAAAUAAAAAAAUAAAAAAUAUAUGUUAAGCAAUUAUACUUCAAUUCUUGUGCGAAUCUGCUGCCAUUUGGUAUUUAUAAAAAAUUCUGAAUUUUUUCCUUUUUAUUUUCUUCGCUGACGUCAGCGCCCUGAGGCAACAACUCCAGCUAUUCUUGUCUUCGAGUCUGCACAGUCUUGGUGGAGCCUACCAUUUGCCCGGGCUAUUAUCUACCACUGGAGUUGGUUUUCCUCACCAGGGGGGCCUUUUGCUAGGGCAGCCCACACCUGUGGAAGUGCUCUAAUGACAAUUGUAAUACGCUAAUUAUGAGACCCACAUGCUAAUAAAAAAUAAAAAAAAAAACAACAAUUAAUGCAUUAUGUUGUUAAGAGCAUCUACAUUAUGUUGUUAAGAGCAUCCGCAAUAGUUGUUCAAUAUACUUCACUCAUAUUUUGUGGUGGUUUUGUUUCACCCGUAUUUUGGGAACGAAAAAACCGAUAAGCUGCUGGAGGUUAUUUUUCCCGCGUGUAGCGGGCUCGAUGACCUGAGAGUGACCUCGGGGAAGGAUCCAAAUUUGGGGCAGGUUGGGUGUGGGAGGGUGUUGGUUUUUGUUGUGGCUGAGGAGGACUUUUUGAGGGACAGGGCCUGGGCUUACUAUGAGGCAUAUUGAAGAAGAGUAGGUGGGGUAGGGUGGUUGAGAUUGUGGACAGUGAAGGGGAGGACCAUGUGUUUCAUUUGUUCGACCCAAGUUGUUACAAGGCUGUGGACUUAGUCAAAAAGGUCGUUUCAAUGUCAUACCAUAAGAUUUCCCAUUCUAAUACGUCAAGUGCUCAAUAUAAAUAUUUUUUUUUCUCAAGGCAAACUCCGUUCAUUAAAUAUGCAAAACAUUACAAGAGUUUGUAUGCUCAACAACAUAAAUAGAAGCAUAAGACAUAGGCAUUACAAGAGUUUGGGCCCAAAAUCAAUCAUUGUGAAUUUAUAGUAUGUUCACUAAUCAGGAAUUAGAAUUCUCAUCAGGAAUUGAAUUCAACCUAUUGAAAAUUCUUACGUUUACUUCAUAUCAAAGAAUUGAAAAGUAAGUGACGCCCACAUGAAAUUAGGAAUUGAAUUCCUGAUUGCUAAACCUACAAUUCCUAAUUCCUGAUUGCCCACACAAAAUUAGUAAACAUGCCAUUAAGGUGAAACUCAGUUUGCUAAACCCACAAAAUCCAAAAGAAGUGAAUCAUUCAAAACUCGGAAUGUCUUCUAACUUCAAUUUAAAAUAAUUGAAAUUUCAAAAUUCAUUCCGGCAUGCAUCUGCAAGGAGUUUUCUUUUGAUUAAUCACUUACAUGCAAUUGAUGAAAUAUUUUCUUUUUAUCAGGUUUAACGCAAAAUCAUUACAGUUACUAGAACCUAACCAAUGAAACUCACAAACAAGAAGCUGAGACAUAACCUAAAUGCCCAUGUUCACUCAUUUUGUUCAUCUGUCUCGUCCAUUCUAAUCCAAUUCAAUCUUGAAGCACCCAAACAUAUAAGAAAGAUGGCAGGCCAAAGGGAGACUUUGAUAGGAUUUUGAUCAUGCCGGAUGAAGCACACAUACUGAACUGUCGAGCAAAUGCACUGAGAGAUGGCACCAACUAAUCCAUAAAUGUCAGGAAGACUACCAUAUAGCCUUCGCUGGGGACGUGGAUAAUAAAACCACCACAACGUCCUCCACCUCCUCAGUUCAACUCUUUCCUUUUUACCCUUGUAAAUGAGCUCCAAUAUGCAAAUCAGUACAGCAACAAUGGCCAACAUCAUACCAAAUAAUGCAUAGUGGGGAUUGCUUGGAGAGGAAGCCUGAUCAAAAGCAAGUGACAAAAUCUCUAGGCAGAGGGCAAUGAGUAAAAAGAUCCACUUUGCUGAAGUAGCCUACGUACAAAUAAGUCGGUAAUACGCUCAAUUAGAAUUUUAAUUCAAUUGCUGUCCAUCCAGCUUAACAAGUUUCUUUGAAUUAAAAUUGGCUGACAAUGAUAUUCAGACCAGACAGCAAGUGAACGCAGUUUAUAAAAAGUUCAAGAUAUUUCACCUUUAAGAAGCUUUUAGAGCUCAAGUGUUUCUCAUCUGCUACAUGCGACUUUACCACGAUGCCUUUAGUUUUACUUAUUCCCUAGUGCGAAAAAAAGAAUUACAUUAACAAAUAAAAGUGAAAGUGUUUCAAAUAAUAUUUCUACAAGUAUUUUUCUUUAAACUUACUUUAUUUUCCGAUAGAACAUGGAUAACAUUCUUGUAAAACCACAAUUUGCUACGUCUAUCACGCCCGGUUAAAGAAUCUUGGCGAAGUACUAUUUCUUUACCCAGUUCUUCUAUCAGGUCAUUCAUCCAAAUAUGAUCUUUCUUAAUAAUUAUGAAGGCCUUUUCUAUCAGUACUUCAAUACCAUACUCAGGGUUGAGGUGACAACUUUCCAGCAUUUUUAUCACAUACUUCUUAUUUUUACCGUUUAAGAAACAUGCAAUGUCAAGGAAAACUUCUUUCACCGAAUCUUCUAGUGCAUCGUAACUUAUUUUGAGAAUGUCUUGAAUCUCUAAGUUAGGAACUCUUCUGUAACCGUCUAAUGUAAUUCUCCAUUGAUCUAUGCUUCUACCACAUAGGAAGGAACCUAUAAUUGUGAGAGCUAAUGGAAUCCCUUUAGCAUAGUGCACUAUUGCAGCAGCCACUUUAGCAUAAUCAUCUGGAAGUUUAUUUAUUGGGAAGGCAUUCCAACUGAAGAGCUCAAAAGCUUCGUCAAAAUCUAAUUCCUCCACCUCGUAUAUUAGGUUAACUUGAUGACCGGUUAACAAAUGUUUAUCUCUCGAUGUUAUGAUGAUUCUACUGCCCAAACCAAACCAAUCUGACCCUCCAACUAAUUUUUUUAAUUGUUCCAUUUGAUUCACGCCAUCAAGAAUUAAGAGGACCCUUUUGCGGCUCAACCUUUUCUUUAUCACAUUUAUUCCUUCAUCAGCAUCGGUCAACUCCAAUUGCUCUUCCCCUAGAAUCUCAGAAAGAACAAUCUUUUGUAGCUGGACUAGGCCUCCACGUUCCAUUGAAUUUGGUCUAACAUUUUCCAAAAAACAGCUACCUUCAAACUCAUGGGCAAUCGAAUUAUAAACAGCUUUAGCAAUUGUUGUCUUACCUAUUCCAUGAAUCCCCCAUAUACCUACCAUGCGAACAUCAUUUACUCCAACUCCUAAAAGCUCAUUCAUAUCUUGUACACGAGACUCUAUUCCAACCGGAUACUUUGCCACGUUUAAAUAGGUGCGGUUUAAUACUUGUGCUGAAAUCUCUUCAACAAUGUUAUCAAUAAAUUUAGAAUUGUGCCUGCAAUUUCAAAUAAUAUAAACUCACAAAAAAUUCUUAAGGGGAAGUGAUGCAACCAAACAAGCUACUUUAGUUUAUUCAUAUAACUUGUUUCCUUAAGAAAAAGAAUAAUGCUAGCACACCAAAUAAGUAAAAUAUUUUCAUGUCAUAUCCCAUUAUUUAGUGACUAAAUUCUUUAUUUAAUUUUUAUUGUGAUGCUAGUAUUUAUGUUGGUGCCCACAAGUAUGACAUGUAGCGUGGAUCAGUGACGGACAUAAAGAGGCGCAAGGAGGUGAAAUGUAAUGGAAAUUGCUAACGAAAGUUAUUGCAAAGGACAAAAGUGAGGACUGUUAGAGAGGAUAAGUAUUAAUGAGUGGAAUUAAAAUUAAAAUUUUCUUUCAAUAUUAAAAAGUGAUUAUGCGUUGAGAGGCUAUUGUUUUAACUUAAAAGGCAUAUAAUUGUUAGUCUAUACAUUUUUGUUGACGAUGAUAGAGUUUUGUUAGAUGAUAUAAUUGUUAGUCUAUAUAUAAAAGGAAUCAAUUUUAUAAAAUUAAAGAAAUUAGAAAAAGAAAAUUCAAAACACUAGUAAGUGGUUCACAGAAAUAUACCCGUCCAAGAAAUACCACCCAGGCAAAUUUGUUGCUUCUGUAAGAGCUGCCCUCCAUCUCAGCACCUUCUCCAUGUCAUCUCUGAAUUUGUUUUCAUGGUUAGCAAGUGCCUCACCAAAACUGCCUUGUUGGUUGCGCACAUCCAUGGGAUCCACCUUGUAAUAAACUGGCCAAACUAUUUGCUGCUUUGAUUCUCUACAUUGAAGGAUCUCAACUAGUUCAUCCAAGCACCAGCCGGAGGAUGCAAAAUUUUCAGAGAAUAUGAUGAUAGAGAUCCUUGAGUCUUCAAUGAUUUUAUAAAGCGUUGGUAAUGUUAGUUCUUCUCCUCUUCUAAGAAGCACAUCAGCUAGGAAGGUUUUAAUUCCCUUUUGAAGCAAAUUGCUGUACAAGUGGUCUGUAAAAUUGUUGUGGGUAUCCGCGCCUCUAUAACAGAGAAAGACAUCAUAUGUCCAUGAAUGGUUGAAAGAGGAAGAAGAGACUCCUAAUUGAGUGGUCACGGAAUCCAUUUUGUUUCAUACUGAUAUGUCAAAUACUUGAAUUCUUUUGCUAUAUAGAGGUCACGUAGUAUAUGCCACUUGCAUUGUAUUAUUUGCCAAGCAGUUUCCUGCUACCUGCAAUUUGAUUGUGAAAGUCAACGUGAAUGAGAUGAGAGCUUGUUAUUUCCUGCCAACUUUCUGUGUUGAUGAUGAUGACGACUCACCAACCGAAACAAGAUUUUACCAAUCUUUCAAUUAAAGUUUGUUGGGCUUGUAACUCAAGUGGUUAAAAUCAUUUAUCCUUAUAUACGAUACGAGGUUCUAUGUUUGAUUUCCAUCUCUCCUAUGUUUUACCCUUCUAGACUAGUUGAUGCGUAAUCAGCAACUUCAUUGCAGUUUUUUUGGACUUUCACAACUUUAUUCCUGAUUGUGAAAGUCAACUGAAUGAGAGCUUGUUAUUUCCUGCUAACUUCCGCGCAACUUUGAAAAGUGUCUACUAAUCCAGUUGUGGACGUAACUUAUAUAGUUGAUGAUGAAGAUAACUGACCGACCGAAACUGGGCUUUACAGAUCAUCUUUCAAUUAAAUUUUGUUGGGUUGGAACUUGGGUAGAACUUUUUAUAUAUAUGCGCUAAGCUAUUUUUCUUAUUUAUAGAAUAUGUUGGGCCGUCAAAUUUGGAAAGAAGAACUUGGACCACGUCAGGAGUCUUUCUGUAAAAGAGGCCUUUCUUCGUAUGGAGGCCCAAAUCAGGAUCCUUUUUUGGCUUGGCUUCGUCUGGAGUUGGUUCGUUACUGGGGACAUGAACUAUGGAGAUCAGCUCAAUCCUGUUUUCUGUCUUGCACCUUUUAAUAUUGGCAAUUAGUUUGCGAGCAACCAAACACCCAAGAAAGAUGACGGGCAGAAGGUUUACUUUGAAAGGGUUCUCCAUGCCCUUAAGCGUGCACCCAAACCUAGCUAUGGUGGAUAGCCACUGAGAGAUUCCACAAAUUAAUCCAAAAAUUUCUGGAAACAUUUCUAAACGCGGGCGUGAGCUUUCUCCAAUUUUCCACUUGAGAAUGAGUUCGCAGAUGCAAACGAAUAGAGCCCCAGAAGCCAACCACAUGCCAGUGAGUGCAAACUGGGUAUUUCCUGGGGAGAAAAACUGAUCACAAACUGCUGCAAGGAUCUCCAGGAAGAAGCUAAUGAUUAAAAAUGUCCACUCUACUGUAUCGGCCUGCAAUCAAAAAAAUCUUCUCAGCUGAAAAAAGGAAAAAAAAAAUCUGACAAGAAAGAAAGUUGAAUAUCUUUUACCUUAAAUAAGGAGCUUUUAGCAGUACUCAACCAUGUCUCCACUGAUAAGGCCAACUCUGCCAUGCCCUCCGUUUGUUCCUAGUACGAAGAAACAAUUGCUUUAAAAUAUAAUACAAAAGAUUAAAAAGAUUUUGCUCUUGUCCCAUUGAAUCAGAGGACACAUAUGUCAUAUAUCCUCAAUCUUUGAAAUAAAUAUGCAGACGAAAUCUUAACUAUUGUUAAGAAUUUGACCAAUAAAUUGGUUAUGUACAUUCAACAAAGCUUAACCAAGGCAUCCAUCAAAAAGAUUAACCUCAACUAAAUAUAUAAAAGAGUAAACAAGGUUUUCAACUUCACUCGGUCCCUCAAGUAAACUUAAUAGAGAAAUCCUCAAAUAAACUCUUUAGAAUAAUAACUUAUUCUGCAUCGUAUUCAAUGUUUUCUUAUAAGAAUAAUUUUUAAAUAAAGACUUAGUGCACCCUACAGAUGUGUAACUAAUAUAUACUCACUGUAAUAUCUCCUCCUGGAGAGCUUUUAUUGGUUUUGGUUGCAUUUACUCCCUAUUGUAUGAAAAGCAAUUGCAUUAAAAAAUUAAUAUAAAAAUAGGUAAAAGAAUAAGACACACAUGAUACAUAUGUAUUGUACUUACAUCGACGUCGUCAGCUUCAGGCAUUUCAAGGCUUCCAACUUCGUUUAGUCCCUAUUUUAUGGAAAAACAAUUGUGAGAAAACUUAAUAUAAACAACUCACUGUCACAUCGUUAAUACUAGAGAAUUAAUAUAUACAAUUCACAUCUUCUUCAUCUUCAAGUACCUUUUCAGGGAUUUCAGCUUCAUUUAAUCCCUAUUGUUCGAAACGGAAAUUGCAUUAACAAACUAACAUAUAAAAGAGUAAAAAAGGUUUCUCCAGUCAAAUAUCGAAAAGACAAUACAUGUUGUGCGUACCGUUCUUUGCAAGUCAUGCUCCUUUUUAAUUAUUUUGAGGAUUUCUUUAAUAUUUGAGGCAGGAGCUCUUUCGUACCUUUCUAAUAUAGGGUGCCAUUCAUAUAUACUUUUCCCACAUAAAAAUGAACCCACAUCUAUGAGGGCUAACGGAUUCCCUUGAGCAUAGCCUACAAUUCUACUUGCGGGUUCUAGAUAAUCAUUCGGAAUUCUACUUGUUGGGAAGGCUUUAGAAUGGAAGAGCUCCAUAGCUUCAUCAGGUUCUAACUCCUUCAAUUGGUAUGUGAAGUCAACUUUAUGAGCAAGAAGCAAAUGCUCAUACCUUGUUGUUAUGAUAAUUCUACUGCCGGCACCAAACCAAUCAGAGCUUCCAGCUAAGCAUUUUAACUGGUCCAAGUCAUCCACAUCAUCAAUAAUUAGGAGAACCCUUUUGUCGCGCAACCUCCUCCUAAUGAUAUCAACUCCUGAAUCAGCAUUUGUGAGACUCGAUAUUUUCACCCCGGGAAUUUGAUGAAGAAGAGUCUUUUGUAGUUUGACUAAGCCUCCUGGUGCCUCUGAAUUUUCUCUAACAUUUCCCAAAAAGCACGAACCUUCAAACUUAUGGGCAACUGAAUUAUAAACAGCUUUAGCAAGUGUUGUCUUACCCAUUCCACCAAGCCCCCCUAUACCUACCAUGCGAACAUCAGCUACUCCAACACCUAAAAGAUCAUUCAUUUCUCGCAUGCGGGAGUCUAUUCCAACUAGAUAGUUCGUCUCAUGUGUCAAAUAGAGACGGUUUAAUUGUCGUGAAAUCUCUUCAAUGAUUUCAUGAAUAAAUUUGGAUUCGUACCUGCCAGUGUAAAAACAUGUUAAUCAAUACAUGAAAUGGAAAUUUGCUAUAUAAAUGUUUAAAUAAGGCAAAGAACAUAUAAUCCCACAAAAAAUGGAGGAUUUGCUCGAUUAAAAAGAUGACCUACCUAUAUCUAGAAGGUUACGUUUUCCUCUAAAAAUAAAUUCUUAUUAGUUUGUUCAUAUGGCAUUCGUUGAUUUUUGCCAACUUUUGAAACAUUGGAAAAAUAGACAGCCACUGCAUAGAAGGUCUGCAUGAAAGCCUCAUAACCAUACAUUUUUUCACUUUGGUCUGCAUAAAAUAAAAUCAAAUUCACGUAGGCAUUUAACAGUUCGAUUAAUGGAGGGGAUGAUUUACAGAGUUUAUAACAGUCCGGAUUAGGAGAGAAGUAUUUUCAUUUAAAUUUAUCAAUAGACAAUGUUAAAAACAACAUAAAAAGUAGAAAAUCCUCAAAUAUAUAUAAUGCCAAUAAGUGGUUAGAAAAAUACCCCUCUCUGUUUAAAACCAUCCCAGCCAAAUUUGCUGCUUCCGUAAGAGCCGACCUCCAUCGCAUCACCUUAUUCAAAUCAUCCUUGAAUCUGUAUCCAUGUGCAAGAAAUGCCUCAAGAAAAGGGCCCGUUUGCUUUCUUACAUUUGAGGCAUCCACGUCAUAACAAAUCGGCAGAACAAUUUGCCGCUGUGAUUUUUUGCAUUCAAGGAUCUUAGCAAGCUCGUCCAAGCACCAAGUUGAGGAGGCAUAGUUUUUAGAGAAUAUGACUACAGAAAUCCUUGACUUUUCAAUUGCUUCAAAAAUCUCUCUUUGUAUAUCUCCUCCUUUUCGGAGUUCAUCAUCAUCCCGGAAGGUGUUAAUUCCCCAUUGUACCAAACUGCUGUACAGAUGGUCUACAAAGUUGAAGCGUGUAUCCGCACCUCUAAAACUAAGAAAGACAUCAUAUUUCCAUUGAUUGGUGGAAGGAGAAGAGGAAGAGGCUGCUAUUCAGUGGUGAGAUUGUACUUCAUAUUGUUUGAUAAUUGGAUGCGCCUCUUGCUUAACCUCACAGUUGCUCUCAACUGAUAAAAUCGAAGCAAAUGUCAAAAACUCGGUUAAGAGUUGGGAACUCUAUAUAAAGGGUACUAAUCAACUUUCUCAUGGCGGCCUCUUGCUCAGCACUUUCCUGCUACCUUCAGCACGCAGCGCAGUCGUAGUUUCCUUCUACCUGCAGUGAACCUUCAGUGGAGAGUGUAAACCGGUACCGUCACCAUGUUGUGCAGGGACGGACCCAGGAAUAUGAACUCGUAGGGUCAUAGUGUAAAAGUUCAAUUUUUUUUUUUAAAGAUUAAAUCUUGGUGGGGAGAGGGUUAAAGGUUCGUGGGUGGGUGGAGAUUGGGGAUUUAGGUUUAGGAAAUUGGGGUUUUGGAGUUUUGAGAAGGGUCUGUUCUGUUUGGUCGAAGAGAAGGGUCUGUUUCAACUACAAUCUGUUCUUUUUUCUUUUUUUUUCCGAAUACCUGGACCAAAACGACGUCGUUUUGGCCAGGUCUUUUUUUUAAAAAAAGAAUUCGUCGCUGCUGGUCCAAAACGACGCCGUUUUGGUGCUGCGCAUUUAAAAAAAAAAUUGCUGUGUUCAAAAUGACGCCGUUUUGGAUCUAGCAUGUUUUAAAAAAAAUUCGCUCGGCUGGUCCAAACCGACGCCGUUUUGGCCAGCCGAGUUUUAAAAAAAAAAAAUUAGAAGCUGACCCAAAACAACGCCGUUUUGGGCCCAAGCUACAUCUGAUACAUCCCACACUUUAAACCUCUUCUCUUGUCCUUUUCAGUCCCGUGACUCUCCCCUACACCUCCACCGACCACGUUGACUCACAAUUAAUUAGUCUCUAUGCAUUAAACUGUAGAGAAAACAUUAGACAUUGACUUGGUCAAGUUAGCUAGAUCAUAUAUGUUCUCACUCUGCACCUAAGUUCUAAUCUUCUUCGCCGUAGUUUAAAUUAUAUUAAAAUAGAAUAUCACUUGUAUAUAAAAAAUAAACUCAUCCAUAAAUAUUUGAGAGGAAUAUCAAAAUGUGGUCUAAUUCAAGAUCCAAACUUGUAUGAGCCACCAUUUAUUUUAUUUUAAAAAAAAAUUUUAAUUAUAUAUUGAGCAAUUAUACUUCAAUUCUUGUACAAAUCUGCUGCCAUUUGGUGAUUCACUGUAUAACAGAGCUACAAGAAGAUAAUGAAAAGUAUAAGACUCUAGCACACUCAUAUUAUAGACUCUAAUCCACCGUAUAAUGCAUGAAUAAGAUUACAAAUAAUCAUGACCAUUGAAAAGGCAUAUUCAAGGCAAACCAAUACCGUUCAAACCAUCGAUAGAGUAAACAACAUAAACUAGGGGUGGGCACUCAAACCGGCGAACCGGAAAUCCGAGCCGAACCGUACCGAACCAAACCGGAAAAAAACCGAGUUGACUAAAAUGUCAAAAAUCGGUCAAAAACCGAACUGGACCGGUUUGGACCGGUUCCGGAUCCGGUUCCAUGUCUUCAAAAACCGAACCAAGCCGAACCGAACCGGUGAAACUAAAAAAAUAUAUAAUUUCAAUAUAUAUUUAUAUUUAAUGCUAUAUUUUUAAUUUUACUAAAAAAAACCUAAUAUUUAUCCAAGUUCAAUGUCAAAAUAUCUCUCUUUUCUCACUUUAAUAUUUAUUUUUUAUAUGAAAUUUAAUAAUUUGUUAAUUUUCAAGUAAAAUAAUAAUAUUUUAGUUGAGAAUUUUAUUUAAAAAAAAUUAAUUUUUUUUAUAAUCCGGUUCAAAACCGAACUGGAACCGAAACCGGACCGAAACCGGUUCAAACCGAACCGGACAGUUUUUGAAAUUUUUUUUAUUAAAACCGAACCGAACCAAACCGGAUGAAUAGUACCGGAUCGGUUCUAAUUUGAGGCAAAAACCGGUCCAAACCGAACCGUGCCCACCCCUAACAUAAACGCGAUUAGCUUAGUUUAAUUUUUAUAAUUCAAACAUUAGAGUGCAAAAGAUUUCAAAUUUCAUGUUAAAUUAUCGAAUCUUAAGAAUAAAAAAGAAAACAUAAAUUAAGAAAUGCAAAGGAAACUAAAUGUGUGGGUCCCAAACACUGGUGAUCCAUAAUUAGAUUGAACACUCGCAAAGAUUGACAAUGGACAUGAACAAACUAGAUCAAAGAACUGAAGUUAAUGUUGUAAAUAAUUGUGGAGCCCACAAGUUAGAAUAGGUUUUGCCUAUAAAAGGAGUGAUCCCUCUCCAUUGUAACACAGACAGAAACAUUCAAUAAGAUAACAAAACAUUCUCUUCAUUCUCUCUCUCAAUUUCGCUCUACAUUUAUAACACGUUAUCAGCACGAAUUCGCUAAAACAAUACCAGCUGAAUUCUCUGAUGAAAACCAAAGUUUCUCCCUUGAAUUUCCUUUCUGGGUUCUCUGUUUUCUAUAUGCAAAAGCAGCAACACCUAAAACCAGAAAAAGAAAGACGAAAACCUCUCUCUCUGCCACCCCUUGAAAUUCACAGAUAUCUGUUUUAUCAAACAUCAAAGACCUUUUGGUCCCAAGUCAAUAUCAUCAACCUCAGAUCCAAUUGAAUCAAAAAAAAAAAAAAAAAAAAAAAAAAAAACCAACCUUUUCUGUGUUCCUGUGGACUGUUUUUCUCUGCUCUGGAUUGCUUGGUCUGCCCAGUUUGGGUAUUGUUAGAACAACAAGAUCAGUGGCAAACCCAUGUCCGGAAAUUCAGUUCAACUCAUGCUUCAGCUGUUCUCAGAUAUGGAACAUCUCUUAGAACAGCGACGUCGUCAACCCAGCGCAGCGCAGGCCCGCAUCGCCGAGAGGCCGGCGCAUGCGCCGUCAUGGCCCGUGAGAGCGUCCCCGCCGACAUCCAGGUGCUGCCCCACUUGCACGUCCACGCCCACGCACACCUCGUCCACGUCCUGCUGGUUCACCAAUCCAGCGAAAAGGUUUGGAAGAGAGGCCAACUUCUUGGUGGUAAACACUUUGGUGCCACCAGUCGCUCAACAAAAGGAUCAGCUCACCGUCGUAGGACCUCAUCAGUCUCCCACAAGCCCACGGCUCGAACCAGGAAAGCCGACCCAACCAACAACAGCGGCGGCUGCAGACAACAACGGCGGCGCUGUCCACAUCAUCAGCAACUGCAGGCAUGGUGAUGGUGGUGGUGGCUACAGUGACAACACUGUCUCCUCAGAUUUCUUUUAUUUGUUACAAGUAAGCUCUGAAGCCUAAGCCCAAGGAAGAGAGGGAGCUGACGCACCUGUACGAGCGUCGACAGUUCCCCUACAAGGGCGACGAAGAAGCCAUGGAAAGAAGUCAGUGUUCUUGCGCUGCUAUGCUCUUUACCUGGCCGGAGAAAAGCGGAAAGAGGAAGAAAUGAUAGAACUUGAGGGGCCCCUAGGUAAGAGCGACGUUGUGAAUGGUGAACUGGUUUCUCUAGAGAGGGAGUUAUCAACCCUUCGCAAGAAUGGGACCGUUGACCCUUUUGGACUAGGAGAAAUGGUGAUGGUGACGAUGCAGAGGUCGGAUCCGUGGGUGACGGCGUAGUUGACGUCGGCGAUGAUCUUGGUGAGGGGGAGGAAGGCUAUGGAAGACAAGGUUAUGGUUCAUGAGGCUAAGGAUGCUCGGUUGCUUGAGUUGUAUUGAGUGGUCAAUGGCUGUGGUGGAGAGAAUAUGCUGUCGGUACGCAUGAUCACAGCCCCCACCCACGAUAUACUGUCGGGCACGCAUGAUCACAGUUGCUCAGCAACACAGGCACCGAAUAUGCUGUCGGCUAUCAUGGGUUGUGCUAUCCUGCUGCACAUGUAAAACCACCCACCGAAAAUAAAGGGAUAAGUACUCUGACUCACUCUAUCUCCUUCAAUUAAAUACAUUAUUAAAAUACCUACAGAAUUUAAUACUCAUGAUCAGUGUAGAUUGCAGGUGGAAAGAAGAGAAGCCAACGUGAUAUAUCUAGCUUUCACUAAUAUAUCAGUAUAAUAAUAUUAUACUAUUUGAUCGUGGUGUUGAUAAGAACCCACCAAUAAUUGCCUUUACUUUAUCGCAAAUUUACUUUUACUUAAAGUAUGAUGAGGAAUUAACCCUCAUACUUUAUGAAUUUAAUUUACCGCACAUUUACAUUUAUUUAAAGUGUGGUGCGGGUUUAUCGUCCAUACCAGUAAUUUAUUUACCAGCAAUUUAUUUUAUGGACUAAAUGUGCUGUAUGAUGAGUUUUUACAAUAUGCAGAUCAGGACCAGAAGUUCCUUGAUCCUCAUCAUACAAUUAUAUCAGGACUUGAAGAUCCUUGAUGAUGAUGUUAAUAUGAGAGCUGGCAGUCUCUCCGGUACUAUAUUUGUAAACAUGUGAUUGGACUUGAGGGUCCUUGAUCCCUGACAUGUAAAUAAGGACCUGAGGUUCCUUAAUGAUGUAACAGUACCGUAUUGGCUCAUAAUGCCGUACACAUGGAUGAUAACUGUACUGGCAAAUGUACUGUACAUAUGAAUAGUGCCGUAUACAUGAAUAGUGAUGUAUACAUAAAUAUUUACCAUUUUGGGUAAACUAUCACCAUUCAAAAGGGAACCUGCAGUUCCUUAAACUCAUGGAUGAGCAAUUAAAUGAGAUGCCAGAAGUUCCUCAAAAUAUGGACAAUUAUGUAAGGGCUUGAAGUCCAGAAAUAUGUACAGAAAAUUGUAAAAAUGUCCAUACCAUGAGAAUAUGUGAUUUUGGCCCGAAGUUCAAAAUCUAAGGGGAUUGAAUGUUCAUACCAUGAGAAUAUGUGAUUUUGGCCAGAAGUUCAAAAUCUAAUAGUGUUGAGAACCUGAAGUUCCAACAAUUAAAUGGACAAUCCUUGAGGUAUUAUUGCAAAUUGUGGUACGCCACAUAUUUCUUUGGCAUAAGAGAAUGAUGAAUUGAGGCUCUCCACAUAUUUUGUUAUAUCUGGGCCGGAAGCUCAUGAACCCAAAUAUAUGAGAUAUUAGCGUGGCUUUUACUCAAUUCAUAUUUCAUGUCCAUUUUGAAAAGGGCAAAUAAAUUCUGAGUUUGUGUUUAGCCCAGGCAAAAAGUUCCGGGCUCCCAUACGUUGAAAUAUGAAAUUUGGAGAGUCGAUGUGAUUAUUUGAACCUAUAAGGCACAAGGUUCCAAAUCGUCAUUUUGAAAAGACGUAAAAAUCACAGGUGCAAAUUUUAAGAAUGUGCGCAAUUAUUAUAACAGGAAAGGAGCAAGUUGAAACGCAGUUGCUCCAAUCAAGUUUUGCAAAGGCAAUAUCUAUAGGAGGAAAUAUGGCUACAGUUUCCAGGAUCCCAAUAUUAUCUCAGAUCCCCAUAUUAUCUUUUUCUUUCCCAGAGUCCAAAACUUCACGUGGCCUCCAUUAAAUGUUUGUCGGCACUUUCGGCGUUUUCAAAGUAUUAUUUUCGUCAAAAGCCGAUCUUGCUUUGCGGAUUUCAUGGAGUUACUUUUCAAAAGUAUCCCGAGAAUCUCGUAAUUUUCCUAUGGUUAAUUUAAAAUUCACCGGUUCUACCUAUUCAUUGUAUUUGUGUAUAAAUGUGUCACUAACGAAAUUUUCUUUGCAGAAGACAUCCAGUUUUCUCCAUACCUAGUGAUGCGAUAUCUACUUGUUUUUCUUAUCAGUGAGCACUUAAUAUGCCUGAGAAGCAAGACUAUCUCUGAUCAUCCAUUCAGGAAGCGAGACUAUCCCUGAUCACGUUUCCGCUACAUCAGGGAACUGUGAAGGCAACCUUAUGCUCUAAUCUCCGGAAGUCCUUCUAGACUAGAAGAAAUGAGAGCUGGUUGUUUGCUCCCACCAGCUUCCUUCCUUGAUUGCUGAGCUUGUUGUCUGCUCCCACCUGCUUCCUUCCCUGAUUGCUUACCUUCUCUUGCAAUCCAUAUCACAAUUUUUUGCAUUUUUUCUUUUUUUUGUAACUCUGAGGGAUAUUUAUUUUUUGACAGAGAAAAGAGUUGUGAUUUUGCUCUGGCAGGAUAUAACUAGAUCAUCAAGCGCUACAUUAUAUUUAUUGGGCCGAUACAAGCUUGAAUGAUACUUGAGAAAAGUUUCUCCCACCUAAGGAUGUAAGCAAUACUUGUGUUAUUUUUUGCUUAUAUACUUAUUUGAUAUUUUAUCUUGAAAGGUAACCAAAUGGGAAGAUAAGUCCGUUCCAAAAGAAUGGCUUGUAUGUAUCCAUGAAUUAUUAAAUGCAAAUUUUACAGAUUGCAAGUUGGAUACAUUGAUAAUACACUGCACAGAUUAAUGUACCAUAAGAACUGAAUAUGGGUAUAGCAGUGAUCAAUAUGAUGCACGCCUGUUGCGUAGCAAAUGAUAUGGAUUGAAGUCCCGAAAGGACAAUCCUUUGACAUGUCAAUAUUGAUAUUAUGCACGCCUAAUGCGUAGCAAAUUAUAUGGGUUAAAGUCCCAUAAUAUGGGUUAAAGUCCCAGAAAUUAAUUGACAUGUAUGUAUUAAUCUGUGGCAUGCCUGCAGCAUGACAGAUAUAUGGGUUCUAAAUGUUCCAACUCCCUAAAUGGAGAUUUUCCACGCCCUAUGUAAAAUAACGCUCCAUUGGAGGUUAUAAUCCACAUUCUCACAUAAUAAAAGCCCCCUGAAGUGGCUUGGGUACCCAAAAGCAAAGAAAUGCUUAUAAUUGAUGCAUGCGCAUGCAAAUGAGAAUGGUGGGAUCAUGAAUUGAUGAAUGACAAUUUUUGAUUAUGAAUUGAUGAAUGACAAUUUUUGGUUUUGGAGUAGCUACUCAAAUCAUCAAUGGGCUGUGUUGAUUGGAACCACGUUCAAUUAUUAAAUGUCGACAAUAUCAUUGGCCAAAAUGGAACGAGGUAAUUCCAUUAUAAAUGAGAAUGAACAUGAAAGAACAAACCCACAGUACGAACCCCAAAAGAUGUUAAUACUGAAACUUAUACUUGAGUGUUCGGAAUAAAAGGGAAUAUACCUACUUUGUAUGACACACUGUUUCUGGCAGAAACAAGGAAUGUUGGGUUUUCUCCAUAUUUACAGAUUCAAUUGUGCCCUCUCCCCUUAUUACACAAUUACGGAGACCAACAUAUUAUCUUUAAGGGUUAUUAAAUGCACGGAGCAUAUCGCCAGAAGCGAUUCCCUAAAGAUGUAUAAAAUAGCUGGGUUAAAGCUAUAUAAUGUGUCAUAAAGUUUAAUCCCUUUUAAACAAAAUUCGUUGAGAGGAUUGACAUUGCAUAAAGCAAGUCCCUAAAGGACAUGUGCUUGAAGCACAAAAUUUGUACUCAAUAUUAAUAUGCAUAAAUUACCUCAGUGAGUACAUUGAUUAUAAUGUGAUUGCAACACAUUAAAGCUUCUGCAGAAUUCAAGAAAUAUUUGUCUCGAUCGAGCAUUAUGCCAACGAGAUUCUUGCUUAUACUAAGAAAGUAUUGAAGCAUUUUUAUGAGUCUUAUUCGUUGGUGCUUAAAUGUUUUUCCGGAAGUAUACUAGACCAGAUAGAGCUCAGCUCCACACUGUACUCUUUUUCCUUCAUCCAGGUUUUUAUCCCACUGGGUUUUUCCUGGUAAGGUUUUAACGAGGCAGUGUCGCUCAUGGGUUUAGGGUAUACUAUGAAAAUUUUUAUGGUCGCUUACUGGACAAAAGCUAGUCCUAAAUUUUUCAGGGGGAGAUAUCCACAAAGGGGAGCAUGGUUUUAAUAAAGACCUUCAUACACUGUACUCUUUUUCCUUCAUCCAGGUUUUUAUCCCACUGGGUUUUUCCUGAUAAGGUUUUAACGAGGCAGUGUCGCUCAAGACUGACUCACAGAAGCAGUGUCAACUACGAUAUUCAGAAAGCUGAUCAACAGUAUGACUUAAAGAUAUUUUGCCAAGCAUCAGGGGGAGCGCGCUAUCAAUAAAGAUCUUCACACUGUACUCUUUUUCCUUCGUCCAGGUUUUUAUCCCACUGGGUUUUUCCUGGCAAGAUUUUAACGAGGCAGUGUCGCACGCGCGUCAAUAUACACAGAGUUUUAUGUUACACAUGAUUAUGUACUCUUUUUCCCUUUGACCAGUUUUUUUGUCCCACUGGGUUUUUACUGGCAAGAUUUUUAACGAGACAUAUUCCGUAUCAUUUGUGGUCUCCAAGGAGGAGUGUUGUAAAUAAUUGUAGAGCCCACAAGUUAGAAUAGGUUUUUCCUAUAAAAGGAGUGAUCCCUCUCCAUUGUAACACAGACAGAAACAUUCAAUAAGAGAACAAAACAUUCUCUGUUAUAAAACUGGAGAAUUUGGAGAGGAAAUUGAGAGAGAGAGAGAGAAAGUAGAGAAACUGAGUUUCUUAUUCUCAUUUCUAUGUGUAUUGAACAAUGAAGGGAUGAACCCUUUUAUCGGCAAAGCCUAGGGAACAUGUGGGCUCCACAACUAAUUAUUUACAACACUCCCCCUUGGAGACCACAAAUGAUAUGGAAUAUGCCUCGUUAAAAACCUUGCCAGUAAAAACCCAGUGGGACAAAAACUGGUCAAAGGUAAAAAAGUACAUAAUCAUGUGUAACAUAAAAUUCUGUGUAUAUGACGCGCGUGCGACACNNNNNNNNNNNNNNNNNNNNNNNNNNNNNNNNNNNNNNNNNNNNNNNNNNNNNNNNNNNNNNNNNNNNNNNNNNNNNNNNNNNNNNNNNNNNNNNNNNNNNNNNNNNNNNNNNNNNNNNNNNNNNNNNNNNNNNNNNNNNNNNNNNNNNNNNNNNNNNNNNNNNNNNNNNNNNNNNNNNNNNNNNNNNNNNNNNNNNNNNNNNNNNNNNNNNNNNNNNNNNNNNNNNNNNNNNNNNNNNNNNNNNNNNNNNNNNNNNNNNNNNNNNNNNNNNNNNNNNNNNNNNNNNNNNNNNNNNNNNNNNNNNNNNNNNNNNNNNNNNNNNNNNNNNNNNNNNNNNNNNNNNNNNNNNNNNNNNNNNNNNNNNNNNNNNNNNNNNNNNNNNNNNNNNNNNNNNNNNNNNNNNNNNNNNNNNNNNNNNNNNNNNNNNNNNNNNNNNNNNNNNNNNNNNNNNNNNNNNNNNNNNNNNNNNNNNNNNNNNNNNNNNNNNNNNNNNNNNNNNNNNNNNNNNNNNNNNNNNNNNNNNNNNNNNNNNNNNNNNNNNNNNNNNNNNNNNNNNNNNNNNNNNNNNNNNNNNNNNNNNNNNNNNNNNNNNNNNNNNNNNNNNNNNNNNNNNNNNNNNNNNNNNNNNNNNNNNNNNNNNNNNNNNNNNNNNNNNNNNNNNNNNNNNNNNNNNNNNNNNNNNNNNNNNNNNNNNNNNNNNNNNNNNNNNNNNNNNNNNNNNNNNNNNNNNNNNNNNNNNNNNNNNNNNNNNNNNNNNNNNNNNNNNNNNNNNNNNNNNNNNNNNNNNNNNNNNNNNNNNNNNNNNNNNNNNNNNNNNNNNNNNNNNNNNNNNNNNNNNNNNNNNNNNNNNNNNNNNNNNNNNNNNNNNNNNNNNNNNNNNNNNNNNNNNNNNNNNNNNNNNNNNNNNNNNNNNNNNNNNNNNNNNNNNNNNNNNNNNNNNNNNNNNNNNNNNNNNNNNNNNNNNNNNNNNNNNNNNNNNNNNNNNNNNNNNNNNNNNNNNNNNNNNNNNNNNNNNNNNNNNNNNNNNNNNNNNNNNNNNNNNNNNNNNNNNNNNNNNNNNNNNNNNNNNNNNNNNNNNNNNNNNNNNNNNNNNNNNNNNNNNNNNNNNNNNNNNNNNNNNNNNNNNNNNNNNNNNNNNNNNNNNNNNNNNNNNNNNNNNNNNNNNNNNNNNNNNNNNNNNNNNNNNNNNNNNNNNNNNNNNNNNNNNNNNNNNNNNNNNNNNNNNNNNNNNNNNNNNNNNNNNNNNNNNNNNNNNNNNNNNNNNNNNNNNNNNNNNNNNNNNNNNNNNNNNNNNNNNNNNNNNNNNNNNNNNNNNNNNNNNNNNNNNNNNNNNNNNNNNNNNNNNNNNNNNNNNNNNNNNNNNNNNNNNNNNNNNNNNNNNNNNNNNNNNNNNNNNNNNNNNNNNNNNNNNNNNNNNNNNNNNNNNNNNNNNNNNNNNNNNNNNNNNNNNNNNNNNNNNNNNNNNNNNNNNNNNNNNNNNNNNNNNNNNNNNNNNNNNNNNNNNNNNNNNNNNNNNNNNNNNNNNNNNNNNNNNNNNNNNNNNNNNNNNNNNNNNNNNNNNNNNNNNNNNNNNNNNNNNNNNNNNNNNNNNNNNNNNNNNNNNNNNNNNNNNNNNNNNNNNNNNNNNNNNNNNNNNNNNNNNNNNNNNNNNNNNNNNNNNNNNNNNNNNNNNNNNNNNNNNNNNNNNNNNNNNNNNNNNNNNNNNNNNNNNNNNNNNNNNNNNNNNNNNNNNNNNNNNNNNNNNNNNNNNNNNNNNNNNNNNNNNNNNNNNNNNNNNNNNNNNNNNNNNNNNNNNNNNNNNNNNNNNNNNNNNNNNNNNNNNNNNNNNNNNNNNNNNNNNNNNNNNNNNNNNNNNNNNNNNNNNNNNNNNNNNNNNNNNNNNNNNNNNNNNNNNNNNNNNNNNNNNNNNNNNNNNNNNNNNNNNNNNNNNNNNNNNNNNNNNNNNNNNNNNNNNNNNNNNNNNNNNNNNNNNNNNNNNNNNNNNNNNCCAAUGAUAUUUCGACCUUAAUAAUUGAACGUGGUUCCAAUCAAUCACAGCCCAUUGAUGAUUUGAGUAGCUACUCUAAAACCAAAAAUUGUCAUUCAUCAAUUCAUGAUCCCACCAUUCUCGUUUGCAUGCGCAUGCAUCAUUUAUAAGCAUUUCUUUGCUUUUGGGUACCCAAGCCACUUCAUGGGGCUUUUAUUAUGUGAGAAUGUGGAUUAUAACCUCCAUAGGAGCGUUAUUUAGUAGUAGGGCGUGGAUAAUCUCCAUUUAGGGAGUUGGAACAUUUAGAACCCAUAUAUCUGUCAUGCUGCAGGCAUGCCACAGAUUAAUACAUACAUGUCAAUUAAUUUCUGGGACUUUAACCCAUAUUACGGGACUUUAACCCAUAUAAUUUGCUACCCAUUAGGCGUGCAUAAUAUCAAUAUUGACAUGUCAAAGGAUUGUCCUUUCGGGACUUCAAUCCACAUCAUUUGCUACGCAACAGGCGUGCAUCAUAUUGAUCACUGCUAUACCCAUAUUCUGUUCUUAUGGGACUUUAAUCUGUGCAGUGUAUUAUCAAUGUAUCCAACUUACAAUCUGUAAAAUUUGCGUUAAUAAUUCAUGGAUACAUACAAGCCAUUCUUUUGGAACGGACUUAUCUCCCUAUUUGGUUACCUUUCAAGAUAAAAUAUCAAAUAAGUAUAUAAGCAUAAAACAACACAAGUAUUGCUUACAUCUUAGGUGGGAGAAACUUUUCUCAAGUAUCAUUCAAGCUCGUAUCGGCCCAGUAAAUGUAGUACUUGAUGAUCUUGUUAUAUCCUGCAAAAGCAAAAGUCACAAUUCUUUUCUCUAUCAAAAACAAAUAACCCUCAGAGUUAGGAUCACUUCAUGGAUUCUUUCUUCAGAUGUUCAUUCUAAAGAAAUAAGAUCUCUUAUGAACAGAGAGUUAUAAAAAGAGAAAAAAAAUGCAAAAAGAUUGUGAUAUUGAUUGCAAGGUAAGGUAAGCAAUCAGGGAAGGACGCUGGUGGGAGCAAACUACAAGCUCUCAUUUCUUCUAGUUUAGAAGAACUUCCGGGGAUUAGAGCAUAAGGUUGCCUUCACAGUUCCCUGAUGUGGGGGAAACGUGAUCAGAGAUAGUCUCGCUUCCUGAAUGGAUGAUCAGAGAUAGUCUUGCUUCUCGGGCACAUUAAGUGCUCACUGAUAAGAAAAACAAGUAGAUAUCGCAUUUACUAGAUAUGGAGAAAACUGGAUAUCUUCUGCAAAGAAAAUUUCGUUAGUAACACAUUUAUACACAAAUAAAAGGAAUAGGUAGAACUGGUGAAUUUCAAAUUAACCAUAGGAAAAUUGCGAGAGUCUCGGGUUACUUUUGAAAAAGUAGCUCCGUGAAAUCCGUAAAGCAAGAUCGGCUUUGAAAAUAAUACUUGAAAACGCCGAAAGUGCCGACAAACAUUAAUGGAGGCCGCGUGAAGUUUCGGAAUUUCCUUCAGAGGCUUCCAGAACAUAAUGUAUUUUUAUAGAUUUUUACAGGACCUGCACCUUCAUUGCAGGUGGAAAAAUCUAUCAGUUGUAUGUUCCUGUAAUAAUAAUUGCGCACAUUCUUAAACUUGCACCUGUGGUUUUUACGUCUUUUCAAAAUGACGGUUUGGAACCUUGUGCCUUAUAGGUUCAAAUAACCACAUCGACUCUCCCAAAUUUCAUAUUUCAACGUAUGGGAACCCGGAACUUUUGGCCUGGGCUAAACACAAACUCAGAAUUUUUUUCGCCCCUGUUCAAAUGGUAUGGACAUAUUUACAAUUUUCUGUACAUAUUUCUGGACUUCAAGCCCUGACAUAAUUGUCCAUAUCAUGAGGAACUUCUGGCAUCUCAUUUAAUUGCUCAUCCAUGAGUUUAAGGAACUGCAGGUUCCCUUUUUGAAUAGUGAUAGUUUACCCAAAAUGGUAAAUAUUUAUGCAUACAUCACUAUUCAUGUAUACGGCACUAUUCAUGUGUACAGUACAUUUGCCAGUAUAGUUAUCAUCCAUGUGUACGGCACUAUGAACCAAUACGGUACUGUUACAUCAUUAAGGAACUCUAGGUCCUUAUUUACAUGUCAGGGAUCAAGGACCCUUAAGUCCGAUCACAUGUUUACAAAUAUAGUACCGGAGAGACUGCCAUCUCUCAUUUUAAUAUCAUCAUCAAGGAUUUUCAAGUCCUGAUAUAAUUGUAUGAUGAGGAUCAAGGAACUUCUGGUCCUGAUCUGCAUACUGUAAAAACUCAUCAUACAGUACAUUUAAUCUAUAAAAUAAAUUGCUGGUAAAUAAAUUAUUGGAUGGACGAUAAACCCACACCAUACUUUAAAUAAAAGGAAAUAUAAAGUAUGAGGGUUAAUUCCGCAUCAUGCUUUAAGUGAAAGUAAAUUUACGAUAAAGUAAAGGCAAUUAUUUGUGGGUUCAUAUCAACACCACAAUCAAAUAGUAUGAUAUUAUAUUAAAUCAAUUUAUAAAGUAGAAGUCAUAUUUACCCCGACCGAAGUUCACGUUAAGAUUCCAAAACCAAGAGACCAAGUGGGUGGCUGUCAAUCAGUAAAGCCUGGCAAUCAUUUAGUGUGCAUGUGUAAUUUCGAUAGCGGCACAAUCAAUGGGGCUUUAAAGAAAACUUCAAAACUUAUGCCUGAAGCAAGUUGGCCAGCACCAAUAAUGCCGCCCACAAUGCAAAAAUCAAGUUGCCCAGCACCAAUAAUGCCGCCCACAAUGCAAAAAUCAAGUUGGCCACUUUUGCCUGUUGCUUUCUCUUUCACCCUCUCCUUGUCUUUUCUUCUUUCCACCCGACAGCAUCUCGUGUGCCUGAGCUGCUGUGCUUUUAUGGAGCUCCGCGUGAGAUUUGUUAACAAUAUUUUCCUCAAAAGCCAGCCAAUCUGUGCUUAUCCAUGGGACGCAAAUAGUCCCACCACGUUUGUACUACAACCUCACCCACUCACUCAAUUUCUUUAACCCAGUCAGACGGCACCAAAUUUCUUCUUCCACUACUUCUCAUCUUCUGCCUCUCUCUUGCUUUUUUUUUUAUUUUUUUUAUUUUUUUUAUUUUUUUAUUUAUUCGAUUUUCUGGCAAGCCUCCAAAGACAGCAACGACCAAGUUGCCUUGUCAUGGCUGGCGGCCAUUGCAAAAACCUUUUCCAUGAAGAAAAUGACUUGGACAUGAGGCUGGUUGAUUAUGUAGAUGGAGAAUCCGGCGGGGCCCCAGGUGAAGCCGAUGGUCUGCCUCACUCCCCACGCUCACUCCACUCUCCUAUUGUUAGGAGAGAGAGACGACGAGUUUCAGAGUCAGUGGGAGGGGCUAGCCGCCAUCUCCUCAUACCAAUUUGCUGCUUCUUGCUUCAGCUGCUAUCUCUCUGCUUCAACAUCUCAUCACCUCAGAAUGCAAACCCACUGCACGUCCACACCACAAAGCACAGCUAGUGGUGGAAGGCCAGACUCUCCGUCAGCCCUCAGCCUCCGUCUGCUGUUGCUGCUGCCGCAACUGCGAAGCCUUCGUACUUACUGCUACCAACAGUAACAAAAGCAAACCCGGUGAGGGAGAACACACCGGUGCCGCUCCACUACGUCCGCAACCACGGCGUGUUCCUGGUGGGGAUUCUGGCCGGAAAACACCCCAGCGGCAGAGGCAAGAGAUGAGGCCAUUAGAAGCUCUGCUGCUUCUUCACUAUGUUGCUAAGCCCGAAAGCUUGUCUCUCCAUUGUUGCUUGCAUGUUCAGGUUCAGGGCAUGGUCUCCAGCUGCAGGCACAGCUGCUGGAGUUGGUGGGACUGGGACUGGAUUUCUCUGAGCCAGCUCCUUCAAGUUCUGGUCAAACGAGCCACCCGAGGUCGUUCAGAUCAAUCAUGGUCAGUCCCUGCAGAGGCUUACCAGUCAGGCUCUGAAACAUGACCCUCGGCGGAGGCGGCGGCAGAGCUCGAGCUGUUGCUCUGGUGCUGGCUAUGGGGUCCGAACCCAUGGUCGUGGUCUCGAGCUGUUGCUGUUGCUCUGGUGAUGGUUGUGGUGGUUGUGUUCGGAGGAGUAGGUGGAGGAAGAAGAAGAAGAGUGUUUCUGCUCAGGCCGAAGUCUCGGGGCAGCUCCCCUGAGAUUUUGUUGUUUCGGAGGUCGAGGUACAUGAGGCUGGAGAGGUUGGUCGGCGAAGUUGAGGACUGUGAGCUGGUGUAGCCGGCCGAUACCUGCCGGAAACUGGUCUGAUAUUUUGUUUCCAUGGCCAGACAUCUUCGAAGCUUAGGUUCACUUCUUCAACCUGCCGCUAGCCUUCUAUUAUGAUUAUAUAAUAUUAUAGAUAUAAUAAUGUGAUAAACAAUUAGGAUAAAGAAAAGUAUGAGAACUUAUCUGCCGUAGCCCUUUUCUCUGCUUUGGAUUGAUAAUUCUGAUCUGAAAUGAGAGCUCUUUUAUUUUUCUUAUGUUAAGGCUCAGGCCAGUUGGUGGGGAAGAUGAUCGGUGUGAGAGAGAAGCUGUUGGGUAGGUAAUUUGUUACCGCUUUUAUGUAUCCAGUGAAGAGUGAUUGGUUUUACAAAUCUGGAUCUGUGAUUUACAAACCCAUGGUUGCUUGCUUGCUUGUUUUAUUGUGAUCUACAUGCUGGGAAACAAAGCAGAGGUCGGUUGUUAAGGUUUGAGGCUUGGCAGAGAAAGAGAGAGAGAGCGUUGAGGCUCUGAAUUUUGGAGGUAGAGAAAUCGUGCUGAUAACGUGUUAUAAAACUGGAGAAUUUGGAGAGGAAAUUGAGAGAGAGAGAGAGAAAGUAGAGAAACUGAGUUUCUUAUUCUCAUUUCUAUGUGUAUUGAACAAUGAAGGGAUGAACCCUUUUAUCGGCAAAGCCUAGGGAACAUGUGGGCUCCACAACUAAUUAUUUACAACAUUCUCUUCAUUCUCUCUCUCAAUUUCGCUCUACAUUUAUAACAGUUAAUGAAUUAUUUGAAUUAAACGACAGGUGUUUCUAUUUGGGCCCUACACUUUUCCUCUCCCCCCAAACCCAAGUAGUUUUAAAAUCCCUAUUUUACCCCUAAAAUAAAAAGUCUCAAGCUCAACCCGUUGGAUUGGCGGACGUGUUUGAGACGAAAGAAGAUAAUUUUCGCUUUCAGCUGCUCAACCACCCCAUCACCGACGUAAGCCUCUGGCCUUAGCUGUCAAGAAAUGGUUGGUUAAUUUCAUAAAAUAUCGAAGUAUUAAUACGCAAUAAUUCUCUUUUAUAAAACCCAAAACAAAAAUCGCAAGUCUUUCAGUUUCACAACAAUUCUCAUCUCUUAUCUCCGAUGGACCCAAAAUCCUCCUCAACCGAAAUAUCAGUCGAGUUCCCGACGAUCUUCAGAAUCUACAAGGAUGGUCGCGUCGAAAGACUUAAAGGCACCGAAACCGUCCCGCCUUCCACCGACCCCAAAACCGGAGUCCGAUCCAAAGACAUCGUCCUGUCGCACGAAUCCGGACUCUCCGCACGCAUCUUCCUACCCAAACUCACAGACCCGACCCGGAAGCUCCCCCUCCUUGUUUUCAUCCACGGCGGCGCUUUCGUCAUCGAGUCCCCCUACUCUCCUCUCUACCACAACCACGCCGCUUUGCUAACAUCCGAAGCAAACGUCGUUGUCUUGUCUGUGAACUAUAGGCGUGCCCCCGAGCACCCACUCCCUGUUGCGUAUGAAGACUCAUGGGAAGCACUCCAAUGGGCCGCGGCCCAUUCGAAUCGUAAUGGGCCCGAGGCCUGGCUCAACGAUUAUGUUAACUUUGACCGUGUUUUCGUGGGCGGGGACAGCGCCGGGGCAACCCUUACGCACCACGUGGUACAUCGGGCCGGAGUCGAUGGCCUGAGCGGGGCAAAGAUAGUUGGCAUGAUUUUGUUUCACCCGUUUUUUGGGAACGGAAAGCUCGAUAAGCUGCUCGAGGUUAUUUUUCCAGAGUGUAAUGGGCUGGACGACCCGAGAGUGAACCCGGGGAAGGAUCCGAAAUUGGGGAAGAUUGGGUGUCGGAGGGUGUUGGUUUUUGUGGCUGAGAAGGACUUUUUGAGGGACAGGGCCUGGGCUUACUAUGAGUCAUUGAAGAAGAGUGGGUGGGGUGGGGUGGUUGAGAUUUUGGAGAGUGAAGGGGAGGACCAUGUGUUCCAUUUGUUCAACCCAAGCUGUGACAAAGCUGUGGCUUUGGUCCAAAAGGUGGUUUCUUUCAUAAAUCAGGACUAGGUUGGGCUUGUGUUACGUGAGUUUGUAAUUUCAAUGUCAUAAUAAGAUUUGUGUAAUAGAAUAUGAGCAUAUUAUAUUUGCCAAAUAUAUAUUACAUUACCGUAAGUAUUCUAUAAUCACUCAUUAGAUAGAGAUGCCCUUUGGGCCUUCACUCUUUUGGCAAUUUGGCAAACAAAAGCUCAGGAUCUCUAGUUGCCGAAAGUGGAUUACUUUGUUUACAAAUAAAACCUGCCAAAAAAAAAAAACACAACCACCUUAUCUAAACCUUCAAGAUGCCCCCCACUUUGCAAGUUGCAUUGCUACAUUUUCCUUUUAAGUCAUCCAUCGUCUGAGCCUAUACCAUAAUCUUCAACCCCCCAUCUAAUUGAAUUCUACCACACCUUUUUGUUUUCUCUGAAAAUGGAGCCAAUCAACAACGAAGUCCUUCACGAAUUUCGCUUCUUUCGGGUGUACAAAGACGGUCGCAUUCAAAAAUUCUACGACACCCAAAAAACCCCACCGUCCAAUGACCUGAUCACGGGUGUCCAAUCCAAGGACGUUAUAAUUCAACCCGAACCCGCCGUUUCCGCCCGUAUUUUUCUACCCAAGAUCCACGACCCCACCCAAAAACUCCCAGUCCUCUUCUUCCUCCACGGUGGCGCGUUUUGCAUCGAGUCUGCCUUCUCUCCAAUUUAUCACAACCACGUCUCCCGUUUGGCCGCUGAAGCUCACGCAAUUGCGGUGUCCGUUGAAUAUGGGUUGUUCCCGGAGCGACCCGUACCCGCUUGUUAUGAAGACUCAUGGGCUGCGCUCCAGUGGGUUGCGGCCCAUGCUACCGUGGAUGGACCCGAGUCGUGGUUAAACGAGUAUGCUGACUUUGACCGAAUUUUUAUAGGCGGGGACAGUGGUGGAGCGAACUUAUCACACAAUUUGGCAGUUCGGGUCGGGUCGUCCCGGUUACCGGGCGUGAAGAUUGCCGGGGUGGUUCUGGUGCACCCGUUCUUUGGGGGCUUGGAGGAGGAUGAUCAAAUGUUUCUCUACACGUACCCAGAGAACGGUGGGUUGCAGGAUCCUAAGCUGAGACCGCCCGCAGAGGAUUUCACAAGGCUACCGUGCGGGAGGGUGUUGAUUUUUUUUGCUGCGGACGACCAUCUGAGAAAGGCGGGGCAAAUGUAUUAUGAUGACCUGAAAAAGAGUGAGUGGGGCGGGAGUGUUGAGGUGGUGGAGCAUGAGGGUGAGUGCCACGUGUUUCACUUGUUCAAACCAGAAUGUGAGAAGACUGGAGAGAUGGUCAAAAAAUUUGGAUCCUUCAUCAACCAAAAUAAAAAAUAAAGUACCCUUCCCCUCAUAAGAACAAGUUGGAACAUCUUUAAGUUCAUCCAUUUUCUUUGGUGUGUAUGAUCUCAUUCUCAUACAUGCUACAGAAAGUUAAUAUGUUUUCAUGUAAUAAUGAUCAAUAUGCGGUCCAAUAAUUUCAAGUGUCAGUAUAUCAAUCGACUAAAUUAUUUGCCCAAUAGUGUUUUUUUUUCCGAAUAUCCCUCUUGAAAUAAUAAAAUAAGAAAUGUCAUAUGACCUUGAUCUAACUUCAAUUGUAAUAAGUAAUUUUAUUAAUAGUUGAAGAUUCUGCUCUUUUUUCCUAUCGUCACGAUUAGUUUGUAGAUUAAUUAAUUUGAUUAUCCAUUGUACACAUCUUAUAAUAUUUGUUCAAUACAAUAUAUGUUUUAACAAAAAGAAAAAAAAAAUCAUGAUCAAGCUUGAACAACACAUUCAUCAUAUCAUUACUUAUGGCUUUUGAACUUCAUAUGGUAUCAUCCAAUUACAUGAAAUUAUGAACAAUGAAGAAUUCAUACACAAAAUACACAAAUGAAAUAGACCAAACCCCACGAGCAACAUAACAUUUGAGAAAGAAAAGAAGAAGAAAAAAAACCAUUAAUUUGUUUUAUUAAAAACUGAUUGCCUUUAUUAAAGUUUAAAACAAUCAAUUACGCACGACCCCGACAAAUAUAAAAAAUGACCAAAAGAAAAGUUCGGUCCACUCACUUUGUUUUCUUUUCAAGUUUCUGCUUUUUCUUCCUUUGAUCAAAACCCACUCCAAAAUGUCUUGGUCUCUGCUCCACCAUCUUCUCCCUCUCACUCUAUCAAAUUCCUCUCAUUUAUGAAAAUGGAGCCAACCAGCAAUGAAAUCGAUCGUGAAUUUCGAUUCUUCAGGACAUACAAAAAUGGUCAAGUCGAAAAGUUCUACAGUACCCAUAAAAUCCCACCUUCUAACAACCCCGUCACCGGGGUCCAAUCCAAAGACAUCAUAAUCUCACCCGAACCCGCUAUUUCCGCCCGUAUCUUCCUACCCAAGAUCCAUGAUCCGACCCGGAAACUCCCCGUCCUCUUCUACAUCCACGGCGGCGGGUUUUGCUUCGAGUCCGCCUUUUCCCCGCUCUACCACAACCACGUUGCCUCACUGGUCACUGAAGCCCGAGUUAUUGCGGUGUCUGUCGAAUACGGGUUGUAUCCGGAUCGACCCAUACCCGCUUGCUACGAAGAUUCAUGGGCCGCUCUCAAAUGGGUCGUGUCCCAUUCGGCCAGGAACGGACCUGAGCCAUGGUUGAACGAGUACGCUGACUUUGACCGGGUUUUUAUAAGUGGGGACAGCGCUGGAGCGAACAUAUCGCACAAUUUGGCGGUUCGGGUCGGGCCUGAUGGGUUUUCGGGUGUGAAAGUUAACGGGAUUGUUCUGGUGCAUCCGUUCUUUGGGGGUCUGGAGGAGGAUGAUGAAAUGUGGCUUUACAUGUGUCCGGAGAACGGUGGGUUGCAGGAUCGUAGGCUGAAACCGCCCGCAGAGGAUCUGGCAAGGAUUGGGUGUGGGAGGGUGUUGAUAUUUUUUGCUGCUGAAGACCAUCUGAGGGAGGUGGGCCAGCGGUACUAUGAUGAGCUGGCGAAGAGUGAGUGGGGUGGGAGCGUUGAGGUGGUGGAGCAUGAAGGUGAGAGCCACGUGUUUCAUCUGAUGAAGCCUGAUUCUGAGAAGGCUACAAAUUUGAUCAAGAAAUUUGGUUCCUUCAUUAACCAAAAUUAGGCAGGUAUUUACCAACUUACCCCCUUAAAAGAAACAAGUUGAAAUUUUCACCGUGCAUUGUAAUCACAUCCAUUUACUUUACCUUGCUUGCUAUAAUGCUGUCUCUGAUUCUCAUACAUGCUUUGUUCACUAACCGGGAACAACUAUAAUGUGAACUUUGGAGAUAAAUUUUAAAAAAAUAAGACUUCACUCGAGUAUUAUUCAAUUUUGUUUGAUUAGUAUGUCCAGAUUCUGAACACGACACGAUUAUUAAAUAGAUUCGAUUAACACAAUUGAGUAACGAAAUUCGAUUACUAACAUGAGUUUUUAAUGACAAUCCAUUUAUAAUUUUUGUACAUGACUUAUUUUCAGUGAUACCAUGUGCAAACUAAAGUAAUAAUUCAGGACAUUGAAGUGGUCCUUGGGACCAUGCAAAGUAUAUGGUCCCCUUUGGUUUUUUGUCUGUUUCUCCCCUUGUUGUCUGUCUUUCGUGUUUGAAUGAAAGUUUCUAUUGACCAACAAAAAAAAAAAAAAAAAAAAAAGUAUAUGGUCCCCUUGAUUAUUUCCGUAAAUUUUGUCAGAAAUUUUGGCUUUCUUCUAAGAUGAUUUUCAUAGGACCAGUUAUCUCAAGAUUUGGCUCUUGUAUCAGUCAAUCAAUUGCAGGCUUUGUUUGUAGUGUUCUCUGUACUUUUGGGGGAUUCCAAUGAAUUCGAAUUUUGACCAAAAAAAUAAAAUAAAUUUGCAAUAACCAAAAAUUAUGGAAAGCGGAUGUCAGGGACAACCAUAUAAUUCUGAGAUUUUUAUCCAUGUGAAGACAAUGUGGGUUCUUUUUGAGAAAUUUUUUGAUGUAUCAGUACACUUGUAACAUCUUGUGACAUGUUAAUGUGAUAGUACACCCGUAACAUCCCGUGACAUACUAAUGUGGUGUUAAACAUACGGCGGAUGUUAAAAUGCGAGACAAUUCACUAUAAACUUAGGAUGAUGGACUGAAGUCGGCUUAUCUCAUGUUAUUCUGGAUAAUUACUUAGUUUAUUUGUAACAAGUCCAGUCAUUUUUCAGACCAUAAAAAACAUGGGUUCAACCAACCAAUUGUCAAAUCCAAUCUGUAGUAGAAGUCCAAUAUAAGCCAAAAUUUUUACAUUCCCAAACUAUAAGGGAACCUCUGAUGUAGAUUUCCAUAGCCACAGAAGACAUUUUCAGUGGCUAGCAAAAAAAUAUAGAUGUUGGAGAUAUUGUUGUGACCUUUUAUCAUUUGCUGGUUGGUUGGAAAGGAGAGAUCGAUGGCAACAUGUUGUGUCCUAACCAUGUCUUUAUGGCCAAAACCAAAAAAUCCCACAUGCACUGGUAACCUCAAAUUGAAUCUGCCCUCUUCAUUAUUCACACAUCUCUCUCUUCCACACAGAAAGUCCUGCAAUAUCCGCUUGUACUCAUCCUCCUCUACCUCCAUGGAUGCAAGCGUGAGCAAUGAAGUAGCCAAAGACUUCUCUCCCUUCCUCAAAAUAUACAAAGAUGGUAGAGUGGAGAGACUUUCAGGCACUGAUAUUGUUCCCACCUCGCUAGAUGCACAAACUGGUGUUGCAUCCAAAGACGCCGUGAUCUCACCUGACACCGGGGUAUCAGUCAGGCUCUACAUCCCCAAAACCAAAAUCACCACAAACCCAACAAAGCUUCCUCUCCUUGUGUACUUUCAUGGAGGUGGCUUUUGCAUGGGGUCACCUUUUUGUGCCUAUUACCAUAGCUAUGUGACAUCGUUAGUUGCUGAGACAAAUGCUGUUGCUGUGUCUGUUGAUUAUAGGAAGGCCCCAGAGAACCCUCUGCCUCU